GAAGAACAUCAUAAACUAGCUCAUUAGGUGGGAUGUAACCGCCCUCAGAUGCGAUAGAAGAGCUUAUUGGUAUUCCCAGGUACAAUUUAUGAACGCCUGGAUAAUCAGACCAACUGUCCCAGCUCCGGAAGAGGAGACUGGUAUCGUUUGGAGGCAGAAACUCACAAGAUGGGUUGUCGAAAAAUUCCACCCGCACCUGAUCAACGACUCCAGUUCUGAUAGUUGGGUCAAGAAAAAGGUUAGGAAUAGGACAUUCCCCCGCUACAGCUAAGGUUACAUUUGGGUAUCCCUUAAGUGCCAGAGCAAGAACAUCCAAGUAAUUCGGGUUUCCGCUGUGGAUGUGAAGCUCUACGCCAUCUAAAACAGCUGUGCCGAAUGGACGGUCGCUUGAUUCACCGCCUAAGUAAGUGUUCCAGACAUAGGCUGCCACUUCUUGCGCAUCUUCGACGGAAGAAAGAUUCGAUGGUCCUGCGAGAGAAAUAAACACUUUGGUCUGAUUAUUCUGGCAAGAUUCUAUGUCUGCUGCGCUCGGCCAAGGAUGAAUUACGUUCAAUUCAGGCAUGUGGCCGCUACCAAAAUCUUUCAGAAAGGCAAUAUUCACGUCGGUAGCGAAUUCUCGCCUGCAGAACUCAGCCAAACUUGAUGGUUCUGAAUGGCCUCGGCCCCAGUAUUGGACAAUUCCGGCAGCUUCGGAGGACCCAAUCAGAGAAGCAAUCAACAACAGGAAUGUUAUUGCUGAGAACAGUGGUUGCAAAGAGGCAGCCAUUUUUUUUUCUUUCUUUUCAGUGAUUUUUGGAGCUUUGCUUUGGUGAGUUCACUUGCACAAAUGACUGACCAUUUUAUAGUUGAGUUUAUCUCAAGUGGAUGUUCAGCAUCUAGAAUAUCCAAACAUCCGUACACGAAAACGUGAAUGGCAUGACUUCUCAUUUCUGCGCUCAAAAACGUGAAUGGUAUUAUUUAAUUAUGUUUAAGUUGUCAAGAUUUUCCCACUCAAUCCUUCAUUCAACAGCUGUGAUGGUGCUGUGACGCGCGGUCUUAAGCAAGAAAUUUUUUUUUUCCUCGACCUCAAUGUGAAUGUGACUCACAUAUAUAAAUAAUCUCAUAGCAAAAUAUGUUCUUACUGAUCACAGAAGUGAAGCUUGUGCACAGGAAUGUAUAGAAUCCAGUUGCAUGCAACUAAUCACUGUUUAAGCAUACGAAUUAACCAUCACGAGCUAAGACGCAGAGGCAAGCCAAACUCCAAAGCCAAUUCCCAGUUGGCUCUAGUUAAAGGGAUCUUCCUCUAACCUGUCGUCACUUCCUUUACAGAAGCCAAGACAGCAGAAACUAUGUCCACAGCCGAGAUAUGUCUCUGCUGAAACAUAGACAAAUUCCUUGCUGUCCAUAGCCACAACAUUGAAAGCCAAUCCCCAGACCUGAUCAGCAAAAUAGUUUUGAGUGGCAGUCCAGGUGCAAAUGCAACCGCGUUGUGAUACAACAUUGAAGGCUCAAAACAUUAAGGUUGAGAGUUCAACAAUUAACCCUUUUUGUUUCUUAAAUUCCACCCUUCAAUCCUACGUCAUUGAAGGCUCAAUAGGCUCAAAACAUAUUGAGCCUUCAACUACUCAUCCUAUUUUUCUAGAUUUUUAAUUUUUUUUUUCAAAAAUUGAUUCAUGUCUUCGGUUUGGAUUCACCAUAAUGUCAUGCAUUGCUUUGUUGCUUUUAAUUCCUUAAUUUUAACGUAGCCCCAGACAUGGCAUAUAAUAGUCACUCUCUUAAUAAAUGCAAUUAAUUAAUCAUACCAAACAUAAGGUUGGGAUUAGGUAUUGUAGCAUACCUUAGUUUUAUUUUGUUCCCUAUUUUACUUAGGCCUUGUUUGGAUUGCAUUUUUCUGAAUUUUUUGUAGAAAAAUUACUGUAGUAAUUUAAUAUAUGUGAAAUAAAAAAGUGAUAGGGAACUAUGGUCACAGAAAACGUAGCAAUUUUUCUGAAGAAAAUCGCUGUCCAAACAGAUCCUUAGUUUCAAACAUGCCCUACAAUGUUCAACCCUAUAAUAAUGCAAUUAAAUAAAUAUACCAAAAAUAUUUAUACAUAGUUGAAACUAAAAAUAAUUGUAUCCAUAAUAAUCAAUAUAAAAAAUUGACUAAAAUACAAUCUUUGACUAACAUAAACUAAUAAUUUAAGUUCUUGUCCUCCAAAGAAAUAACAAUAUUCCAAAUCACACAAGCUGAACAGCUUAGCAAAUUAGCAAAACUGACUAACAAACACAACACAAAAUUACGAAAUAUUCAACAAUUUUGUAUUCUUUUCCUAACUAAAAUUUACAAAUCAUACCCGAAAAAAGGGAACUAAUCUAAGUUCCUAUCCUCCAAAGAUAUAACAAGAUUCCAAAUCAUAUAGUUAAACAAUUUACCGCAUUAGCAAAAUUGACUGAAAAAAAUACAAAAAGAGAACAACAAAAAUUUCAAUAUUUUUUGUAUUGCUUUCCUAAGUAAAAUUUACAAAUCAUACCCAGAAUAAAAAAAUGAAAUAUACUUAUCAGAUACUUCAAUUUUUGGAAUCACCAUGCACAGAAAAUAAAAAAUAGCUCUAAAUUUCAGCCCAGACCUAGAUCUAAAAUUGGACCUGAAUUAUAUAUAAUCGGAUGUUAUUCAUGCUAUUAGAAUUGUUAGAUUUUGUUAGAGCAUAAAAAAGAAAUAUAAUAUUUUUACCUAUUCUUUUGUUGAGCAAUUAGAAUCAAAAUUAUAUCAUCGUUAUGACUAAAGAAAUGGAGAAGGAUAUUUUCCAACUACUUAAAGUUUUUAUUUAAACUAAAGACAAAUUAAAACUACGAAAAUCAGUUUAGAAAGGAUAAUAUGAAAAUAAUGCACAAAAUUUGGCUCCAAAGAUGCAGCAUCUACAGAAGGGACGAUUUGCAUUCAGGGGUUGCGGGGAUAUGGAAAAGUAGCAUGGAACGGGGUUGUUGCAAGGUGGAGUAUGAGGACAAGUUAAUUUUUCACAAAAUUAAUUACAUCAUCAAGUAAUAAAAAUUUAAAUAAAUAAUUUCAAACCAAAUCUAAAAUAAAUUAAACACCAUAAAAGUGUUUUAUCCUAAACCAAAUAUAAAAUAAAUUAAAACAGCAUAAAAGUAAAAAAUAACAUAAUAUAUUAUUUGUCCAAAUAUAAUAAUUUUAACUUCACACAAGUUAAAUAAAUUCAUUUAGGAUUAAGUAAUUAAUACCUUUGGAAAAAAAGAAUGAUUUAGUUUAGUUAGAUAAAAUAAUUUUAAUGUUUAUUAAAUUAGUUUUAAUUCGUAAAUGGGUCACAUCGGGUCAUAUCAGGUCACCACGGGUUGACCCGAAAUUGACCUGUUUUCUUUUCGGGUUCAUCGGGUUCGACCCGAUUCUAACCCGAACUCCCGAAACCUCAACCCAAACCCAUUAAUUUCGUGUUAGGAUCGUGUCGUGUUUUCGGAUCGUGUCAGGAAUUGCCACCCCUAAGGACAAGGGAAGAAGGAAGCAGGAAGCUGACAAGGCAGGGAUUGUCGGAAAAGUUAAAGGAAGCCAAGGCUGUUUGGACAGUAAUUUUUCAAAGAAAAAUUAUUACUUUUUUCGUGAACAUAUUUUCUUAUCAUCUUUUUAUCUAAUAUAUGUCAAAUCGUUAUAAUAAUUUUUUUACAAAAAAUUCAGAAAAAUACAAUUCAAACAAGGCCUACAUUUACGCAAUGAUACUAAACUACUUAAAGUUUGAACUUCCAAACUAAUUACUUAGAAUAUAGGUUGAAAAAAGAAAAGUCAGACAUUUAUGGGUCUGAAAGGAGUGUGUAUAAAUCUAUGGGUGCCGGGCAGCCCGGCACCUGACACAAACCUUUUUUUUUUUUUUCUCUAAAAAGAUGGCAGGUGCCGGGCUGUGUCUACCCGGCACCUGACACAAAAUAUUUUUCCCCAAAAUUGAACAACUGAAAUGGCCUCCCAAAAAAAUGAGCUUUUGACCAUAAGGGAUUACUUGAAUAAUAUCACUUCUUUGGCGUUUUAUUUGAAUAAUUUUUAUAUUAUGUUAGUUAAUUGGUGAUAAAUAUUUUAUGUUGUUGUUAUAUUAUGUUAUUAAUAUUUUUUAUUAAAUAAAUAUUUAAUUUAUUGUAAAAUAGUUGUAUACAAAUAUGUAAUUUACUUUUUAGGUAAGUUAGCUAAUAUUAGUUUAAUAACACGAUACAUGCUUAAUUGAAUUAGUUUAGUGAUAGAAUUACUUUAAGUAGUUUAAUUAGUUGUUUAAAUUUGUUUAAUGGAUUAAUUUAAAGAGACUAAUUAAAUGAAUGUAGAUGUAAUUUAUGUAGUAUUGAAUUAUGAUUAUGAAAACUUGUUAAUUAGUUCGGGUUAUUUAAGUAAUUGAAAGAAUUGGCAUAUUUAAUAAAUUCAAUACAUAAAAUUGAUGUAUUUAGCAUAACAUAAUUAACGAUAUUAGUGUUAUUAGUUUAAUGCAAUUCACUUUAUUAUGCAAAUUAGUUGAUAAUUAGUUCAUGUUAUUUAGUAUAUGAUUAGUUUAAUUAGUUUAGUGGAUUAAUUAGUUUAAUUUAUUGUGGAAUUAAUUAAUUUUAAGAGGUUCGAUUAAAUGAAUUUAGAUGUAUCUGGCGAGGUUAAUUAAUUGAAUGAAUUUUUGUAUUGAGUUUUGAUUAAGAUAGCCAUUUAGUCAAGGCAAUUUAAGUAUUUGAAAUAAUACCCAUGCUAAUAAAAUAAAUACAUAAAAUUAAUGUAAUUAGCAUAGCUUAAUUUCGACACUAGUGAUAUUAGUUUAAUGUAAUUCACUUUAUUUGUUAAGUUAGUUGAUAAUUAGUUUAUGUUAUUUAGUAUAUGAAUAGUUUAAUUAGUUUAGUGGAUUAAUUCGUUUAAUUAAUUGAAUGAAUUAAUUUUAAGAGGUUAGAUUAAAUGCAUUUAAUUAAGGUGCUGAAUUAGGUUUAAUUUGUUAUUUAUUAAAUAUUCAUUAAUUUAUUAUACAUGAUUUAAUUAUUUAAUUAUAAUACAUUAUUUGAUGUUAUUUGUUAUUAUUUGUUGUUAUUUAAUAGACCUUGAGAAAUUUCUUUACGAAACUCCAUGGCUGCGUAAUAGUUAAGUGCAUAUAGGGAUAUUUAGAAGAAUAAAGCGCCAAAGAAGUGAUAUUAUUCAAGUAAUCCCUUAUGGUCAAAAGCUUAUUUUUUUGGGAGGCUAUUUCAGUUGUGCAACUUUGGGGAGAAAUAUUUUGUGUCAGGUGCCGGGCUGUGUCUGCCCGGCACCCAUGGGUCUUUUUAAAAAAAAAAUUUGGGUGUCAGGUGCCGGGUUGUGUCUGCCCUGCACCUAUAGAUUUAUACACGCCCUCUGUCAGACUCAUAAAUGUCUGACUUUUUUUUUUUCAACCUAUAUUCUAAGUAAUUAGCCGAACUUCCAAUUGAAAUUAAGAAUAAGGAUGUUUGUUAAACAAAAAUUAUAUUAAAAACUAGUUUUGGGUGGGAGUGUUUUUCAAAAACUAGUUUUUCAAAUACAAUAAAAAUUUUUAAAAAGUAUUUUGAAAGGUAAUCUAAAAAUUAGUUUAAAUUUUUCUAAAAUUUUAAAAAUAUUCCAAAAUAUAUUCUAGAAACUCUUAUACUCUUAAAUAUCCCAUAAUAUUUUCUAAAAAUAUUCCAAAAUAUACUCUAAAAACUCUGUUACAGUAAAAUUUUUUAAAAAUACCCUUAAAACAGCUAAUCUAAAAGUAUGAAAAUUAGUUUAGGAACGACAAUUCACAAAUGUUACACAGAGUGUGGCUCCAUUUUGAUGGGUUACUUUUAGGAUGCUUUUAGAAAACUUUCAUAAUAGGAAUAUUCUUUUAAAAUCUUUAUGUGUAGUAUUUUUGGGGUCCAUUGAAAAUUUUUGGCAUGUUAUGUUUUCAUUGUUGGCAUUGAAUACAUUUAAAAAUGGCCGGUAAGCAAUAAAAUGAGUCUCGGCAAUAGCGAAAGAUAGUUGGUGAUGGGUCCACCGCAAGGUUGUGCGUUUUAGGCUAGUAGGAAGGCGGUGGAGUGUAGGUGGCAAUUGGCAAAGAUUUAAGAUGACUAAAUUUAUUUAACAAUAUUAAAUUUACUUUGGAUUAAUCUUAUAUAUAUUAUCACUAUUAGAUAUAUGACACAUGAGUAAAAAUUCAAUAUUAUCACUAAUUAGAUUUUUUUCUCAUUAGAUAUAUGACACAUUAGGUAUUUUUACAUUUUUACUCAUUAGAUAUAUGACACAUUAGAUAUUUUUACUCAUGUGUCAUAUAUCUAAUGGUGAUAGUAUAUAUAUGCUGACAGUGUAUAUAAAAUUUAUUUAUUUACUUUAUAGAAAUAUCAGAUUUACAUUUUAUUAUCAUUUUAUGAGAUUAAAUUUACUUAACAAUAAAAUUUAGUUAACAAUAUUAGUUUCAUAUUUCUAUUUUUUACCUGUUAAAUUUACUUAAUAAUAUUGAUGUAACAAUAUUGUAUUUGUUUGGAUAAAAUAUUAUUUGAAAUAAUUAUUGUAACAUUUUUAUGAUAUAAUAUAUGUGAGAUAAAAAUGUGGUUAAAACUAUAAAAAUGUAGGUUGAAAAAGGUAGGUGAUAUCUUAUCACAAACACAAGAUUUUAUUGUUUAUGGACAUAUAGAUAGACAUGAAAUUGUCCUCAAUAAUAAAAAAAAAUUUAAGUACAAUUAUGCGUUUGAAGAUGAUCUGGCUCUUUCUGGCUUUACAUAUAAAGGGCAGCUUUUGAUUGAUCAAUUUUUGAAUCGCGCGCGUCUCCAUCGCAACGGUUCACCAUCUGUAAUUAUUUGGACAUCGGGGCGUACAGACGUGGAUUGGUUUGACAGAGUCUGGGAUUUAAAUGUCAAUUGUGCAAUAGGGAUCUCAGCAUUUUACGGCCAGCUCAGCUGCUAAGGAAUGAACGGUUCUUGUAGCUGGGAGCAGGAUAUGCUCCCCAAGGAGAUUUUCUCAAAAGGAAUAUCUCUUAAUUUUUCAUGGUGGAUACAAGCUUCUUUCGGCUUCCCUCCUGUCUGUCUAGUACAGGAGAGAAUAGAUUAUACAACAGUUAUCGUCUUGAAAAAAAAAUUUUAAAACUUCUAUUAUCCAGUUGGCCCAACCAAUUGGUCGUCGAAUUUUUUUCCACACAACUUAAUCAUUCAGAUAUUUUUAAUGAAUGGGAUAUCUUAAAAUAGUCAAGUCGAGUUACUGGAGGUACUUUUUUUUUUUUUUUUUUCUUUUUAACGUCAAAGUUUUAAUCCUGUUGCAUAUUUCGAUUUUAGUGCAUGUUUAUCUAUCAUUAAGAUAAUGAUUCACAUCAAUCAUGCUGCUUGACGAUUUUCAGCACUUUUGAUUGCCCUAUCUGUGUUGGAUAUGCUCAAAUUAUAAUUGAUGGACUUUAGGUGAGAGCGGGAUAUGCCUCCCAUGGAGAUUUCUCAAAAGGAAUAUCUCUCAAUUUUCGUGGCGGAUUGAAAAGGAAUGCUCAAACAUGUUACUUCUUCUUCCCCUUUUUUUUUGGCCUUUUUGAUGUGCAAAUUUUAAUUGUGUCGCAUAUUUCGAUUUUAAUGCUUGUUUUAUCUGACAUUAAAAGAGCAACGAUGUAUAUCAAUCGUGAUAUUGGACGAUUUUUAGCACUCUUGAUUGGCCUAUCUGUGUAGCAUAUGCUGACCAAAUGAUAAUUGAUGGAAUUUAGAUCCGAUCAGGAAUUACUCCGCAGAAAGGAGUGCACCUAGAUCCACGCAAGUAUUGUAAAGAGUUCUGGGAAACAACUGUAAUGGAGAACAAUUGGCUGGAGAGCAAUUGCAAGGUCAUUCGCUUAGCAAAAAGUAUGUGGAUCCUACUCCGUACGUUUUGUCGGCUUAUUCUUGGAAAUGGACUAUUCUAACCGGUUCUCACCCGAGUGGUCCAUUCCAGUGAUUCUGACAUCAUUCGACACAGUUUGUGGGAAAACUAUUUUAAGUGGUUGUCUUUUUAUCAACAAUUUUCUAUAGACAUCUAGAAAAUCAUAGAUAAAUGAUUCCUUCAUCUGAACUCUCUUUUUUUUUCUUUUUUUUUUUGUCGACACAGGGAUGUCCGGGUCAAUCCUUACAGGGCCCGAUUAAUCUCCUGCGAUCCGGGUUUAGCGCCCCAACCCGACCCUAGCACGAUAAGUGCGCGGAGAAAUCCAGCAGAGUAGAGACUCGAUCUCGGGACCUUAGGGGUCACUAGUGGAAGGUGCUACCGUUGGACCAUUCACGCGGGGCAUGCCUGCAUCUGAACUCGCUUUUGUGGAAAUUAUUCGUGUCACGUGACUGCAAUGGAUAAGCUUAUUAUCAACUGCCACUUGCACUAAAUGCUGUUAUGUAGUUGUUACGGUCCAGAACCAGGAAUUUUUGCAGGAAAUGGAAAUGAACUUCAGGAAAUGAUUCAAUAACUCACAAAUUCAGAUGAACUCAAACAAACAAUUCCAUUGCAUUAAUGAAUCUCAAAAUUUAGUUACAGAAACAGGAUUGGCGGGAAAAGAGGAGAAGGGGAAAGAGACCGAAGGAAAACAAACAAUUCCAUUGCAUUAAUGAAUCUCAAAAUUCAGUUACAGAAACAGGGUUGGCGGGAAAAGAGGAGAAGGGGAAAGAGACCGAAGGAAAACUUGAAGAAGAAGAAAAAAAGACAGAGAGGAUAUUCCUUCUCUGAUUACAAUAACAAAUUUCUCAAAAAGCUAAUGACAAUUGCAUGAUCCUCUCGUUUUAUACUGUUGCUACUCUAACUAACUUCCUCCAAGAGCGAAUGAGCGUCUAACACAUGUCCGAGGGGAUCUUUUAGCUAGACUGGUCCCCAGCAUCAGCAAAAACAACGUGAACCUAGCAAAGGCGUGGUUUCUUGAUCACGCCUUCUCUUGUUAUCCUCCUGCAACUUCCACGCCUUUCCACGCCUUCCUUUCUUCUUCCUUCACGCCUUCCUUCCUUUUCUUGUACAGCUAUUUCCUGACUUCAUUACAACACUCCUCUCUUGGAAGCAAUCUUGUCCUCAAGAUUGAAACUGGGGAAUUGUCUUUCGAUUUCUUCAGCAUAUUCCCAUGUGGCUUCUACAGGGUCUGUGCCCCACCAAUGAAUCAACCAUUGAACUACAACAACAUUUCUUCUUUUAACUAUUCUUCUAUCAAGCACAGCUACUGGCUCCACUUUCUAGUGACCCCUUUCGUCUAUUUCUGGCAGCUGGAGUGUAGGUGUGACCUUGUCUCCGAUCUUCUUCUUAAGUAGGGACAUGUGGAAAACAGGAUGCACCUUUGAGGUGGUAGGCAGCUUUAGUCUGUAAGCUACGUUACCAGUCUUCUCUUCUACCUUAUAGGGGCCAAAGUAUUUAGCUGAGAGUUUGGUGUAUCCCCUUAGGGCUAAUGAGCUCUGUCUAUACGGUUGUAGUCUCAGAUACAUCCAAUCUCCUUCACAGAAUACCCUCUCACUCCUCUUUUCAUCUACAUACUUCUUCACCCUCUCUUGAGCUAGCUUCAAGUUCUGCUUCAACGUGUUGUCCAUAUGUAGCCUUUCUCUGAUGUAAUCUCCAACUAUAGCCACUCUGGUCUGUAGGUAAGGUCCCAUAGCUAGCUAAGGGGGGGACAUGCCAUACAAAGCCUUGAAUGGGGUCAUUUGAAUGGCUGUGUGACGUGUGGUGUUGUAGCACCAUUCUGCCAAGGAUAGCCACUGGUUCCAUCCCUUAGGCUCCAGAUGAGUCAGGCAUUUGAGCUACAUUUCUAGCACCUGGUUAACUCUCUCAGUCUGUCCAUUAGUUUGGAGGUGGUAGGUUGUGCUGUAAUCUAGUUUAGCUCCCAACAUAGUGAAUAGUUCUCCUUAGAAUUGGCUGACAAAUAUCCUAUCUCUGUCUGGUAGCAUGCUUUGGGGUAUCCCAUGUAGCUUACUGACAUGAUCAAUGAAGAGUCUAGCUACCUUUGGGGCAUCAAAAGGAUGUGCCAUAUUGAUGACAUGGGCAUAUUUGGUAAAUCUGUCUACAACUACCAUUAUAGUGUCUUUCCCUUCUGAUUUUGGUAACCCCUCAAUGAAGUCCAUGGUGACAUGGCUCCAUGAAUGCUGUGGGAUAGGGAGAGGUUGUAGCAAUCUUGGGUAGGCCACAUGCUUAUCCUUACACUUUCUACAGAUGUCACAUUCCAGGACUAACUUCUUGAUUUCUUUGUAUAUUCCUGGCCAAUAAAAUAGUUGUUUAGCUCUCAUGAAGCUGGCCUAAAUGCCUAAAUGCCCCCCUAUUUGAGAGUCAUGCAAAGCAGUGAUGAGUUUCUUUCUUAUGUCUCCCUGUCCUCCUCCCACCACCAGUCUCUUCUUGUACCUGAGAACUCCUUCAUGAUAGGAGUAGUCUGGUACUUGGGUAGGAGUCAAUAACACUUGGGUUAUGGUUUCUUGAACCUAUUCAUCCUCCUUAUAGCUCUCAAUCACUUCUCUGAUCCAACUAGGCACUGCACAUGAAAUGGCUGUGCAAUCUCUUGUUUCCUCCCUGCCGUAUCUGGAGAGGGCAUUAGCUACCACAUUGUCCUUCCCUUUCUUGUAGUGAAUUUCAUAGCUUAGUCCCAGUAGCUUGGUGAGCCACUUCUGUUGGAGAGGGGUAGUGAUCCUUUGUUCCAACAAAUAUUUUAAACUUUGAUGAUCAGUGUGUAUGAUGAAGUGGUGCCCCUCCAAGUAGUGUCUCCAUUUGGUCACAGCAGUCACCAAUGCCAGUAGCUCCUUCUCAUAUAUGGACAGCCCCAUAUUCUUUUGCCCAAGGCCUAAAUGAAAUAGGAUAUAGGCCUCCUGUUUUGCAUCAGUACAACCCCUAUGCCAUUAUAGUAUGCAUCUGUCUCAAUGAUGAAUGGCUGAGAGAAAUUAGGUACUGCUAAUACAGGUGUGUGCUGCACAUGACUCUCUUUAACUCCUGGAAAGCUUUCUCUAAAUCCUCCCCCAAUUGGAAUCUGUCCUUCUUCAACAAAUUGGUCAAAGGUCUGGCUAUGUCUCCGUACCCCUUGACAAACCUUUUGUAGUAUUUUCAACAAAUUGGUCAAAAUAUGUUGUAUUUUAACAAAAGAUUAUAAAAACAUAAUUUUUUCAACAUGUAAAACUAAUUUCUAUGAAACUAAUUUUUGCAACUAAAAAUUACUAGCUUAGGACUGGUUUUUUUAAUCGUAAUGUAAGUAUCAAUAUCAAACUAAAUCCAAAUAAAAAUGAAUCAAUGUUUCUAUUUUAAUCUGUAUGUCACCAAGGAUUUCUCCCACAAGCACGCAAUGAUUUUCCACCGUGAUUUCAAUUUUUUUUCCAUGAAGACUUUUAAGUCCUCUUUGUGAAAUUGCAAAGAGAAAACUUACUUAAAGCUAACAUUCUCCAUUUUUUUUUAUAUUGCCACAAAAUCUGUAGAUUAUUAGUAGAAAAUUUAAAAGAAAUAAAAUAAACUAACUUAAAGCUAACAUAGAUGUGCAACAAAAUUAUUUUAUAGCGAAGAUAGAGGUUGAUGAUGGUAUGUGAUAAGAAACCCUUUCCAGAUACACCUUUCAGCUGUGUUUUUAAACUUGGAUCAGACCGGCCGGUCCGAUCGGGAAUCGACCAAGUGUCCGGUCCGAAUUAUUCUAAAAAAUCGGAUUUGACCGAGUUUGACCAGCACCGGAUUUGACCGGCAAACCGGAUGAACCGGUUUGAUAUCAAAGCCUUCUCUUUUUUGCUCUUCUUUCUUACAAACCAGCGGUGGGAUCCUAGUGGGCCCGAUGGAAAGAUAUAAUGGGGCCUUCUUAAUUGAAGCAGAUCUCUAACAUGGCAUGCGCAUCAGAGUUGGAAACCUCAGUCUCUCAGUCCUGCCACCCAAAUUUUUUUUUGGAAAGGUCAAACCAAUUUCAAUAUUAUGUUUUGGCUCCCAAGUUGUUAAAAAUUAUUAAUAUAUCUUAAAUAUUUCAUACUUUAUAAAUGUUGUCCUAAAGUUUGGUGUUAUUUUUCAAUCAAAUUCAUAAUUUUAAUUAUAAACUUGUUAAUGUUCAUUGAAUAAUAUAAAUUGCUACUUGAUCAUUCUAAUUUUUUUGUAUUUUCUUGUUAAAUAUAUUUGAAGCAUCAAAUAUAUAUAUGAAUAUACAUGUAUUAAUAUUAGCAUAUUCUUAAGUAUUUUACAUACAAUAUUUUAAUUUUUAAAUAAUUUUUAUUUAUGACAUCAUCCGGUUUAACCCCAAUCGAAUCCGGUCGAAUCCAUUGAUCUCUGACCACUGAGGACGACCGAGUCGAUGCCCAGUCCAAAUAUGAAAACAUAGCCUUUUAGGGAAGAAGUCAGAGAAAUUUCUAAAAUUAUGAUGAUUUUUAAAAAAAUUCUACAAAGGGGGCAUUUUUUGUAUGGGAUUCUGUCCAGGGGGUCUUCGCAUUCAGCAAAUGCGAGCUCAAGGAGCUCGCAUUUGCUGAAUGCGAGCUUGAGCUCGCAUUUGCUGAAUGCGAGGUCUCCUUGAAUUUUCCUAACAUCCAAAUCAAAAAAAAAAGAAAAAGAAAAACAAACCUCGCAUUUGUCAAAUGCGAGGUCAUAUACCUCGUAUUUAACAAAUACGAGGUUCUCGGCCAGGCAACUCAGCUUGCAUAUAGCGAGCAUUGUGACGAAAGAAGCCCCUGGUCCAGUGAGCGUGAGCAAGCUGCAAUUUUACAUAAAAAGGCUGCUCAAACAAUUGACAUAAGUUAGAAGCCGUGCGUGUUUCAUCAUGCUAGUGAUGAAACUGGAGCCAAAAUUUACUAUUUACCAUCUUCAAAUUAUUUUCAAGAACAUGAAUCUAGAUUUUGCCAUGAUUUUUCUUUUUGCUUCAGUUCCAAUGCAGGCCUUCCCUUGCUUUAUGAUUUCACUGCAAAUUAUAAAAUGAUUUACAAUUUGCAAUGAAAAUCUCUACAAAUUUUACUACCUAAGGCUGUAAAUUCAUCAAAAUUGGAAAAAAAAAAAGAUCCCAUAAUAUUGCCAUCAAUACUUGAUAAUAAUUUGGGGCAAUAAAUCUUAACCGAACUAGUAUGCUUUCGGCUUUAUUGUAUCUCACAUCCGAAAAAAGCGAAUUCCUAAAAAAUUAUAUUCAAUUUGUUUUUUAAUUAGGAGCACACAAUCAUUUUUGUUUUUGCAUUGACAUUUAUCAUAGAGGAAUAAAUCUUUUUAUUUUAAAACUCACACGAGUUAGAAUUUAACAAAUGUGAGGUCUCAAUACAAAAUUUUAUGUACUAGUAAUUCUUUGUAUAUAAAUAACCAAAAAGUUAUAUUUCUUAUAGAUUAAAAGAUUUGAUAAUCAUACGGUUGAAAACACCUAAUUUUAUUAUUAAAUAAUUUUGUAAAGAAAUAACUAUAUAUGUAUAGUUCUUUGUGCAGUUGGAAACAAGCUUUGGCUUUGUGUUCAGAUUGAGGUCCUCGCAUUUACGAAAUAAUUAUUUAUCAAAUGAUUAUUAUGUGAUUAUUUAUCUUAUAGAUUAAAAGAUAUACUUUCCUAUAAAUGCAAAAAUUAUAAUCACAUAAUAAUCAUUUUCAAAUUAAAUGAGAAAAAAUAUUCCCAAACCACAUAUAUUUAUUUCACUAGGAUAUUUGAAAAACAUUUUAUUUGUUUAUUGUAAUUUAUUAUGAUUCAAUAUAUAUAAGUUUUUUUUGAAAAAAUUUUGAUAAAAUCUCCCCUUAAAAGUGAACUAAACUCCCUGCCAGCAAACCCAAAAUAAACAACAUUUAAUACAAGCAAUAUUUCCAACAACUUGUCAGCCAAUAAUCACAAACCACUGCAAAAGCACAAGUCUUUAGUAAAUUAAAAAACAGAAAAAAGUAAAAUCAAGUUAAACAUCCAACAUUCGACAGAUUAAAGACAAAAUGCAAGCAAAUCCAUGUACAAAUAAUAUAGUGAUCCUAAUGGUGCAGCUUCAAUCGUCAUCUUCAUCUGCAGCUCCACCCUGAGGUGAAGUAAUGCCUAAAUGAUCAUCUAUACGUGCCAAGCGAGAGUGUCCAUUCUCUGCAACUGGAAAAAUAAAUUAGAAUUAGUAGCACAAGACUAUGGUACAAAUAUUUUAGUUAAUAUUUUAGUAGUACAGGCAAAUGUGAUACAUGCUUGUCUUGUAUACAUAUUUUUAGUUAAUAUUUUAAGUUAAUAUUCCCUCUAACCCCCUAUACAUUAUUACGCAUCGUGCCAAAAUGUUAUUCAAGAAUUCCUAAUUAAAUUGAAUAUAAGUUUAUUAAAUACAUGCUUAUCUUGUUUUAUUUAACGUUUCCAAGCACCCCCCUUUCGAGUCUAUAUUGUAGCCAAUUUGUCUUAUUAUACUCUUAAGGCAAUCACAAACCAAAAACACCCAAAAAUAUUUUUAAAAAAAUUUGACAGAGUCUCCCCUGUAACUGGGCUAAAACUCCCUGCCAACCAACAUAGGCACAUCGAUUUUCAAACAAUUGAGAAAUAUGAGAUAAUUUAGACCACUACAAAUACGGUAGAAUAAUGUGAUAUACAAUAAUUUCUUAUAGAAGACAAGCAACUGUGAUAUUUUGACAAACCUACAAUAACAAUAUAAUGUAUAUAGUAGAAUGUGAAACAACAAUAAUUUCUUAUACUCCCCUGUCCUCCUUGAAACCUGCAAUUAAAAAAUAUACUACAGUAGAGGGUCUCACUUUACAUUCAUGAAUUCACCAUAAAACGAAUCCAAGCAAAGUUCAAAAAAUUAGAACAUUAAUAUGACUACAAUUAAAUCUACUUGUAAACUACAUGACUUACCCAAUGAUUUGCCUCAGAUUCUGAAGAUGCACUUGUGCAGACUUGAUCCUAGUGGUACCAAUCAAAGCCUCUUCAAGUCUCCUGGCUUGUGUCGAAAACUUUGUAUGCACCUAUAUGAAUAUGAUGGAGAUCACAGAAACCAAGAUAAGGUACUGGAGCAGAGGAUCUGGGAGGUGUUCGCAUUCUAUAGAAAAUAAAAAAAGUUCCACAAAGGGGGUUACUUUGGUGUCCUAUUCCGACAAGGGAGGUGUUCGCAUUCUAUAAAUGCGAUCUGUGCUAAGUUCGUAUUUCUCAUAUGCGAGUCUAACAGUUUAUGCUCUUUACCAAUUCCUUCACACAUAUUAACAACUUAAGAGUUUAUAUUUAUCUCAUUAUUUGUUCAUCCUUUGUAAAACUCUUUUCCUUUCUCUUGAUGCCAAGGAGUAAAUCAUGAUGAUUACCUUUUCUUGUUUUUAUCUUUUUUUCAACAAUUCUAUAAAAUGCAGAUGUAAAAACAAAAACAACCAACCAUAAUGUUUUCACAAAAAUAAAAUAACAAACAAAAAAAAAGAAAGGUGAGACCUCACAUUCACAUUUUUUGUUUUUUAAAAAGAAUUGUACGUGAGUUGUUCUCUUAACAAAAUGGAGUUUGUUUUUAAGAACAAUAAAGUUAAAAAAAAUAAUAUCCUCAAUGAAGAAAAAUUUGAACGCUAAUAAUAACUAGAAUUGUCAAAUCUUAUAUAGUUUAUUUUUCCCAAUGUUUUUAGCAACAAGUUUUUUUUUUUUUUUCCAAAUAGCGAUAGUAAAUAUAGGAUUGGUAUAAAAGACAAAAGUAGUGGAGCGGGAAUAUUAAGCAUUUUCACUUCGAACCUUGCCUUUACCUCCAUAAAUGUUAGCUUUAGUAAGGGGUGUUUAAUAUAAAGUUCGUAUACAGGGUUUAAAAAUUUGGAAGGAUAAGGGUGCUUAAAUUCAAGUAUAAUUGUUUGAGUAGUUGUUGUCAUUAUGGACUUAGAUUUUUUUUUUCCAACAUUUGAUUUCCCCAAAACAUUGUUACACCAUUAAGGAUAACUUAAUAACAAGUUGGCAUAAGAAGAUUAAGUAAUUAACAUGCUUCAAAUGCAAAAAAUGAAUAAUGAAAAGGAUAGACAAAGAAUUAAUGGAUAAAUUCGAAAGUGUGUAAACAAAUUGUUUUUAUUUUAUUUUUUUGUAAGUGCGUAAACAAAUUCUUACUCCAUUUAUUUUCCAAAGUAAAGACAGCAACAGGGGAAAAAAUGCAAAGGAUAGAAAAAGACUGUUGAAUGUUGAAAAGUAUCCUAGGUUUUAACUUAUAGGAAAAGGAUAGAAAAAGCAGGAAGCCUUACAAAAGCAAGCUACUUAUGUCACAUUUGUAUAUAUCUUCAAAUUUGCUUUAAUUAGCUGGCUUUGGUCCAGUAGGCUCUUCAACACAACUUGAUAAUAGAAAUAAUAUAGCCGAUCACACAAAAGAACAAUUAACAAAUCAACCACGAUUAUGUGACUGAAGUACAUACAGAUAUGACAUUUUCUUUAUUUCUGUCAUACCUAUGAACUCACUAAAAGAAAAAGUGAAAACCACUAAAGCUAUAUUAAAAUGAAUGUUGAGUUUAUUGCAUUCGGUUUCUCCGUUGCACUACCAAUUUGGCCCUCUGACAUAAAGAUAAGAAAAUGUGACCACCACUAAAGCUACAUUAAAAUGAAAACGGGAUACCUUUUACGCAAUCAAAGAUACUAAUGCAUCGUGGUAAAUAAAAAAUCACCUCAAGAAUUCUCUCUCUUAAUUAACCAAUCAAAUCAACUGGACUAAUUACAUUUUCUCUCGUCAAAUGAAAUGUACUGACUAUACUCCCCGGUGCUCUGCAUGGGUUAAAACUUGGUAGUUUCUAGGAAAAUGACUUUCCAAACAAAGGCCUUUUGGGUAUUAUUAUGUUGGUUCACCGCUGCGGUCUAAAUUUAAAUCUGAUAUAACUUUUAAUGCUCCUAUUACAAAUUAUCAUGCUCGUAGUACUUAUGAUUAAUGCAUUAGAGGGCUGGAUUUAGGUUAUAGGGGUAUAGAUGUAGCCCAUCCCAUGUGUACUUCAUCAUUAUCUCUAAUUAUGCCAGAGACUUUGCACCAGUUUUUUUUCUUGUACAAAGCCACAUAGUUGUUGAGAUGACCAGAGGACAAUCAAGUAAAUGACUAGAACAGCAACCUGAUGUGGUUCAGCAGAUUGCUAAGCGUAUUGGAAAGGGAAAAACAAUUCUUUUGCUCUUAGUGAUCCUAAAGGAUCAGCGUUAUCAAUGCAAAAACUUUAUCUUUUAUUGUCUACAUUUAUCAUUAGACAUUCUUAGGACAGGCCAUUCUUGUAAUCAACCACAAGAAGACACUUAGCUCCGAUAACAAGCAAUGUACAAUGUCCAAAUAAGAGACCAACCGAAACAACAACAAUGUCCAAUAAAUUGCCAAAUCAUAAAAGGCACUUCAAUUCGGAAAACAAAAAUUCCCAGAAAACAAAUUACAACUCAGAAAAAAAUUUUAUUCUUACCUCUUGUGCUGUUUCUGGUGAAAGGAAUGGCAAAUGGAGAAAGCCGGAUGCCGGACUUAAAUGGAGCUAGCUACCAGAGAUGGGUUCCCAAAGGGGAAGCUCUGCAAUGGCCGAGAGCUUCCGAUGCUUCUGAUGAGAGCUUCGGACGAGAAGAAAUGCUGCCUUUCUGAUUUCGCAUGAGGAGAAACUCCGCAACUCUACAAAAUUGAAGAGCUUUCGAGGAGAAGGCCGAGAGAUUCCGACGACAAAGCUGUGACUCUGAUUUUCGAUGAGAAAGCUCAGACCAAGAUAAUUUUGAGAGUGAGGAGUUUUGGCUGCACGGAGAGAGUGAAGGGAGAGUGAGACUGAAGAGAAAUGCGAAAUUGGGAAUUCUGAUUGUUUUCAGAUCGAGUACCUCGCAUUUAAGAAAUGUGAGUUACAUAAUCUCGCAUUCUCCUAAUGCGAGCUUAAGAAGCUUGCGAGCUUAAGAAGCUUAAGAAGCUUAAGAAGCUUAGCAGAAUGCGAGCUUAAGAAGCUUGCAUGCGAGGUACAUAAUCUCGCAUUCUCCUAAUGCGAGCUUCUUAAGCUCGCAUUAGAAUGCGAUCUUCUUUUUCUUUGUUUUUGGAAACACAUACCUCGCAUUUGUGAAAUGCGAGGUAUCUGAACUCGCAUUUCACAAAUGCGAAGAUCACAAGUCUGGAACCAACUUAAAAAAUUACCCCCUUUGUAGAAUAACUUUUUUUUUUCAUCACCAUUUAAGAAUUUUCUCGAAGAAGUCAUGGGAACGAAGUUAAAUUGGCAUUGCAUCUACUGAUGGAACUGUUAGAAUCGAGUCACAAUAAUGAGUACCAGUCACUCAGCAUAUGAUUCGUUGUUCCUCGAAAAUCGUUAUCCAUAUUAAAGUUGGAAAACAAUUUAAUCAAAUCGUACGGAGUACCAUUCAUCCAUUUUUUUGGUCUUUACUUUAACAGUACAACUUAGAGACAUUCAGUAUGUUUGGAUUGAAAUAUUUUGAGAUAAAAUAAUUUAUUUUACAAAUUUCAAUCAUUCUUUUAUCUUUCUAGUUAUCUUUUUGUCUCACAUACAUCACAGCACAAAAAGUGUUAUAGUAAUUAUCUCAAAUAAAUCAUCUAAAUAAACUCAUAUCCAAACAAAUCCAAAUUGUGUUUCUACAAAUUCUUUUGUCAAAAAUGGCCCAAGUAUGAUUUUUAUUUAAAAACUACAAUAUUGUUGGUCCCUUAGCUUUUCAAAUUGUCUAAAAUAAUGCCAUAUUUCUACUCUAGAAUAUUAAUUUAGUCUUUCAGUUGUCAACUAUUGCACUGAAUUUUCACUUAUGGAGGAGGUGGUGGGGGAGAGGGGAGGAGGGGAGGAGAGGGGAGACGAAGGAGGGUUGGAGAGGUAGGUCAUCUUUAAAUAAUGUAAAGGAGUAGGUGAUCUUUAAAUAAUAAAAACUAAAGUGCAUCUACACUUUAAAUAUGAUUUAGACAUAACAAUAAAAUUUUGCCAUAAUCAACACGUUGGAUGAUGCUAUUGGACGUUCAGAAAGAAUUAAAGAUCAAGCGGAAACGUGUCAGUACUAUAUUAUGAAUUGGUUUAACAUUAAUUUGUCUGUAACCUCUUACAUAACUCGCCAAACUAAGCACUAAUUAUUUGAGCCAAGAUUAUUUCCCACUUUGUGUGACGACAAAAGAAUGUAGGAAGUUCUGUAGUCAUGUGAUAUAGAUCAAGGUAGCAUCUUCCAAGGAGCCCUUCCUGAGUUCCUGCGGCCGAUACAAAUACAAAUGGUGCAUUGUGUGUUUUAAAAGGCGAAAACCGCGGGCGGGACAGUCUUUUUAUUUUUAAAUAUUUUAAAAAUAUAAAAACACGUACACACACACACACACACACACACACACACACAUAUAUAUAUAUAUAUAUACAUGUGUGUAUGUAUAAUAUUAAAAAUACCCAAAAAAUAAAGAAAAAUUAUAACCUUAUGUGAUUAAAAUAAAACCUGCCUUGUGUGAUCUCUUUGCAAUCAUGUUUUAUGUUGGUAUCAUAGUAUUUGGUUUGAUUAUAUGUUAGAAGUUACUAAUUCUAAAAUUUAGACAAUUUUUUAUUUUUAUUUUCCUGUAACUCAUUACUUCCUUAUCUAUAUCCUACUUUUCAAUUCAUUUUUUCAACAAUUAAUUAUCUUCCUUUUUGACUUUCUUAGUUAUAGCAACUUUUAAUGAAUUGUAUAUGAGCCAUUCUAUGUAUGCAAAUUGUGUUCUUGAAUCAUCAAUAUCCGUCAAUAUUUCUACAAAUUCAUUGCACAAAAUGUUUACUACAAUUAUUUAGAUCUUCAAACUAAAUUCUUUUGCAUCUUCAAAAACAAAAUGUUUACUUUAAUUUUAUUGUUACCAAAAGUAAUUUUCAAAUUUACAGAAUCUUUCAACAAAUUAUUUGUACUCCCGCUGAAGUAACGGUUGAGAUGCAGAUUGGAUGACAAGAUAACGUCUGCUGAAGUCAAUUUUUGAAGCUAUGCAUGCAUCCAUCAAAACGGUGUCCAUUUACUCGUAAACUUUUCAAAGUCUUAUAAUUAAUUUCGUUGAAUUAAAUGAAUUGUAUGAUGCAAUUGCAGGGAAUCUCCAUCCAAUUGGAAACAUUUUCCAGACUACGUGUAUACAAUUAAUCCAUCGUUUGGAAUUUUGUACCUCAAUCACACAUGGAAUUUUGAAUUUAACAGCAUCGCCCAAUAGGGUGGCUUUAUCUGUUUUCCUUCUAAAAUGACUCUUAUAAAUCAGAGGCAUGAACAGUUCAUUGCUUGGAAGAGAUCCCUUCAACAAUUGAAAGUCCACUACAAGAAAAUCAGGCUUUUGUGACAAACCAAAUGUAGUCAUUAAAAAUCAAAAAGUUGUCAUUAUAAAAAGAUAGUGACGACUUUUUCGAUUGUCACGUGAUUGUCGUAAAUGAGUCCAUGUAACAACUUUAGAUAAGUCGUCAAAGAAUCAUAUUAUUCUAUGAUAAAGAAAAAUUCGUCACUAACUAAAACCAUUUUGUGAUGACUUUUCUUGUCAUUGUUUCACCUGUAUUUUUGUCAUAGAUAAUGUAAAAGUCGUUACAAAUUUCAUAUCUACAAUGAUGACUUUUACAUGUCACUUAUAAUCCUGUUCAUUAGUGACAAGAAUUGUUGUCAUUGGUUGAACUUGUAGCUAGUGACAACCUUCCCUGAUGUAGUCACUGAACUUUGUUUAAAAUGUUUGAAAUUUGCCAUAAAAAGCCUACUUCUAUUGCAUUUUCAACAACCAUAGCAGAAAAUUGUGGCUUGACUAAUGCAAAAAAGAUAGUAAUUAAUGUACAAUGAACCCUCAAAUAUAUAUAUAUGUAUGGUUAUAAACAUCUCUAAAUUCAUCAAAACACACAUUAACCAAAAUGGGUUCCAAAGCCCAUAUUAGUUCAAGUACUAACAGCCAUUAUCCAUCCAAACAAUAGAGUACUAAGUUCACAUCAGUUCAACUAGUAACAGCCAUUACGCAUCCAAAAAAACAAAAUACUCUUUCCAAACAAAAACAUAGACUAAAGAAGCAAUUUGUGUCAAACUGAAGUCAUCUUCAUGAGCAUAUCCAACAGCCAACCUUUUUCAUCUCCUCAAGAGCAUUUAAUAGCAUUGUACUGCAUUGAAAGAAAAGUAUCACACGCAUUAGAAUCGAUUUCAGUCAAAAAAUAUGCCAUUACAAGCAUAUACUAUUGAAUUUGAAUGAACAGUCAUACUGAACAAAAAUCCAAUUAAGUCAAUAUGAUAAGAGAUAAAAUAAUCAGUCAAACAAGAGUUUCAACCAAAACAUACUAAUUAGAAUAUAGAUAAAAUCUGCCCAAAGUACCUCGUUAGAGAUCAAUAAAGUCAAGUUUGUUUCAAUCCUACUAUUAAGGGUUAUUUCAACCAAAAUUAACUUGAUAUAAUUGACAAAUGAAGCUUAAAGAGUGGCUUAAGCUUUUGAACUUGAUAUAAAAAACUCAAAGGGAACUUGAUGUACAAAGGAACCAAGAAAAAAAAGUGCAACAAAAACAAGUCCUUACCCAAGGAUAUGAUGACGAAGGAUAUCAAAGUACUAAGUGCUCCAAACAGCAUUAUAGUAAUGAAAUUGCAAAAGAAUUGUUUCUUUUUAACCUCGAACCUGAUAAUUAAGGGGAAUGAAAAUUGAUCCCAAAUCAGCCCUGUGCAGAAAACGCCUCUUAAGAAACUAGACUUCGGCAAAGUUUGUCAUUUGCUUGCUAUCUAAGCAAAUUAAUUUACUAAAAUUCAUGCUCCCAGCAAAACCAGGCCUAAUAAUGCUGAAUCUCAGGUUAUUUUUUUCUUUUGAACUUUUUCCUUUUUCAGAAUCCUAUAUCCAUGUAGGGAAGAAAAUGGUUCAAUAAAUUUACUACAUACCCAGCAUUGAAAAUGAUCGGAGGAAGUAGAUAAAUAAAGAAAAGAUCUUCACUGAAAACCAACAGAUGCGAGCUUGUUCCUCCACUAAUUAGUAGAAUUACCAUCACAAAAUUGUCUCCAGUCCUUGAAAAUAAAUGAACAAACGAUUGAAUGUCAAAUCUCCAGCAAAAUUUACAAAAUAAAAACAGGGGACUCAAGUGUAUUUAUCUUUGGUAUCAUACCAGCCAAGAAAUUAAUGAAAGCUGAUUAUACAUGGUUGCCUCUUUUAUGUAAAUGCAGUUUUAGUGCAAUUCUGCCCAAAAUGUCAAAGUUACUACUGUAAAAACCUUAUAGCGAUUAGAAUAUGUAAAUCUACAAUAACUUAAUAAUUAAAAGACUUCAAAAUCUGCUAGUUGCACUCCGAUAGUGUACGGUGCUGGAUCUAAAAAGAAAAGGAAAGUUACCUCUAUGGGUGAGAAGUUCCUGCCAAAUUGGAAAAAGAUGCAACAAAGCCAGGUUAACAAAGCUAUUAUGUACAAGAGAGUAAGGGAAUCAACAUGUACUUUCUAAUAUUCUUUGUGGAAGAAACAUAUGAAAGAGAGUAAGCCCCACCUUCUAACGAAGUGAAAUAUCCUCUAAGUUAUGUUCCUGCUUUUCAAUUAAUCUUCUUGCAAGCUCCUUAACCUGAAAAUGGAGAAGAGAACUGGUUAUUUAAGCUUCGCUGACCACCAGUUUAAACAUGAAAUGGUGCUAAUGCUACUAGUUGGAUGAACAAACUUUUGUUGAGAAUCAAAGGAAGGCUGAUGUUGCUGAAGCUAAUGCUCUUCUAGCUAACAGAAAGGCUGGAUGGGCAAAACAUACCCCUUCUGAAGGGCAUAGAGGACGUUUGCACUACUAUAGUACUAUGAUGAAGCACAUCACAAUCUUCAUCAAACAAUGGAUUUAUAGCUACCAAUUUCAACAAUCAUUACAGUACUUCUCCCAUCAUACAGGACAGACAAACUUACUGCGUGCAAAGGGAUAUCCUAAAUCAAAGAAAGAAACACAAGACAUUCCAAGCGUGCAAAAUAGCUUAGUAUAGAAAAGGGAAAUGCCUUCUCUGAAUGCUGAUAGCGUGCAAAACAGCUUAGGAUAGAAAAUGUUGGUUAAACAAACUACACCUGCUACUCAUUGUAGAAUAAAUAGAUAUCAAAGAACUUGUCUAUGGUGUAAACUGUAAAUGACAUGAUAUUGCCAUCAGGAAAUUAAGGUCAGUGUACGCUACCAUGAUUCAGAGGAUCAAGAUUCAUGUAUAUUUCUUCCAAGCAAUUGAUGAUCUUAAUGCUACGGCAAUCUCUAACAACUUUUGCUUUAAAAAAUCAUCUGAUCUACGGGCAUUCUUUUUCUAUCUUUGUUAUCUUUUUUGCAUGCAAGUACAGGUGAGCCGAAUAAAGGGAGAGGGAUUACCUCCAGAGAACUUUCGGAGAUGAAAAUCAAGAUCUAAUACCCGAAAAGGAAGUCUAAGAUAACAAGAAAUUACUCCUUAUGAUAUCUGAUACCCCUUGCAAAAGGCCUUCACGAGCUUAUCCCCUUCAGUACCAUAUACAACCAGAGGACCUUUCCUGCAGAUGUAGCGGCAGUUACGCAUCUUACCCUUUCUUGGGUGGAUACCCUAGCUGUCUUUAGCCUUCUCAGCAUCAGGGUAAGCCCCAAUUUUCUUGAGAAGACUAAUAGCGUUGGAGGUUUUCUCCAUGGCCUCAGCAAAAUCGGAGAUCGUACAAGGGAUUUGCAGGACAGACUCGAUGCGGUGGCCGCAGGCCAUGACAAGGGAAGGCACUGCAGAGGGGGCGAUGGCAGAAACCACGGCAUACCGUUUCUUGUUGAUUGGGACCUUGCGGUGCCAAAGGCGCCAGAUCUUGGUCGGAGCAAACAUGCGGCAGCCGCGGCACAUGUUGCCAUAGGCACCCUCGCCAGGAACACGAGAGAUACGAGAAACAGCGCGACCAGUACCCCAGGACUCGACGAAGGUCUGGUGGCCAGCGGACCUACAGACGGUGUAGGUUGGUGAGAGUUCUUGGAGAUGUCGCGCGAUGAACGUCUUGGAGGAUGUCUGGCCGGAUUGGGGCUUUCAUGACGUCAGGCAGAGGGAGGGAGUUGGCGUCGGCCUCCAUUUCAUUCUCAAGAGGGAUAACGGUAACUACAGGGACAGCGGCGGCGGAAUUAGGGAUUUUUGCUAUCUACAACUCCACUAAAGCUACACAAAUCUUUUGGGUAGCUCAAAUUACGGAUGAAAAUGGUGGGCUAAUAUGAUUUUCUGGAUAAUUUCAGCAAAAUGAUAGUGGAGAGAAGGAGAAGAUGUAGUGUCCGAAGUUGGCAAGAAGAGGGAAAGCAAGUUUUGUCCGAAAUUUUUCUAAGUGUUACGAGUGUUUUUGUUUUAACUCUUGCUAAAAUGACGUCGUUUCUGCUUCUUUUGUUUACCCGUCUCUACUCGUUCAAUUUUGUUCAAUUUUUAGCUUCCCCCGCCUCUACUCCAAAUUUCAGCUUCACCCGCCUCUACUCCAAUUUUGAGCUUCCCAUUUCCAUUUUAGCUUCAGCCAAAAAACGCUUUCAGGUGACUUUUGUACUAACUAUUUGGACCUUUCUUUAUAAAAACAAUGCCUUCUCUAGUAUAUCUUUUUUCUUUUCUCCAUCUUUGUGUAAUUAAAGUUGUUUUUUAUUUUGAGUUUUUAGCUCACAAGUUGUAUUAAAACUUUAUUUGUUGCAUUAAAAGUUUAGAAUAUGAAAAUUUAGUGUUUUUGGAUAAUUUUGUUUACUAACACAGGUUUUUUUUAUCUCUACAAAAAAUUAAUGUCCAAAAACUAAAAAGCUUAUUAAAAAUAUGUUCAUGAUUCAAAAAAAAUCUUUUAAUGUAAAUAUUUUUGGUAUUAAUUUAAUAAUUUUAUGAAUUAUGUACGAAUUAUGGUUUGACAAGACCUAACAAUACUGUUUAGUUGAUCAAAUAACCAAAAUAGUUUGCUAAUACAUUCAUGACACACUAAAUGUUUUUGGUACAAGUACCGAUCCAUAAACCAUAAACAAUGUGACUAUUGUAAUUAAUAAUAAACUCUACUCAUCCAAUUGGUUUACUAGUUGAUAAUAAACUAGUUGAUCAAAUAACCAAAAUGGUUUACUAAUACAUGCAUGAAACACUAAAUCUAUUUGAUACAUGUAUUGAUUCAUAAACCAUAAACAAUUUGAUUAUUGUAAAUUAUAAUACAUAACAAAUUCCAGUCAUGGAAUUGUCAAGAUUUUUACUUAAUUUCAUAUUAAAUUUUAUUAUUUUCUUCCAUUAUUUUCAAACUAUAUUAAUCAGUAAUUUCCCAUAUGUUGUCAAGAGAACUAAAUAAUGAAUUCAUGAUAUUUUUUUAACUUUAUAACAGUGUAUUUGCUAUGAUUGGAAUAAUUAAAAAAAUAGGUAAACAUUGUUUUUUACAAUACCUUCGUCAUUUUGCUAAUGAUAAACACAACCUAAAGUGUAAAAGCAUAGGGUGCCAUAAUAGAAUUAAUAAAACCUUUCUUUAUCACAUACGAGACUAAAUUGCAAAAGAUAAGGUGUCAUGGUAGAGUUAAUGAGAUUAGUUUACCAAAUAAGGGGCUAAAAUAUAAAAGUUCAGGUGUCAUAACUUAAUUAAUUAAAUUUACUUGCACCAUAUGGGCCAUAUAGAAAAAAUUAGGGUGGUAUAUGGGGUUAAAAUGUAAAAGCUAGGGUGUCAUCACAAAAUUAAUAAAAUUUAUUUACAACACAUGGGCCAUACUAAAAAAAUUAAGGUGGUAUAUAGGGCCAAAAUGUAAAAGUUAGGGUGUCAUAGUAGAAUUAAUAAAAUUUAUUUACAACAUAUGGGUCAUAUUGAAAAAAUUAGGGUGACAUGGUAGAAUUAGUAAAAGUGAGAUGGGAAUAAAUGCUUUGGAUAGUGACGACUAGUUGUUGUCAGUAAUUUAGAACUGACAACCAUAUUGUGACGAUAUUUCAAGUUGUCAUUGUAAGACGAGUUUCAGUAACAACAUGUUUUCCAGUCGUCACAAUGGUAAUCUCCCACCACACUGGAUAGUUGUGCGUUAUCCAUAUUGUGGCGACUUAUUCCGUAUUGUCACUGUUGACGGGUGAACCCACGAUCAAGUAUGACGACAUUAAAGGUCGUCACUAAAGUUUUCAAUUGUGACAGCUUUCUCUCUUGUCACAGAGAAUGUUGUCACAAAAGGCCAAAUUUCUUAUAGUGAGUAUUGGAACCCUAAACCUAUUAUCCUAACCCCUUUGAAAUGCUACACAUGGACUUCCUGAUCUUGAAGGCAACGUGCUUUGUUUGGAUUGCAUUUUUCUAGAUUUUUUCUAGAAAAAUUAUUGUAACGAUUUGAUAUAUGUGAAGUAAAAAGGUGAUUGGAAAAUAUGUUCAUGAAAAACGUAGUAAUUUUUCUUUGAAAAAUUGAUGUCCAAACAAGUUUCUUCGUUUUUCUUGAUUUGAUAUCUUCACUCCAAGUUGCUGAUCUAUUUUUUUUCUUGAAGGCAACACUUUAUGAUUCACAUUAAUGUCAAAGAACGCCUUCAUUGCAGAGAGAAAUUUGGAUUAGCUCAAAAAAGUCAAAAAGGAAAAAGGAGUUUCAUACGUACAUGUCCUUUGGGAGAAACUAAUAGAGGUCAUCCAAUUAACGUGUUUGUCACACUAAUGCAACUGACUUUAUGUAUAAAAUGUUUUUUGAAUGCUCAAAUAUCUUAUUCAAUGACGUAAACUUUUAAAUGAUCAAAUUUUGACAAGGAACAGGAACAAAAAAAAUAAAAAAGAAAAAGAAAAAUCAAAGUCUGUACAAAGCUUUUUUUUUUUUCACAAAGUGUGCACCAUUUUUGGUAGCCAUCCAACACGCAUUGUGGACUAUUUUUUUUUAAGUAUUAAUUUUGUCCCUCAUGCUUUAGAAUUUGUUAUUCUCAUGGAAACCUAAUUUACUUGCUUGCUUCUUUAACGUUGACCUAUCAACUUUAAGGUAUGUGACAAAUUUCCAAUCCGUUUAAUGAUUUUAUGCCAAACAAUUUUAAAUUAAUUUAGAUUACAAAAGAGGGGAUCGUAAAUCAAAAAAUCAAUUUCACAACUAAUUGUUUAGUGAUUUUAACAAAAAAUUUUAAAUUAAUUUAGAUUACAAAAGAGAGGAUCGUAAAUUGAAAAAUCAAUUUCACAACUAACUGAUAGAGAAUCAAAAUUUCCAUGAAUUCAGCACAAAUUUUCCAUAGUAGGUCACGAUUUCCAUUGAUGGAUGGACUUAGACCCAACACGUUGGCGAAAUUUCUGCCCAACAUGGAGCAUUUUAUGUGGCAGUCAAGAUUUUAAAGGCUCUUUAUUUUGGCUUUCUUUGCUUCUCCUAAUUUUAAAUGCACAUUUGAAAUUCUUGAUCUGUUUAUUCCUCUUUUGGCCUCAAUCUUUUUAUAGUUUAAAAACCACCCAAACUUUUAUGCUUAUUAAAAAUUUAUCAAGUCAAAAUAAAAAGAGUUUAUUGAGUCUCAUUGAAUGUGUUAAACAAGGUUUUCACGACAUAAAGAAGUAUAGAUAUACACAACUAUACAUUAAUGUUGUAUACAUUAUUACUGUAAAGAUUUUUUAUACUAACAUGUGUAAAUAUAUGACAUAUGAGGAAAAAUUGAAUUCAAAAUUUAAACAGUGAUAAUAUGACAUUUAUCUAAACCUACUUGUAUGAAAAAAUCUCUACGCUUCAUAUAAACAAUGUAAAGAGUUUUCAUGAAACAAAGUUUAAAUUUCUUUUUAAUGUGUGUACCAGUCCACUUUAUUGAAGAACAAUCGCAAGCUCAUCUACUUAGCAAAGUGUGUGGAUCCUAUUUUGUAAGUUAUCAAUUUUUGGUUGGUUUAUUCUUGGACAUGGACUAAUCCAACCACAAGCGUGUGGAUCCUAUCUUCUAAGUUAUCAAGUUUUUGAUUGGUUUAUUCUUGGACAUGGACUAAUCCAACUAGCUAGUAACUAAGUGGUCCAUGCCAAUAAAUCUAAUACAAAUCCUUUUUUUUAGCAAAUUAUCCAGAUGGCCACUAAACUUUUGCAAUCAUCGAGUUUUGAUCACUCAACUAUUAAAAAUCUGGUUUUGGCCACUAAAUGUAUAAAGUUAAGACUCGAGGCCAUUCUGUUAGAUUUAGUCAUUAAGUUUGCCGAUCUGUCUGCUCGUGCGAUUUUCAAGACAAAAGAAAGGGUCAAUUUAGGGAGUUCAACAUGCAUCUUCUUCUUCUUAUAGUAUAAACCUAAAGAAGGCUCUGCUACUGCUGCAACAAGAGAGAAGGAAAUGGAAGAAGCCCAACUUGGAUUAGAGGAAGUAUGACCAAGCUCAAAGCCAUCAAGAGCCGUGCCAGCAAGAUCCAUGUUGCCUACAUCGAUGCCUCAUCUACCUACUUGUGUUUGUGGGAUUAAGAUAGUAAUGAUAACUUCAUGGACUGCACAAAAUUCGGGAAGAAGAAUUGCCAAAUGCCCAUUAGGGGAUGUUUGUAACAUCUUUCUAGAUACUUAAUUUGUUAUUGUGUAAGAAACAUAAUGAUUUUGUUUAUUUUUGAAGGAUGGAUGUUGCUAUUGGGGUUGGAUAGAUGAUGAAAUGUGCGCUCGAUCUACAAUGAUUAUACCGGGUCUACUCAGAAAGAUCAAUAGAAUGGAGGCAAAAAUGGCUGAAUUCAGAAAUGGUUAAUGGAACCAAAUAUCUUUUGUUUGAUUAGUUACUAGUUUCUGCCAUUCAUUUUUGGAUGUUGAAAUAACUCAUAUCCUGUGUUCUAACACCUUGGGUAGACUAAUUAGCAAUUUACAAACUUGCUGAUUUUCUUUUUUUUUUUUUUGUUUCUUUGCAUUCAUUUCUGGUUUAGUUAGCUCUCAUAAUUGUCAUUAUGGGUUGCAAUUUCAAUCAACAUUUGAAUGGCCUUUAUGUCAAACAAUAAUUCUAUGUUUUUUUGCCUUCUUUAUCUUUUUAUAUCUAGAAAUUGUCUUUCCUCCUUUUUGAGUUGUUCAUCUUGACAAUGCCUUGAGUUUAGUAAGUUAAGACUUUUCUUAUUCUAGGUAUCGGAAAUGGAUAAAAGCUGGAUAAAUGAUCCAAAUAUUUUGUCAAGUCAUUAUAAGUCUGGUCUUAAGGAUUUUAUUGAAUUUGCGAAGACCAAUGGUAUGGGAUUGGAUGGAAAAUUAUUUUGUCCAUGUAGGAGAUAUAGGAAUUCAAAGAGAAAAAGCAUUUCUCAAGUUGAAUCAGAUUUGUCAGAAAAAAGCUUUUGUAUGUAUUAUAAAAAUUGGGUCUUCCAUGGGGAACCAUUUUCUACACACUCUUAUAUGUCAAGUGGAAAGAACAAUAAUCUUGAUGAGAAUGGUGUUGGAGGUGAGACAGAUUUCCUCAAUGAAACUGUAUAUAAUGACUUUGAUAUGAAUGAAAAUGGUGAAUCUGAUGAGUUACCUGAUUUGUUGGAUGAGAUAAAAAAUGCACAUGAAUCAGGGAUAUCGAGUGAAUGGGAUUCAAAAAAUUUUGACAAAUUGUUAAAUGAUGCACAAAGAGAACUUUAUCCGGGAUGCAGAAAGUACUCCCUACUACAUUUCAUUGUUUCCUUUUUCCACAUCAAAGUGAUGAAUCAUGUGACUAACAAGGCAUUUGACAUGAUGCUGGAAUUUUUAAAAGAUGUGUUACCAAAAGGAGAAAUACUUCCAUCCAGUUUUUAUGGGGCCAUGAAAAUUCUAUCUGGUAUAGGUUUGGGGUAUCAAAAAAUUGAUGUCUGUAAAUUUGAUUGUGCAUUGUUUUGGAACGAAAAUGAAAAGAUGGACAAGUGUCCUAUUUGUAAAGAAUCAAGAUGGAAAGUCAAUAAUGGCAAGGAGAAGAAAGUUCCACAAAAGGUGAUGUGGUACUUUCCAUUAAAAGCUAGGUUGCAAAGACUUUUUAUGUCUUCUAAAACUGUUGAAGACAUGAGAUGGCAUGAGGGGAAACAGGUUAAAGAGGAAGGUAUCAUGAGACAUCUGGCUGAUUCUAUUGCUUGGAAGUAUUUUGAUAAACAAUAUCCUGAUUUUGCUAAAGAUUCUCGAAAUGUAAGACUUGGAUUGGCCACAGACGGAUUCAAUCCAUUUGGUAACAUGAGCAACUCAUACAGCAUGUGGCCAGUUAUUUUUGUACCUUACAAUUUGCCUGCAUAUAAAUUUAUGAGAAAGGAAUAUCUUAUUCUAUCACUUCUUAUUCCUGGUCCACAUGCCCUUGGAAAGGAGUUAGAUGUGUUCUUAAAGCUAGCAAUAGAUGAUUUGAAAGAUUUAUUUCAUGGAAUCAACACUUAUGAUGCAUAUAAUGGACAAAAGUUUCAAAUGUGUGCAGCAAUUUUAUGGAGUAAUCAGAUUUCCCCGCAUAUGGCUAUUUGUCUGGAUGGAGCACUAGUGGGUAUAAAGCAUGUCCAUGUUGUCUUGAUGAUACUGCUUCACAAAGACUAAGAGGCAAAAUAUGUUUCAUGGGACAUCGUCACUUUUUGAACCAUGACUACCCUUGGCGAAAGCAAAAAGCUCAUGUUGAAGGAACUAUUGAAACACGCUCCAAGCCAAAGGACUUUUCUGGAGAACAUGUUUUAAGACAUUUAAAUUGCUUGGCUGGUGUCUUUGGUGAGUUUGGUAAGAAGCUAGUUGCUCGGAAAAAAAGAGUUGACAAAAUUCAGGGUAAUUGGAGGAAAAAAAGUAUAUUUUUUGAGUUACCAUAUUGGAGAAAACUCACAAUGAGGCAUUGCCUAGAUGUGUUGCAUAUCCUUAAAAAUACAUGUGAAAGUUUAGUAGCAACAUUGUUGAACAUUCCUGAGAAGACAAAAGAUACUAAUAAAGCUCGUGAUGAUCUCGCUUGACAUGGGAAUAAGACAUGAACUAUACUUACAUGAUGAUGGUAAAAGGAAAACAAAGCCUCCAGCCUUGUAUGUGCUGUUUUCAAGUGAGAGAAAAGGAUUUUGUGAUUUUUUGGGUUCAAUUAAGUUUCCUGAUGGGUAUGCUGCAAACAUUUCUAAGUGUGUUAAAGAUGGUAAACUGAUAGGACUUAAAACACAUGACUACCAUGUCCUCUUGCAACGACUUAUUCCAGCAAGCAUUCGUGGGUAUUUGUGUAAAGAAGUCAAUGAGACAAUUUUUGAGUUAAGUGAGUUUUUUCGAGAUUUGUGUUCUAAAACCCUGAAGAUGGAUGACUUGGAAAGGUUGGAGAAAAAUGCUCCAUUAAUAUUAUGUAAGCUGGAAAAAAUCUUUCCCCCUGCCUUCUUUUGACAUUAUGAUCUAUUUGAUUGUUCACUUGCCAAAGGAAGCAAAACUUGGUGGGCCAGUACAUACUAGGUGGAUGUUUCCAUUUGCAAGGUACAUCUUCCUUAUUUGUUUGACUAAAAAUUUUGUUAUUUAUGUAACAUUCUGUUUUGGGUGGAAAAUUAACUCUUGCUUUUGAAAAGGUAUCUCUCGGAUCCCUUAAAAAGUAUGUCCGCAAUCGUGCUCGUCCUGAAGGCUCGAUUGUAGAAGGAUAUAUUGCAAAUGAUUGCCUAACAUCAGUGGCGGAGCCAGAAAAAAAUCUCAGUGGGGGCAAAAAUAACACUAAAAUUUUUUAUCUACUCUUUUUUUUUAAUUUUUUGAGCAAAAAAUAAAUAAAUUCACUAACAAGUACAAAUGAUAUGUAUAUUCCAUGAAAAACAUAAAAAGACAAACUCAAAAUUAUUAAUGUAAUAAUAAUUUUAUUUAAAAACAAACUAAAUUAUUUACAAUUGUUCACGACGAGUUUUCAUAUUUUGAUAACGGUUUACAACUUUCUCAUUUUCAACUUCACGAAGUAUAUUUUUCUCAAUAUAAGUAACUAAACAAUCAUUCAUCCAAGUGUCUCUCAUUCUAUUUCGUAACCGAUUCUUCACUAUAUUCAUAGCUGAAAAAGCUCUUUCUACUGUAGCUGUAGCAACAGGCAAAAUCAAAGCCAACUUUAAGAGCAUAUAAACCAAUGGAUACACAAUAUCUCUCUUAGUCUCCACCAACCUUUGAGCUAGAUCAGAGAUUUUUCUUAAAUCGAGAAAUUCCUUAGCUGAUUUCAAGUCAUUAAUAUAAGUAUCCAAUUCAGUGUCAAGUGCAAGAAUAUCCAACUUGGAAAACUCACAAGGAUAAUGUUCUGCAAGACGAAUCAACUUUUUCUUAUCAAAUGCUGCAAAGGAAUCACUUGGGUUCAAGCAUGCCAUACACAGAAGCAACUCCAUAUUGAUUUCAUUGAAACGAUUGUUGAGUUCUUGGAAUUGUAAAUCUAUGACAGCACAAAAUAGCUCAACUCGAUAGUGGUGAAGGUUUGUAAUUUGCUGAACUUUUCUUCGAGAUCUCCCACUAGUAAUGAACAUUUCAUCCAUUUUCGGAAUGAUGAUCUCAUGUUUUUCACAAAACAAACAAACUUCAUCAAGUAAAAAAUCCCAUCCAUCUUCCCUAGUAGCUUGUAACUGUUGCUUGGAAACUUUGACCAGACCCAUAGCAUUCACAAUAUCUUGAUCCUUCCUUUGUAAUGCUUCAGAUAGUGCAUUCGUUAUUCCCAUGAUUUUCUUCAUCAAGUGUAAAAUAAAUGCAAAUUCAAAAGAUUGCAAAGAAUUAAGAAGUGCAUAUGCUUGACCUCUUUGCUCCACCAGGCCAUCAUUUUCAAUUAUCAAAAGAACAUCUAUUACAGAAUCAUACAUAAGAACCAACUUUAACAACGAGCCAAAAUGUGAACCCCAACGUGUAUCACAAGCUCUUUGAAGGCUAGUUUCUUGAUUUAAGCCCCGACCACUGACAAGAUCUCCAGUCAUUAGAUCAUCAACGACUUUCUUAAGGCGUUGUUCUCUAAGAAUUUCUUGUCUUUUAGAUGAACCUUCAAGAACAUGCACUAAGGUAGACAAUGUAUUAUACAUAGAAGAGACUUGGACAUGUUUCUUUGCAACCCCUACAAGUGACAAUUGCAGCUGAUGUGCAAAACAAUGAAUAUAAUAUGCAGAAUCAUUUUCCUUCAUGAUCAAAGUUUUUAAACCAUUAUAUUCACCUCGCAUGUUACUAGCACCAUCAUAACCUUGACCACAGAUUUGUGAUAUGCUCAAACCAUGCUUUGAAAAUAAAUCAUCAAUUGCUUUCUUAAGUGAAAGAGCAGUAGUAUCUCUUACAUGUAGAAUACCAAGAAAACGCUCAAUCACAUAUCCAUGUGAAUCCACGUAACGGAUAACAACUACUAAUUGCUCCUUUGUUGAUGCAUCACGAGAUUCAUCACAUAAAAUAGCAAACAAUCCAUGUCCAAUGUCAUUUACAAUAAUGCUUGUAGUCUCACUUGCCAAAGCAUUUGAAAUACCCUUUUGAAUAUCUGGAGCAAUGAGUUUGAGAUUUUUAGGGGCAUUUUCAAGAACAACCUUCUUUAUAUCAUCAUUAUGACCCGCAAGGAAGUGCAAAAGUUCAAGAAAAUUUCCCUGAUUUUCAGAGGUAUCAGAUUCAUCAUGACCACGAAAAGCCAAACCUUGAUGUAGGAGAAAUCUAGCACAAUCUAUUGAGGCUAAUAAAUGAGUCCGAUACUCAGCCUUCAUUUUCUCUGAUUGCUUAAAAAAUGCCACUUCGAUGUGCUGAUUUUGAUUUAAUAAACUUUGACAUUUACUCCAACUCAGAUUGUGUGCGCUAUUAGGACCACCAACAUGAACAUCAAAUCUAUUCUUUUUUUUUCCAAUUUGUGAAUCCUUCCUUAAUGAAACUAUCACCACCAGAUUGUUCACCCACAUCUGGUCUAUAUAGAUAACAACAUAAGCAAUAAACGGCAUCUUUUUCAAUACUAUAUUCUAACCAAUUCUUGUAAUCAUCAAACCAGCCCCGAACAAAUCGACGCAUCUUUUUUCCUAUCUUUCUUUGUGGAAAAACAUGCUCAUGAGGUUGACAUGGUCCCUUUUGUAAGUAAUAUCUCCGAAUUUCAUCUUGAAGGUUUGGAUGAUAAUCCCCAAUUUUUUUUCUUUGGGCUGGAUCCGCAGGUAAUUCAUCUAAGUUAAUUUCCAAGUAACUUCUUUUAUUGUCAUUUUUUGUACUUUCAUUAUCCUUGGCUUCUUCUUUAUUAGAUGACUCUUUUUCCAUUGAUUUCCUUUUGAAAUAUCUCUCCAUAGCUAAAGAAAUCAAAAUCAAUAUAUAAGAUACUAAUCCAAUUAAAAUAUUAAAUGUACAAUAAAAUCUAAUAAUCUAUCCAAGAACUAUUUUACAAGUUAAAGUUAUUUAUUAAAUCAUUAAUCACAACUUAUUUAUUUAUUACUAUAUCAAAUCAUUAAUCACAAUAUAUGAACCUAAUCAAGUUAAUUAGACAAAAGGAUCCAUACAAGAAUAAUUUAAAAGUUAAAAGUAUAUGUCAAAUGGCCCUCUAUUCAUCAUUACAUUAACUCCAAAUAAGAAACUAAUCAAGGAAAAUAAAAAAUAAAUUAUAAAUCUAUAAAAUCACCAUUUCACAAGUUAAAAUAUUUAUCAAAUAACCCAUUUAUUAGUUAUUACAUUAACUAAUCAAUUUUCAAAUUUCUCUAAAAUAGUAAUAGUCUCAUGCUCUAGAAAUAUAUUUGCAAACAAAUUUAAAAUAAUAAUAAGAAGUAAUUGUUUAGAACCUGAUUUUGAUGGUCUCCCAAAAUUGGUGAAAAGAGUUGCAAAUCAGUGGUGGACCCAAGUCCCUUUACUUCUUUUGUGCCCCGUAUCACGUUAUUUAAUUGGAAAGAAGUCAGCUUCAAGGACUGGUUUCUUGCAGUUGAACUGAAGAAAGCAGGUCCUGGUUUUCAAAAAGCCUACUCCUUUAAUGGAACACUGCGUGACUGCGUGAAGAAGUCAACAACACCAUUUUCAUGACAGAAAACCAGGAUUGGACUAUUUGAUGGGAGAGACCAUUUUCAGUGGGGACAACUAAGAGUCAGUAGAGGAAAGGAAAAUUGGGGAGUGGGGGACAAAGGAAGUAAAUGAUUAAUGAUGAUUGGAUGAAGUAAUAAAAAGAAAGAGUAGUUAGUUGGAUGUGGAAGAAGAGGAGUCGUGGGUUGUGAAGUGAAAUGGGGGACCACAGGAGUAAAGGGAACUUGGGGAGUGGGGACCAAAAGUAAUGACUGAUAUAAUUGGUAUUUGGUCCUUAGAGGAGGAAAGUGAAUAAUAUAAAUUUUGUGACCCAUUCUUUCAUAUUUUUUUAAAAAAAAUUCUGGGGGCACCACUAAAAUUAUGUCAAAAUUAUAAGAGUAUUAUAGAAAUUUAAGGGGGGCAGUGGGGGCCCGUGCCCCCCCUUUAAAUCCGCCCUGCCUAACAUUCAUGUCCAAAUAUCUCCAUGGCAUUGAAACAAAAUUCACCCAUAAGAGAUGCAACUAUGACUAUAAUCAGGAUAAGGCAGAGGAGCUGGUGGUUUUCUCACUAACUGUUCGCCCAUUUGGACUUGUUACACUUCCUACUAAAUUAUCUCAAGUUGAACUAGAUGUGGCUCAUAAAUUUAUAUUGAAUAGCUGUGAUGAAAUAGAAGAGUACAGAAUGUAAGUGCAAUAUGUAUUUCCUGAAUUAUAUUUUAAAUAUUACUUCAUGUGGUUUAUUUUACUUUAUAUUGAUAAUACAAUCUGAAUUUCAGUAAGCAUAAAGAGAUGCUGCAAAGGAUUCAUCCUGAAAAUGUUGACAGCAGACAUGAAGAUCAAUUCACAAAGUGGUUCAAAGAUCAUGUAAGUUAUACAUAUUAUAAAAAUGAGUUUAUUAGUUAUUGAAAACUGACUAAUAGAGACUCGUUUUCUAUUUUAUAGAUAAAUUAGUUGCACAUUAAUAAAUCAGUGAAUGUUUUUGAAGAGCUGUAGGCAUUAGCAAAUGGUCCUACACCUUUCAUGACAAAGCAUUACUCAGGGUGCAUUGUAAAUGAAGUUCAUUUCCACACAAGAGAUCGGGAUGAUUGCUGUACAAAACAGAAUAGUGGCUUAGUUGUUGAGGGUGACCAUAAAGGAAAACACAUUGACUUUUAUGGCUUUGUUAAGGCUGUGGUUGAGCUGACCUUUUUUCAUGCAUACAAGGUGGUCUUGCUUCAAUGUGAAUGGUAUAACACAGGUAGCACAAACACAAUGAAGAGUGAUAGGCACUUUGAGACCAUCAAUAUUAGAUCACGUUGGUAUCAAAAUGAUCCAUUUGUUUUACCAAAUCAAGUCCAACAAGUCUUCUAUAUUGGUGAUACGAAUUUGGAUAGACAUUGGUGAAUUGUACUACGUGUUCAACAUAGGCAUUUGUGGAACCUAUUAGAUUUGGAAGAGAACGAUGAAGAUGUGCUGAAUGGAGAUACAAGUUUUUUGGAUGAACUAUUGCAAUAGAAUGAAACAAGAACUGUUGUGCUUGUUGUCGAAGAUGAUGAACUAGGCCUCUUAAGCAGACAAGGUUUUGAAAUUGAAGUUGUUCUGGAGAAUCCUUUGCAUACUUGCACUGGUGAAGAAGACUAUGGUGAAGAAGACAAUGCUUUUAAAGAAGAUGGCAUGCUUAUUGAAUCUUCUGAUAGCGAUGAAACCAUAGACAUUGAUAUGGAUUUAGAUAAUACUUAAGAAAUAGCAUAGAAAUGUCAAGUGGAAAGGUUUUUUGCAUUGUAGAAGAAAGUGUUACUUUCUAUGGUUUUAGGCAAUAUUGAUCAAAUUGAUAUCCUUUUCAUGGUUUUAACUCUUUGUUAAGUUUUUGGUAUAACUUAAAUAUUGAUCUCUGUUUAUAAUAUGACAUCAAUAUUUUACUAAUGUGACUCAUUUUUUUUAUCAUAUAUUGUGUUAUUGCAGAUAGCACCUUCCGGAAAACGAUUGAAGAGAAACUGCCCACCUAAUACCAACUUGCAAUCUGAACAAUUGCCAACUUCAAACUCAACUUUGGAGCCUCAAUCAGCUACCACAAAUGAUGAUAUCCAGAUUAAUUCAAAUAAUAGUAAUCCUGCUCAAGCAAACACUAAUGGUAAGUGAAAAUGCUGAAUAAUGAUUUAAUUAUUACCAUUCAAUGCAUACAUCCUCUUUGUGAUAAUUCAUAAUAAGUCUCAACUAUCAUGUUUAACAAUUGUUCACAGAUCAAAGAAAGCAAAAAAAAAAAAAAAAAAAAAAAAAGGCAAGGGCCCAACCACAGGAAAAGUUAUCUAGAAGAUGAUACGAGCUAAUGUAAAUAAAAUUCAGUACUAAGAUGCGUACAUAUAUAAUAUUACUGUCUAUUCAAGAUUUUUUUUGUAUAAUCUGUUCCCUAGAAUUUCUAUUGGGUAUACCUGAAUAAUGCUUCAUUUGUUAAUAUUAAGGAGGCAAGCCACUGGAAAUUGUAUUUCUUGAAGGAUGUUGCAAACCAAUCAAUUAUGCUGCUCAACUUGCUAGUGGUGUAGGUUAUGUUGUAAGGCACCUCUCUUCACUGAAGGACAUACGCACAUAUGAUGACAUACCAAAUAAGAAAAAACAAAACCUAUAUGGUGGCUUGAUGGUACCAGAUUACAUAGUGUCUUUUAUAAUGACAUUCAACGUGUUAAUAUUUAUUUUGUUGACUUGACCAAUUCUAAGAAUGAUCCAUUUCUUAAUGGUAAUUUAUAGGGAUGGUUUGACUUCAAAGAUUGGGAAACUAAUCCCAAUGUGGAAAUUUAUGUAGAUGACAUGCUUCAGAAUAGCUACAGGUAGUGGAGGAAUACUAUGCACAUAGAUUAUAAGAUGUUGAAGGCAGCUGGAAAAGAUCCAUUUACCUCGUGUCCUUAUGACUGGAUUGAGCAAGAUGAGUGGAAAAAGUAUGUGUGAUUGGUUCGAAUAUCCUAUAUUCAAGGUGAUUGGUUCUAGUUUCAUGUACUUGCAUGAUCUUAAUCCUUUUUGUUGCCUUUUAUGUUUUGUCUAACUAUCUUUUUGGUGUUUAAUAGAAAAAAUCAGAAGCCAAUACAAAGAAUCGUGCCAUGUUACCCUAUCCGCACACUGGCAAUUCAAAAUCAAAUCAUGUUCGAGCACAAGAGAUGAUAUAUUACUGAUUUUUUUAUUUCCAUUUUGGUUUAUAUUUAUACUAGGAAGAAAACUAGAGCUAACUCAAGAUCUUUUAUGCUAUAAAAUAGGUUCCACCAAGUGUAAUUGAUGCUUGGACUGCUGCUCACAUAAAAAAGGACGGCCAAUUUGUGAAUAAUACUACAAAAUCCCUCGAUGUAAUUUUCACUAUAGUCGGCUGAUUCUAGUAGCUUUGUUUUUUUAUUACUAACAGGACAUUUACAUAUAUUAUACAUUUCAUGACUCCUUUAGUUAUAUGAAUCUAAUAUGUACAGGAUGAGUUAAAAGAAGAGAGAAGACAAUGCAUAGAGAAUGGAGAAACUGUCAAUGAAGUAAAAAUUAUGAAAAAUGUCUUAGGAAAGUAGGCUGGUCGUGCCAAAGGGUUGGGUAUGGGGGUUAUACCACCCAAAACUUCUCGCAAACCCGAAUCUUCAGCUAAUAGAGCACUACUUGAAGAACUAAAACAGUGCAAGGAGAAGAUUCAAAGCUAUGAGGAACGAAUUCAAGCACAACAUACCCAAAUCCAAAAUCUUGUACAAAGCCAGCAAGGGAUACAGGAAAUACUGCAAGAAUUCCUCGUUUGGAAACAGAAGCAGUGUGGAGGGUCUUCCUAGUAAUGGUGAGUUUGUAGAUCUUUAUUCAAAACAAAUGUAUUUAUGUGCAAUUACUUACUAUUGUGGAACUUGAGUUAUGUUAUGAUUUGGAUUUCUUGGUGUAUUAUUAGUUACCUGCAGCAUAGUAAUUAUUAGUAAUUAUUCUUGUACAAGUUAAUGCAUUGCUUGUACUUAUGAUUAGGUGGUCCCUAAGCAAUUUGUAGUGAUCAUCCAUGCAUCAUAACAAAAAUACAUCUUUUGCAUGCCAUUCUAUUAUUUCUCUGAUUUCAGAUUUUUCUUGGUUUUAUUGUACAGGUUUGGGAUGAACUUGUGAAUUGCUUUUGGCUCAUACUAAAGAACUCCUCUAUUUUGAUAUCAUCCAUGUAUAGUAUUUUGUUGACCAUGGAAUUGAAGUCCAUCUUUUGAUUUUAGCAUAUGUUAGGUAUAUGGCAGUUAUCUAGGGAGAAAUAGCAAUAUUUAUAUUGGUUUUAAAUUGUGAAAUGGGAUGAUAUGUAAAUGUUUGACAUGAUUAACUUUUGUGGUUUGACAUAUUAUGGUUGCCUACUAAUGAUAAUUUGUGAAGUUUUGGUUGAUAUUUUGCUUGCAUACUUUUAUAUUUUGAUUGGGUGAGUGUCUAAAUAGAUGAUAUGGUUACUUUGUUAUCGCUAAAAUUGCUAGGCUUAAAAGUGAUGCAGCUGUCAUCAAGAAAAAUGACGUUGUAUUGUCAUUAAAGUUUCCCAACAAGUUUCAAUGCAUGACUAUUCUUGACAAUCGAAAAUUUAGUGACAAAGUUCAGGGUCUUUCUUGACAAAGGCUCGUCAAGAAUAUGAGGUCUUUUCUUGACGACCAAAUCAUCACUAUUACCUUUCCUAAUGAUGUGUCAUAGAAAAUGACACUUUUCCUGAUGAAAAUUCCAAUAGUUGUCAGGAAAACCUUUUGCCGACGGUGUAUAGGUGACCAAUCUUCUCUGACGACAUUGGUGUCACGAAAACUUUUCUUGAUGAAAUACGUAUCUUUUCUUGACAAAAAUUUUUGUCACUAGAAAUCUUUUUUUUUUUUGUAGUGGACUGAGGUACCUCCGUCAAUCACUACCCUAAUUGAGAAAUAAUUUUAUGUACGUCCGUAAGAUUUAAUUUUUCAAUUACCUUAUGUAUUAAAGGAGCUCUAUUCUAACCAAAUAACACACUAUCAGGAUUAUUUUAGAUAGUCUGCGUACUCCCCUAACACAAAUCCAAUCAUGCCAGUUGUCACCAUUUUAGAGCAAUUAAACAAUUAUAAAUUUAACACUAAUUGACAUCAGGUUGCUAAAUUAAUUCAACGUCUGGGACCAGGAUAUUUAAUUAACAAAACAACCAUAAACAUUACAAAUAGAGAAUAUGCAAAUACCAGUGAAUAAGAGGAAUAAAUAAAAUUAAUUCAAUAUCACAAAUUUUAGAUGAACCAAAACCUCCGUUGUUCCUUGACUAGAAAAAGAGAUUAGUUCAUCCCUAUUGAGAAGAAUCCAUACAAGAUUUUAGAAGUAAUGAUCGCGGCCAUUGUCUUCAAUUCGCCGAGAAGAAACGAUGGAAUAAGAAUAUUUUGUCAAAAGUUACAAAGUCAAGGGUUGACUCCUUGUUUUUCUACUUGGUUCCUUUGAUACGUAGGAACCAGUAGCUACUAAAAACAUGAUAAAGUCAAUCUCCAAAGAGGAGUCAAGAAUGGAGCUUCAGAUCCUCUGUCCCCAAAAUAGUCCAUAUCCCCUCUGUCCCUUAUUUGUAUAGCUGCUACGUGUCUCUAGCCUUUUGUUAACCUAAACUCAAAUAAAAUCGAUAAUAAUCGGUUUACAAGUUUUGUUAACCCAAAUUCAAACAAACCGAUAAUAGUUGAUAGACAGGUUUACUCAAAAUCAAUUAAAACAGAUAACUCAAAACUAUUUUUUAUUUUCUUUUUAACAAAAAAGAGUCUUGUUGAUCAUAAACAUAGAAAUCAACUAAAACUCUUCUUUAUUUUUUACUCCAAAUCAUCUUUUUCUUAAACCCUAACAAGUAUUUUGAUUCACUCAUUAUAUCUUUAAUCUUGCAGCAAAAACGCUCAAAGGAUCAAGUAGCAAGAUUCAAUCAUCUUUAUCCAGGUAAAACAAAUCAAUAGAUCAUGUAUGCCAAUUUUACAAUAUAUUUGAUUCAUGAUUUGUCUUGUCAUAUUUGAAAUGACCUGUAUUUAUUGGAACUUGCAUGCGAUGGGAACAAUAUUGUACAAUCCCCUCUCAACAUCAUUGUUCAUAUAAGUAUCUAUAUGCACUGUGUAGUUACUAUAGUUCAUAAACUAGUAUCUAAUUGAAGUAAAGCCUUUAGUAAUGCCGUAAAGCCCUUAGUAAUGCCGUAAAGCCCCUUUCAGUAAUAAACUAGUACAAUCCCCUUUCAGUAAUAAACUAGUACAAUCCCCUUUCAGUAAUACCGUAAAGCCUUUAGUAGUCAAAGUGAUUGAAGUAAACUUUUUCAAUGAUAAACAUUAUAGUUAAAAGCUUUUAUUUUUGACAAAUGUCAUUCGAUAUUUAAGCAGGUUUAUUUGUAUUUAAUUACGUCGUAGAUAUUGAACAAUUGUUUACUUUUGUCUUUUUACUAUUUUUUGUGGAAAAUUCUUGUAAUGAGUUAAAAAUUAAUUUUGCAAAAAAAAAAAAAAGCACUGAUACGAAAUGGUAAAGUUAACUAUUAAAAUCUUUUAAAAUUGUAGAUCAUGGAGGGUGAUGAUUCCCUUGAGAGCAAGUUCCCACCUUGUCGUAAAUUGGAAUUUAUAGAUGACACUCAACAUCAUCACAGCUCUCAGACAAUCAAUGAAGAUACAGACAUUGAGCUUAUUGGUGCAUCAAGUUCAAACAAAGAGACUGAUAUCAAUUCAAUUCAUCCCUCUAUCCCUAAAGAAGAAAUCCCUCUGGUAGGUAUGGAAUUUGACAGUGAAGAAGCAGCUGGUCAAUUUUACUUAGCAUAUGCUAAGAAGGUUGGGUUCGGCACUAGAAAAGGCAAAUUGCAUAAAGACAAAAAUGGUAAAAUAAUUGAUAGGACAUUUUGUUGUAGUGCCGAAGGCAAACGAGGGGCAGAUAAAAGAGAUGUCAAUGUAAAAAUCCAUCAUCCUGAAACAAGAUUUGGUUGUUUGGCAAAAAUGAAAAUUAGUUGUAGCAAAAGUGAAAAAUAUCAUGUCAUUGAGUUUAUACCAGAACAUAAUCAUUAUCUUUGUAGUCCUCACAAACGCAUUUGUUCAGAGCACAUAGGAGAAUACAUGAAGCUCAUGUAAUAGAGAUUGAUAUGGCAAACAGUGUAGGAAUUGCACCAAAAGCAUCGCAUGAAUUUAUGGUAAAACAAGCUGGUGGACGGGAUAACUUGGGCUUUAUUCCUGAAGAUUAUAGGAAUUAUUUACGUUCAAAGAGGACAAGAGAUGUGAAAAUAGGGGAUACUGGAGGAGUGCUUGAAUAUUUACAGGGAAUGCAAUUAGAAGAUCCAAACUUUUUUUAUUCCAUUCAAGUUGAUAAAGAUGAUUUGAUGACUAAUAUAUUUGGGCUAAUGCUAGGAUGAAAGUUGACUAUGCCGAUUUUGGAGAUGUGGUUUGUUUCGAUACAACUUACAGAAAAAACUGUGAAGGUCGUCCUCUUGCACUCUUUGUUGGUGUGAACCAUCACAAGCAAACUAUUAUUUUUGGUGGUGCACUUUUAUAUGACGAGACAGCUCCGACUUUUGAAUGGUUAUUUGAUGUAUUUGCUAGCACUAUGUUAGGAAAAAAGCCAAAAAACCAUUCUGACAGACCAAGAUGCAGCAAUGGCUAAAGCAUUAGCUUCCAGAUGGCUAGAGACACAACAUCGAUUAUGUAUUUGGCACCUUUACCAAAAUGCUGCCAUACAUCUAAGUGGUGUUUUUGAAAAAUUCUCAGACUUUGCAGGUGACUUUGGUAAAUGCAUAUACGAUUUCGAAGAGGAGGAUAUUUUUGUGACUGAAUGGGAUAAAAUGCUACAGAGGUAUAAUCUUCAAGAUAAUGAUUGGCUGAAGAGAAUGUUCAAAUUGAAAGAAAAAUGGGCACUAGUCUAUGGCCGCCAGUCCUUUUGUGCUGAUAUUACUACGACACAGAGAAGUGAGAGUAUGAAUAGUGUCGUAAAAAGGUAUGUCAGCUAUAAAAAUAAUUUGCAUCAAUUUUUUGAUCAUUUUUAAAAUUUGAUUGAUAGUCAUCGAUAUGAAGAGUUAAAGGCUGAUUUCAGAGCAAGUAUAAGUACUCCUGUAUUAUCUUUUCCAGUUCAAAUAUUAAAGCAUGCAGCAAAUAUUUAUAGCCCGGAAGUGUUCAAGUUAUUUUAGAAUGAAUUAUGUAAAGCUCAUGAUAGCAGCUUACUUAUUUUUAGCGAGAUCGGAACAAUAAUCCAUUAUCAUGUCACUUCUUAUGAAAAAACAAAUCAUCAUGUUGUUAAAUAUGACUCUUUGGAUGGCACGGUACACUGUAGCUGCAAAAAAUUUGAGUGUUGUGGGAUACUGUGUUCUCAUGCCCUGAAAGUUCUUACCACAAGAAAUGUUGUCAAAGUUCCACAGCCAUACAUAAUGAAGAGAUGGACAAAGAAAGCAAAAGUUGGGGUUAUGCAAAGUCCAGGCUUGUCUAAGAGCAAUAACACACUGAAUCCGAAAGUAAUGGUGAAUAUGAGGUAUAGAAACUUGUGCAAGUUUCACAAUCAAUUGGUUACAAGAGCAGCGGAAACAGAAGAAACAUAUGAAAUAGCUAAAGACGGUCUUGUGAAGCUGUUUGAGAAGGUUAAUGAAAAGUUACAGAGCAAAAAUUUGACAUUUGAAGGCUCAAGUGAAAGGACGAAUUAUUUGAAAGAAAAAGAUCCAGCUAUUCACGAAGAAACUGGUAUAAAAGUCAAAGGAAUAAUGGCAAAAAAGAAAAUUAUUUCGGGUAAGAGAUUGAAGAAUGGAUUAGAAAAGACAUCGAGAAAGAGAAAGUCACAUAGUAGAAAAUCAGCUGCAACAACUGUGGUCUUAACUGCCGAAGUUCCAACCCUUGCUCAGGUACAUAGUUAUUUUUCAAUUGAUAAACCAUACCGGCUUUUCAUGUUUUUACUGGUAGGCUUCAGAAGAAGUCAUUCAUAGAGGAUAUAGGUUUGGACAAGAUUGUCAAGUCCAUCUAGUACCAUCAGCCAUGGGGUUGUUUGUAUGAAAAGCAAGCUUUAAUUAGAUAUUACGAUGAUAUAAUUUUUUUUUGAGUCUUGAUGAUAUAAUUAUUCUUUUAUAUUUUUUAUUUUUUAUUUUUAAGCAUGUGCAUGAAGGUCCUACUGGUAGUGGAGAUGGUUUAAACAUAUGGGAACCAAAUAGCCAACGUAUUUUGUGCCCAACGCAAUUGUCACAGGUAAUAUUUUCUUGUUUAUAAUUAAAUUUUAGUUAUUCCAAUAAUUCACUUGUUUGCAAAAAAUAGUUAUUUAAUCUAAAAUUUAAUUUUUUGUUAUUUGUGGAGACAAAAUUUCUAACCAAAAAAGAAAACAAAAAGAUCGGUUCAGGUGAUGCUAGCAUGGCUCAAGCAAUUUAUCCUGAACAAGUGACCUUCGUGCAGCCAUUUGGUUUAAAUAAGGUGUGUUUGCUAUGUUCUUCUAAUUGAGUUACUAUCAUAUGAUGCAAAACUUAUUGCAUAAGGCUUUUCAAGCACUUAAUUAUGUUCAUACCAUAAAUAAUUUUCUCUUUAUUGUUUUUUUUUUUAAAAAUAGAUUCCAGUUUUAGCUCCAAAUCAAAUGAACCAAGUUGCACAUUUUAAUUUUCUUGAAGAGUUGCAAGAUUCUAUGAGAUUGACAGACUUACUUCAGGUAACUUAGUAAUUGUCCAUUGAUAGUAUUUGAUGUUAUGAGAAUUUCAUCUCAAUAUUUUAGUACUUAUGAUUAUUUUUUCUACAUUUAUAGGUUGAAGUAGGACACAAGUUCAGUGGAUCAAGUGUCAAUAACUUUAUAGACCUUAAUGUCAUUUCCAGCCAACCGAGUUCAAGUUUAGUUGCUUGUAAUGAAAAUUGCGGCUAUCCCAUGCCAUGUCCUGGUGGUUUUGUUUGUAGAUGCACAACUGAUGGAAAAUCCGACAAUCUUUAGAAGUUUUGAAUUAUGAAUAGGCAAGGGUUUGAUAUUACAAACCAACAUGAUAGACCAUGGUUAUUCAGGUAUUAACAGGGUUUUUAGGUGUACUUAGUAAGAGUGGUUGAAAUUUUAUUAUUAUUCUCUUAUUUUUAUCCAGCAGACGAUUUUUUGAGAAUCAAAUUCCAAUAUCUAACAUUCUUAUCAACCAUGUGUGUGUUUAUGUCAACUGAUUUAGCUCUUUCUAAUUUUUUUACAUCUCAUAAUUAUGUAAAUAUGAUGAUUUAAAAUUAAUUACUUAAUAGGUUUGAGUUAUCUGUUUUAAUUGAUUUUGAGUAAACCUGUCAAUUAACUAUUAUCGGUUUGUUUGAAUUUGGGUCAACAAAACUUGUAAACCGAUUAUUAUUGAUUUUAUUUGAGUUUGGAUUAACAAAAGGCUAGAGACACGUGGCAGCUAUACAAAUAAGGGACAGAGGGAACAUGGACUAUUUUGGGGACAGAGGAUCUGAAGCCCAAGAAUGGUGGCUACUUUUUCUCCCGCAAAGUUCCUAUCUAAUCUCUACUCCUAUACGGCUGCCAAGAGAAAUAAAAGGAAAGAGUCCUACUGCUUCCCAUCCACCAUACUGUCGUUAUCAGAAGAUAAGGAAACAAUCUUCAAUUCUGCUUUCCAUUGGUCUCGUGUCUCCUGCUAUCACUCAAACUUUUUUGCUAACUACCGUCAAAUUGGCAUCUUUUUAUGAUAUUUUAUUCCACUCCCCGUAAUAAAUACAAAUUUCCAAAAGUGAGUGGAAUAUGACAAUUAAUCCAUAUUUGGUAAGGUAACAGGGGAAAUUAAUUAUAAAAUAAAUGGUAAAAUUGCAACCUAUCACACAUUAAAUCCAUAAGCCUCUCAACAAAUAAUUUAGUGGGUGAGAUCCAUGAUGGGAUAAUGGAUCUGGUUGAUUUGCAAACUUUGAACCUUUCACAUAAUCAUUUGACUGAAAGGAUCCCCGAGAAGAUUGGCAACUUGAGUCACUUGAUCUAUCAAUGAAUGAACUCUUCGGUGCAAUCCCUGAAAGCUUAUCUGCUUUAAACUGGUUGAACUUCCUGAAUUUGUCACACAAUAAGCUAUCAGGGCCAAUACCAUCAGGGAAUCAAAUUCAGACCUUAACCGAUCCAUCUAUCCAUGAAGGAAACAGUGGACUCUGUGGCAAGUCACUCCCAAAUGACUGCCUGGAACAUAAAUUGCCUACGGAAAAUGGGCAAAUUCAUGAUGAUAUAGGCCACGACAAGUCUAAUUGGUCUUGGUUUUAUGCUGGUAUAGGACCGGGUUAUGCUGUCGGGCUAUUGGGAGUUUUGGGAAUCCUUAUUACGUGAUUGAAGACCAGAAAUUUCCAUUCCUUAACUUUUGGAACUUUUUAUCUUAAAAACUAGGUACCAAAACUUUAGUUGCUUUCUCUAGAUUCUCUCUUUCUAUUGGCAAUUAUUUUUACUCUCUCAAAAGUUUGAUUUCUAAUAAUUCUCCUCUAUUCUUCAUAUUUACAUUGCAUUUUCCUAUGUUUCUUUACAUUCCAUACUAUGAGAAUCUUAUUGAUUUUUAUUUACAACCGAUUAUAAGGAUGAUAGGAUGUGAAAUAAUUAUUUUUCUGUUCGCAUUAGAAUGCAUUAAUAAUUAUUUUUGCGUCAACAGAUUUAAACACUUUAGAAGAAUUCUAUACUUGUUUAUGCUAAUAAUUGAUUUAGUUGUUUAAUUUCUAAUUGAUAUACAUUCUAGCUUUUCUGCCAACAACUCUUAUGAAUUACCAACUAAUGAUUUUCAGGUAUUACAUUAAUUCUACCCACCUAAGUUUCAUUCUCGAAACUUAAUUUGACCAGAUUAGCAUAAAAACAAACUGCCCUUCCAAUUAUAUCACUUUACAUGAACAACUAUUAAUUAAACUACUAGUAUUUAGGGCACACACCAAUGUGUGUACACCUAAUAAAAAAACAUAUUAUUAAAAUUUUGAGUAAAUUUGUUGAAAUCAUUUUCAAAGGAAUUGGUUUUAUAUUUUUGACAUUGAGGAUUGGAAAAUUCAUGAAAAUAAGUGUACAAAUAGAUAGUUAUUUAGCAGUAAUCCAUAUCCAUAAUCGAUAGUUGAUUAUUGGGUAGCUAGCAAGGGUAGUUAAAAAAUAAUAUAAAAUGACAAAAUUUUAUUUAUACCAAAAGCCCUCUCCCCCUUGAUAUAUUUACAACAAAAGCUUUCUCCACCUUUACAGAGAGCAUAGAUACUAUUUACUCAAGGACAAUUCAUGUCCCCCCCCUCUCCUUCCCCUCCUCGCCUUUUUGGUCAAUCAUCAACUCUUAUUACUACUCCUACUCUAACCAAUAUUAGGACCAAUGGGGCUGGAGGAAGAAGAUCUCACCUGUAUAUCAAAGAGGUUCACUAGGCCAAAGAAGGGUUGCUUCAUGUUCAAAUCCGCUAUUCUUUUUACAAGGCCAUAGAAAUUUCAAACACCUGAUGCCCAUUUCGUUUCCCUAGCGCUAACAUAAAUCCAAACAUCAACAAGUAAUUCGACUUAAUUAACCUUAUUUUCAUUUGAACUUUAGUUAUUUCUAAAGUGAUAAUCAUGUCUUACUGUUCAUUAAAGUAAUAUACUAUCAACUAAAACUUCACUAGUAUAUUCCGUGCUCUCAUUUUCUGAUUUGCCAGAUUCUCAGUUGCACCCUGAAUUUAUUUCAUACUACAUGCCAUCACAGUGGAUCUAGAAAUAUUAUAACAUAACCACCUAGAAAUUUCUUCAAGAUAUAAUCCUUUUCAAUAACAUCACCCACUCAUGAUUUUCAAUCUAGAAUUACCUGUAGUUUUAAGAUUCAAAUCAAGUGAUCAUAAAGCCAUGUGAGAAACACUAAUGAACAUAAAUUAAAUUUCUAACUCAUCGAUUGCCAUAAAUGGUCCUAUUAGAAACUAAUUCUUGCAACCAAUAAUUGGUAGAUAUGCAAUAAAAAUGUGUCCUAGGCCUCCUAAUCUUCUAAACAAACAUGUAAGAGUAGAAGGGGUUUCAUGAACAUCCUCCCAAUGAGGAAUGUAAUAUGAACGGAUCCCAAUCACGAAUUAAAGAUUCGUGAAAAAAGAGAUAAACUCUAAAAAAUUGGGCAAUUCCAAUAAAGUUUGAUAAAAGUUGAUAAGAGAAUGAGAUAUUACUUAGACCCUAUUUGGCAAAUAACUCCCAAUAAAUAUUUGGGUGAAACUUAGGUCUCGUUUGGCAAAUAAGUUUUUUGAGUGUUUGUCUAAAAUUUUAUUAUAACUUACUGUAAAAAUUGUAGGAAAAAAUUUUAAAAUGAAAAGCUUUUUUCUUUUCUUUUUAUUUCUUUUGCUUUUUUUUUCUUUCUUUCUUUCUUUGUUCUUUUCUUUCCUUUCUUCUUCUUCUCCCUUUCCCGUCACCUGCCAUCUCUCCCUUCCAGUUGGAACAAGAAUUUUUUUUGCACUUUUCUCUCUCCCCUCCCCUCUCCCCCUCUUUCUCGGGUGCUUUCUAGUCGUGUGACUAGAUCGGGCAAAGGGGUAAGGGAAGGGUGGUGGGGGAGGGAGAAGGUGGGAGAUAGGUGGUGGGGAAGAGGGGAGGAGAGGGGGAGAGGAGAGGAAGAGGAAGAAGAGAGAGAGAAAAAAAAGAGGUGGCCUUCGGUGCCGGUCGAUCUUGGCCGGCCGUGAGGUGGUGGUGGGUUGAGGUGGAAGUAGAAAGGAGGAAGAAAAUUUUUUUUGUGUGUUUUGAAUAUUUUGAAGUAUGUAUUGAGGAGUUUUUGAGAUUAUUGUAAUUAAAGUUGUUAAAAAAUUAGAAAACAAACUUAACCAAAAAUUCAUUUGCCAAAUAGGCCAUUAGUUCUAGGAAUGCUUUGAAAAUCCUUGUUAGAGGGAUAGUGAAAUUCUUGUUAUCCAUUAAUAUCUAAGGUCAUGUUAUUCAAUAAUUGUAAUUGUGAAAAUUUUUCUCUUUUUUGAUUGAUUUUUAUUCAUAAAUUCAAGCUAUUAUUCAAAUUAUAGUAAUUUAUUGAUGAAUUUGGAUUAUUUAUUGUUGAAUUUGCCUAGGUUUAAAGUUAAUUGAAGAUGCAUAAAAGUUUCAUAAAUAAGGCAGCCCGUUUCGACAUUGCUUUCGAUGAUGUGUGCAUUAUGUUUGUGAACUUUAAUGACACAAAGGGGCAAGCUACUCCUACUUCUGCUACUUAUUUUGCAUUUGGGGACGAGUCCUGCAUCUCGCGCGGGAGUUGAUACCGGCGUAAUAAAAUAGUAAUCCAAUAUGCAAUUAACGAAUUUCUUAUGUUUAGUUAAGAAGAAAGCGGAAGAAAACAAGAAUAUGAGAACAGAUGGAAAUUAAUGCAAAACAAAAGGAAAAAGAAGGCAAAUUACACUGUAUUUCCUAUGAUUUAGUAUUUUUGUACAUAACGAUCCUAUAAUUUUAAAAGUUAUAUAUAAUCCCCUCAUAAUUUGGAUUAAAGUAUCAAAAUAAUAGAAAUAAUCAUUCGUAAAGGAACAUAUAAAAAUGUCGAAAUUACUCUUAUUUAAAAACUCAAAUGGUUGAAGUAAUCAACAUAUAUAAACAUAAUAUGCAUGACACUCUUACCCCGUACGAUUUUAUAUUUUAUGAUAUAACCCCCUUAUGAUUUAAUGUUUUACUAUAUAACUCCCUUAUUGUUUUCACUAUAUGUACAUAACUCGCUUGUAGUCAAUAGAUAAUUUUCAACUUUAUAUAGGGGCAUUUUUUAUAUUUUAAUUGAUUCCAUUAUAAAUUACAAAUUUCGUUACUUUGAUACUUUAAUUCAAAUCAUGAGGAAAUUAUCUAUAACUUUUAAAAUUAUAAGAAGGUUAUGUACAAAAAAAAUACUAAAUUAUAGGGGGAUAAAAUGUAAUUAGCCUGUAUGCAGCAUCCCGCCCUUUUCCUGUCACUGGAUUGGGAGGACUGUAGUAUGAAAGGCUGCAAGCAACUGUAGUACAAUACUACUACUUCAUCAUUGUUAGCUAGUGUUAUUAUUGAUUUGGUAGUAGUAUUCCUGUCACUUUUGCUGCAUUAAAUAACCUUAUUAAUCAAUUGUCACUUGCGAGAAAGCUUGAUAAAAAAAAAAAUCAUCUCCUAAAAUAAGUUGGCUGUGACAGGAAUGGGAGAGGGGUAAUGACAAUCGUUAGUAGAAUCGUUUCGAAACGAUGUAAAAGUGAAUCAACAGGCAAGUUAUCAAAUAUUUGUAAUAAACUCUUAAAACACACAUGUUAUAUACUUAAACUACUGUUCACGACGACCCUCCAAGUUAGCCAACCUUUACAACAUGAAUUUUUAUGUUAUUGGAAUCUGAGUCAUGAACCUUCCGGAACGUUCAUCAAUCUAACAAAAACACUUGCCUUGUUGUAAAGUAAACUAGAAAAAUUGCCGAAUAAUAAACUAAAUACCAUCCGUUAGCCAACCACAAGUGAUUCUUAGACUGUUUAUUCCAACAAAUUGCCGAAUAAUGAUAUAAUGAAGUAUGUAACUACUUUUUGCUGCUGUUUAAGGGAUUCAGAUUUUCUAGUGUCGGCAGUGUACACUUAGUGGUGGCUGCACUUAGUGGUAGCUGAUGAGUAGGUUUUGAAAUUAGAAAGAUAGAUUGAAUAGAUGAUACAUGUUUUCAUCGAGUGAUAAAAUUUACUAUGUAUUCUGUAGUUAUUGUUGUAGUAUCUAUUUACAUAUUUUGUCUUUAACAUUUAAUAUUUACGUCAAUUAUAUUCUGUAGUUGUUGUUGUAAUGAUUUCCACGAAGACUUCAAGUCAUCGUGAGCUAUUGUUCCGAAUUAACCCUUGAGGUUCUUGCGUGAAUAUGUUUGUACUGGAGAACGAAUAUGUAUAUCUAAUGGUGAUACAUAGGACAACUGAACGAAAAAUACUCAGAAACAAAACCAUGAUCUUCGCGCUAUAUAACAUAUGUUUUGCUGAAGAACAGACAGAAAUUCAAAAUCAAACCCGUACGAUUGAGCUUCAUGCGACAAUUUUAUUUAAUGUGGGCAUGGAUAACCAACCCAUUGUUUAUUUAUUUACCAUUUUCGUCUCCGGCAUUAACAAGCAGGAGUACAUUUGAUUUCAUCCCUCCUUCAGUAGAUAGCGAUCGAGAGGAAGGAACUGAUCAGGCAGCACGAGCAUAGGACCGUAGCAGGGAUUGGAAAUUUACCUCGUGAUGAAGGUAGGGGAAAACCAUGAUGCCUCCAUAAACAGGAGAGUUCUGCAGAUAGGGAAGAACAUAAUAAACUAGCACAUUAGGUGGGAUGUAACCGCCCUCAGGUGCGAUAUCUUUUGAGAUAGGUAUUCCCAGGAACAAUAGAUUAACGCCUGGAUAAUCAGACCAAUUGUCCCAGCUCCGGAAGAGGAGACUGGUAUCGUUUGGAGGCUUAAACUGACAAGAUGGGUUGUCGAAAAAUUCCACCCGCACCUGAUCAACGACACCAGUUCUGAUAGUUGUGUCAAGAGCAGGGUCAGGAAUAGGACAUUCCGCAGCUACGGCUAAGAUGACAUUUGGGUAUCCCUUAAGUGCCCGAGCAAGAUCAUCCAAGUAAGUCGUGUUUCCGCUGUGGAUGUGAAGCUCUACGCCAUCUAAAACAGCUGUGCCGAAUGGACGGUCGCUUGAUUCACCGCCUAAGUAAGUGUUCCAGACAAAGGCUGCCACUUCUUGCGCAUCUUCGACGGAAGAAAGCCUCGGUUGUCCUGCGAGAGAAAUAAACACUUUGGUCUGAUGUUUCUGGCAAGAUUCUAUGUCUGAUGAGCUCGGCAAAGGAUGAAUUAUGUUCAAUUCAGGCAUCUGGCCGCUGCCAAAAUCUUCCAGAAAGGCAAUAUUCACGUCGGUAGCGAAUUCUCGCCUGCAGAACUCAGCCAAACUUGAUGGUUCUUUAUGGCCUCGGCCCCAGUAUUGGACAAUUCCGGCAGCUUCGGAGGACCCAAUCAGAGAAGCAAUCAACAGGAAUGUUAUUGCUGAGAACAGUGGUUGCAAAGAGGCAGCCAUUUUUUUUCUCUUUCUUUUCAGUGAUUUUUGCAGCUUUGCUUUGGUGAGUUCACUUGCACAAUGACUGACCAUUUUAUAGAUGAGUUUAUCUCAAGUGGAUGUUCAGCAUCUAGAAUAUCCAAACAUCCGUACAACAAAACGUGAAUGGCACGAUUUCUCAUUUCUGCUCUCAAAAAGGUGAAUGGUAUUAUUUUUGUGUUUCAAUAUUGCUAGAGACUACCGUUGUGCUCGCCUAACCUCAUCCACAACUGGACGAAGAAAGAUCUUUUUCUUUCUUUUUUUUUUCUUUUGGGACAUUACAUGGCAGCUAGGGGGGGGGGGAGUGGAUCCUUGAGAUUAAUGGGAAUUGAAUCAUCAUUGAAUUAGACGAGUGGUCCAAACAUCCUCUAAAUUUUAGAAGAAAUUGCAUAUCAAAUGAUAAUUGAUGAAAGAUAAAAUUCGAACCUCGAUAAGAGAAAACUAGGAGUCUUGUUUGAAAUGUAAAAUUUUCAUGAACAUUCUUGAAGUAAAAAGAGUGCUCAAGUAGCCUACGAAAUCCUUCAACUAUGGUACAAUAAAGUGAAAUGGGUGCCUUUCAAUGUGCAAUAAUGGUAGGGGCAACUAUUCUUCUAACUGCUGCUUCAAAUGCAAUUUUUAAUUUACACUUUUUACCAUCUCUCUAUAUCUUUAAAAAUUAAAGUAACCUGCACAACAUGCCCUUACUAUGUGCACAAAUAUUCAUACCGAUGUGCAAAACUUUGGAAUGGUCCUAGUUGUAUAUAUUAGUAAUAGUAGAAAUGUAAAGUUCAAUACUUCCACCUCAAAAGUAACUGCAAAAUAUGUCAGUUGGAAUGAUCCCAUUUAAAGUUCAGAUCACCCCUUAUUUAAUUAUGUUAAGUUCUUAAUAUUUUCCCAUUCAAUCCUUCAUUCAACAGCGGUGAUGGUGCUGUGACGUUUGGUCUUAAGCAAGAAAAUUUUUUUCCUCGCCCUCAGUGUGAAUGUGACUCUCAUAUAUAAAUAAUCUCAUAGCAAAACAUGUUCUUACUGAUCGCAGAAGUGAAGCUUGUACACAGGAAUGUAUAGAUUCCAGUUACAUCCAACUAAUCACUGUUUAAGCAUACGAAUUAGCCAUCACGGGCUAAGACACAGAGGCAAUUCCAGUUGGUUCUAGAUAAAGGGAUCUUCCUCUAACCUGCUGUCACAUCCUUUACAGGAGCCAAGACAGCAGGAACUAUGUCCACAGCCGAGAUAUGUCUCUGCUGAAACAUAGCCAAAUUCCUUGCUGUCCAUAGCUAGUAUAGGCUCAAAACCCUCUUCUCUUUCUUUGCUUCUUAAAUUCCACCCUUCAAUCCUAUGCUACUCAUCCUAUUUUUUAAGAAUUUUAAUUUAUUUAUUUUUUAAAAAAAUUGAUUCAUGUCUUCUGUUUGGAUCCAUGUCUUUGCUGCUUUUAAUUCCUUAAUUUAACGUAGCCCCAAACACGGCAUAUAAUAGUCACUCUCUUAAUAAAUGCAAUUAAUUAAUCAUACCAAAUAUAACGUUUGGAUUAGGUAUUGUAGCACACCUUAGUUUUAUUCUGUUCCCUAUUUUACUUAGUUUCAAACAUGCCCUAUAAUAAUCAACCCUCUAAUGAUGCAAUUAAAUAAAUAUACCAAAAAUAUCUAUACAUAUUUGAAACUAAACAUAAUUGUAUCCAUAACAAUCAAUAUAAAAAAUUAACUAAAAAACAAUCUUUGACUAACAUAAACUAAUAAUCUAAGUUCUUGUCCUCCAAAGAAAUAACAAUAUUCCAAAUCAUAUAAGUUGAACAGCUUAGCAAAUUAGCAAAAUUGACUAACAAACACAACACAAGGUUACAAAAUAUUCAACAUUUCUGUAUUCUUUUUCUAACUAAAAUUUACAAAUCAUACCCAAAAAAAGAACUAAUCUAAGUUCCUAUCCUCUAAAGAUAUAACAAGAUUCCAAAUCAUAUAGUUGAACAAUUUACCGAAUUAGCAAAAUUGACUAAAAAAAUACAAAAAGAGAACAACAAAAUUUUCAAUAUAUUUUGUAGUGCUUUCCUAAAUAAAAUUUAAAAAUCAUACCCAAAACAUAAAAAAAAAUGAAAUAUACUUAUCAGAUACUUCAAUUAUUAGAAUCAUCAUGCACAGAAAAUAAAAAAAAAUAGCUCUAAAUUUCAGCCCAGACCUAGAUCUAAAAUUGGACCUGAAUUAUAUAUAAUCGGACAUUAUUCAUGCUAUUAGAAUUGAUAGAUUUUGUUCGAGCAUAAAAAUGAAAUAUAAUAUUUUUACCUAUUCUUUUGUUACACAAUCAAAAUUAAAAUUAUGUUAUAGUUAUGACUAAAAGAAAUGGAGAAGUAUAUUUUGCAACUACUUAAACUUUUUAUUUAAACUAAAGACAUAUUGAAACUAGGAAAAUUAGUUUAGAAAAGAUAAUAUGAAAAUAAUGCACAAAAUUUGGCUCUAUAGAUGUAGCAUCUACAGAAAGGACGAUUUGCAUUUAGGGGUUGCGGGGAUAUGGAAAAGUAGCAUGGAAUGGGGUUGAUGCAAGGUAGAGUAUGAGGACAAGGGAAGAAGGAAGUAGGAAAGUGGUGAUGUGGGGGGUCGUAGGAAAAGUUAAAGGAAGCUAAAUUUACGCAAUGAUACUAAACUACUUAAAGUUUGAAAUUCCAAUUGAAAAUAUUAAUAUUAUGAAAAUUAGUUUAGGAACGACAAUUCACAAAAAUUACACAAAGUAUGGCUCCAUUUUGAUGGGUUACUUUUAGAAAACUUUCAUAAUGGGAAUAUUCUUUUAAAAUCUUUAUAUGCAGUAUUUUUUGGGUCUUUUUUGAAAAUUUUUGGUAUGUUUUCAUUGAUGGCAUUGAGUAUACUUAAAAAUGGUAGGUAAGUAAUAAAAUGAGUCUCGGGAAUAGAAAAAGAUAGUUGGCAAUGGGAGUGUAGGUAGCAAUUGGUAAAGAUUUAAGUUGACUAAGUUUACUUAACAAUAUUAAAUUUACUAUGAAUUAAUCCUAUAUACACUGAUAGUGUAUACGCUAUCAUUAUUAGAUAAAUGAUAUAUGUGCAAAAUUUGAAUUUAAAAUUCAAAAUUUACUCAUAUGUCAUCCAUUCAAUCGUGAUAGUGUAUAUAAAAUUUAUUCAUUUAAGUUAUAGAAAUAUUAGAUUUACAUUUUAUUAUCACUUUAUGAGAUUAAAUUUACUUAACAAUAAAAUUUACUUAACGAUAUUAGUUUCAUAUUUCUAUUUUACCUAUUAAAUUUACUUAAUAAUAUUGCUGUAAGUCCUAGAGCUGUUAAUUGAGUCGAGUAUUUGGCUGCCGAGCUCGACUCAAGUUUAAUUCAAGUCGAGCUCGACUCGAGCUCGUUAGGAAAACGAGUUUUAAAAUGUGUUCGAAUUCGAGUCGUUAAAUGUACAUGUGGCUCGACCAAUUUUUAUAUCACUCGUGUCCUCAUCAAAAUGGGUGCCCGUCAAAAAAAAGUCUCUGCGUGAUGCAGAGAACCUCUGCGUAAGUGUAGACUUUUCACAAUUCCACGUGUAUGGAAUUUUUUAGACAUCGACCGUACAGACGUGGAUUGGUUUGAUACAGUCAGGGAUUUAAAGGUCAAAUAUCAUUUGGAAUGAACGGUUCCUGUAGCUGAUAGGAGGACACGCCUCCCAAGGGAGAUUUCCUCAUACGGAAUAUCUUUCAUUUUCCAUGGCGGAUUGAGACUUCCAUCGUCCACUUGUCCCCACCUUACCCGUCGCCAAGUUUUUCCACACAACUAAUCAUUCCGAUAUCUUUAAUUGAAUGGGGAUAUCUUUUGCAUUUGUCUUUUGUGCUGUUACGUAUAAAAUAGUCGAGUUGAGUUAUUAAAGUUUUUUAUUUUAAAUGAAAGUUUUAAUUGUGCUGUGUAUUUCUGGAUUUUAAUAUAUGUUUUUAUUUGUCAUUAAAGCAAUAAUUCGUUAAUGAAUUAUGUUUUAUUAUGAAAAAAAAAGAGAAUAGAUACGUCAAAUAAUCUACUGAGCACCUAGUAGUAAGUAAUACAAUAAAUAUUGUUGAAGAUCUGCACUCUUGAUUGGCCUAUCUGUGUUGCAUUUCCUGACCAAACUGUAAUUGAUGGAAUUUAGAUCCGAUCAAGGAUUACUCGACAUAAAGGAGAAUAAUUGCAAGAUCAUUUGCUUAGCAAAGUAUGUGGAUCCCACUCCGUACGUUUUGUCGGCUUACUCUUGGAAAUGGACUAUUCCAUCCAACCGGCUUUUACCCGAGAGGUAAUUCUGACAUCAUUUCACAUAUUUUCUGGGAAAAUUUUUAAGUGGUUGCUUUUUUUUUUUUUUUGAUUGAAACGAUAGAAUUAAGUGGUUGUCAUUCUAUCAACAAUUUUCUAUAGACAUAGAUAAAUGAUGCUUUAUCUGAACUUUUUUUUUCCAGUAAUAAUACAUUGUAUAAUCUACUUUAUCCUAAUUUAAAAAGAAGGAAAGCCUAAAGAGGUUUGUGUUAGAGGUUAGUAGGUAUAUAAACUCAACUAAACUAAGAAAGUGUUAUGACACUACCCUUACAUUUUUUUUUACUGUCAAUAAAGUUUGAACCCUUGCCUACAGUCCAAAAGGGACUUAAGUCCAUAAGCUCAGUGGCUUGAAGCUUCAUCUGAACUUAGCUUUUGUGAAUAUUAUUCGUGUCACGUGACUGCAUUGGAUAAGCUUAUUAUCAACUGCCACUUGUACUAACUGACAAGCUCUUAUGUAGUUGAGAGAGAGCCUGAUAAAUAAAUUAAAGUGACGGUCAUGGUAAAUUUCUUCUCAUGAUCCGUGAAUGGAGUUAAUUGUUGCUGAAAUACUCUCUCCGUUCCACUUUGAUAGUUCUGUAUUUCUUUUUUAUCUAUCCCAAAUUAUAGUUCACUUUCUAAUUGAAGAAUGUAAUUGUAUUUUAAUUUUCCUAAAAUAUUCUUAUUUAAUGUAAGUAGUUGUUACUAUAAACCUAUCUCAUUUAAUGAGAGUUGAUUCUUUUUUUACCAUCAAUUUAAGUUUUCAUAAAAUUAUACCAUAUUUAAUGUGGGGGUAUUUUAGAAAAAUAGCAAUUUAAAUUUACUUUUCCAACAAAGUUAACUACAUUUUCUUAAACUGUGUGAAAAAAGAAACAGGACUAUCAAAAUGGAACGGAGGUUGCAGGAAAAAGGGGCGGGAAUGAUUGUCAACAGAACCUUUCUUGAACGGUGUAAAAGCGGUUCAACGAGUUGCGUUAAUUCGCCAUCAGCUUGCAAACCCUUAGAAUAUAAUGUUAGCUACUGUUCAUAUUGUCCCGUACUGCCAUGCUUCAUAUUGAGUCAUUACGAAUAAAAGCCCUAACGUUUCAAUGUCUGGACUAAGUAUAUAAAGUGAUAAAGUAAGAACCAAAAUCUAUCAAGCGUAUUAUCAUUCUACUAACAAGAACUGGACUUGAUUAAUGAUAAUUAUAAUGCCAUAGCUUUCAACUGGUUCCAAGUGAGAACUUACAAAAAGUAGUUCAACUCAAUGACAGCUCCUGUACUAAUACUUGUCACCAAUCCAUAAGCCCUGACGUCACAAAGAGGAAAAGUAAAAGGCAAAUAAGUAGCAACUCGAAUCCGAACUCGAGUUGAGCUCGGUCAAUAUCAAAUUCGAAUUGACCAAAUCGAACUCAAAUUUGAAAAUAUUUAAUUUGUUAGCUCGCGAGCCAACUCGAUUAUAUAAAUAUAUAUAUUAUUUUUUAUUUUAUUAGUAAAAUAUUAUAUAUAUAUCACUAAUAUUUUAUUAUUUAUUAAGAAAAAUUAUUAUUUUAUUUAUUUUUAAAAAUAAAAUAAUUUUUUUUAUUUUUUUAAGCUCGACCUUGAGUUGAAACUCGACUCGAACUUUACAUUUUGAGUUCGUUGAACUCAAAUUCGAGUUUGCGUUUCAUAAAAUUAAAUUGUGAUUCAAUUCGAUUAGGUCAAAACUCGACUCGACUUGACUUGUCCCGUUUCGUUUGCACCCGGAAGGAAGGACCUUAGUAGUGAUUCCUAUCAAUUUCUUUGAUUUAAGGUUUCAGUUCUGCCUGGGAAAAGGUGAAGAGGCACCACUAGCAUGGCUGUAGACCUAGUAGCUACAAUAAAGGCAUCAAGUUGCCCCGCCAAAAUCCGGCCAACCUCCAUCGCCAAUUAACCAAAAGAUAUUUUUAUCAUAGCUAAUAUUUGAGAAUAGGCAAUAAGGGAUAACCUAAGAUUAGUAAGUAGAUUUUUGACUAAAGGAGGAGAAGGCAUUUGGAGAGGUAGGCAUGCUUUUUUUUUUUUGUCGGUAACGGUAGAUAUCUUAUAACCUAAUCUAGGCUAAUCUAGGGGAGAGGGGUAAGGGGAGAUGGUCAAUUAAAAUCAGCCACAUAUUGUGGUAAAAUUUGAAAGAGAUAGGGAUAGAAUUCCUAACCUCCAAUAUCACCAAAGAGGGUGAUGAUCACUGGACCAAAUGACCGUGACAUUUGGAGAGGUAGCAUGCAGUUGAGCAACUUUAAGAAAAUGCUCGAGAUGAGGAAGACGAAGAGAGGCGAAAUUUCCUAGCUAGGGGAGAAUCGAUCGGGUGGCUUCAACCUUAUUGGUCCAUGAAUUUCUUUGACCCAUGGCCCUUCACGCGGUGUCUUCGUACGUCUCGCACUGGUACUAGACUACUAGGUUGUUUAUCGGCCGAUAAUUUGAUUAAAAAUUCAAUUUUUUUUUUCAAUUUUUUCAACAAUGUCAACAUCCAAUUACCGUUCAAACUUUUAUUUAGUAAUUGGAUAUUGCAAAUUGGAUUACGACCGAAUAAUUAGUAUUUCAGUAAAAUAUCCAAAGUUUUAGAUUGAUUUUCUAAUAUAUAUUAGUUAAGUAUAUUUAAUAUGUAAUUAAUAAUGUAAAAGGUUAUUAAUAUGUUCAUUAAUAUGGUUUUAAGGUCAUAUAUUUGUCUAUAAACAUAUAUUAUAACUUAUAACACUAUUGAUUGAUACAUCAAUAUGCAAUAUGAUAUAUUAAUAGGCAUGAAAUAUAUAAAAUAUUUAAUUAAAAUAUGAAAUUCGGUAACUCAGUCGGUGGUAAUCGAAAAUUCGAGAAUCGAAAUUCAAUAUCAAAUGACAAACUGUUUUGCCAAAAUUUAAAAUUGGAUCUUAAUCGGUUUUUCCAAAUUUCAUUUUACCGACAUCCGAUUUUCGAUCUAAAUUGAAUCAAUUGAUUAUUCGAUUUUUCUUUUUUUUUUUUUUUGGAAGUGCGAGCACCCUUAGCUCGCUGGUACCGGGGUAGCCAGCCAAAUUACAAUUGACCAGCUGAAUUGACAAAUCCUGAAAUCCAAUUCCAGUCUCUUUCUCGUCUUUAUAGCAGUCUAUCGCAAAAGAUUUCUCGUCUUUAUUGUUCCGUGCUUCAACCGGUAAACUUAGACGGCGAUGGGUAUCUAUUUGGGCAGGGAAACACCAUGCAUUUAGGUGUCACUGCAUGACGUGCAGGAAAAGUUAUCGUGCGGGCCAUGACUUGAACUCAUCGUGCUCACUAGCUAUUGGCUACUGCAUCAAACACGUACCCCAAAAAGGAACAAGAGAAAAAGGGUAUCCAAUGGAGCAUUUCUUUCCUUUAGUAGUUUCUAGCUAAUUACUUUUCUUUUCAUCAGCCAAAUUCAAUUAGGUGAGAUGAUUCCUCGAAACUACUGAGCCAAGCUCAGGGGCCACCCACUUUAAGUGAUUCCGAGACAGGUAAAUAAUGCGUUCGUAGUCUAGGUCAACGGUGAUUCAAUUUUUAUCGAUUUUUUUGGACUAUUUUAGAUUCCUCUCCUAAUAUAAAAUAAAUAUAAAUCUAUCAUAUCCGAAAAAAAAAAAGAGAUGCUUCCUCGAAGUUUAAUAGUAAAAAAAAGUGGACAAUAGUAGAAACCCAAAGUUUCACAAUCUUUCAUUUUUUUUGGUUCUGGGGGUUUGGCUGUAUGUUACGUGUGUCGUCGUAUCAAAAUUAUACCAUAGUGAUUUAUCAUUUUGAUCGACGGGACAAAAUGAUAUUUUAUUAGGAGAAUGUUAUAAUCAAGUAAAUAGUAGAACUCCCAUCCCUAAGUGUCUAAUUAAUACAGACACAAACGGAGGUGUGAUUGUAAUCUAGAAACUAAACCAUAUACCACAUAAGCGGAGCAAGUGGAAUCUACUAUUCACCCUCUUUUUUUUUUCAAAAACGAAAAAGAAGAAAAAAAAAACUUGUUUGUUUAAGGGUGUAAUUGUAGUUUAAUAUGAGUUUCAAUUUUUCCCCCAAAAAACUAAUUCUGUCCCUCAUGUGUAGAUCAUUGUAUUGUCAUAAAAAAAAAAUAGUUUAUUUCCUUAUCUUAUAAAUCAUAACCUAUCAAGUUUUGCAUAUUGCUGGCCAAAAUUAAUUUUUUUUUUAUUAUUUGUUGAUAUUUUAUGAAACAUUCUCUCAUAUCCAACUAUAAACAAAACAGGAGGAGGAGUUGCGGUGUUAAAAUUUUGUGCCAUCUUUUACAUUACCUUUUUUGUUCUUACACUAGGGUAAAAUGGCCUAACCAUAUUCAAAAAUUACUUUUUCUAGUUUUAUGUGGAAUUUUUAGCUUUGUUGCUAAUCAUUAUAAUUAAAGGUAACUAAUGAAAAAUAACUACUCGUAUUUUCACCAAAGAUUAUAAAAACAAAAUUUUUUUCAACAUGUAAAACUGAUUUCUAGAAAACUACUUUUUACAACUAAAAAUUAUAACUAGGUUAGGACUGAUUUUUUUGGAUCGUAAUGUAGGUAUCAAUAUCAAACUAAAUCCAAAUAAAAAUGAAUCAGUGUUUCCAUUUUAAUUUGUAUGUCACCAAGGAUUUCUCCCACAAGCACGCAAUGAUUUUCCACCAUGAUUUCAAAUUUGAAGACUUUUAAGUUGUCGUCGUGUUAAUAUCAACUUUGUAUAGUAUAGUGUAUAGUUCCUCCCUACUUCCUACAACACAGAACUACUUCCUCCCUACUUCCUCUCUACUGCUUUCUAGCUUUUCUGUCAAUAACUCUAUGAACUACUCAUUAAUGAUUUUUAAGUAUUUUUGAACCAUUGAUUAUGGUAGCUGGAUAAAUUCUUAUAGUCAUGUAAUGUUGAUAUACGUUGCAUCUCCUGGAUUAGUUUUCUACCUCCUUCACCAUUGCAAGAAGUAAUGAUUUGGCAAUUUGUAUAUUUCAGACUAGACAGACUUGACUUUAAUUUCCAUAUAUCUUUUUCUUGUUAUAAAUAUUGAACUUUAAUUUUUUUCUGAAAUUGCAAAGAGAAAACUACAUUUCUCUAUUUUUUUAAUAUUGCCACAAAAUCUGUAGAUUAUUAUUGAACAAUAUAAAAGAAAUAAAAUAAACUAACUUAAAGCUAACAUAUAUGUGCCACAAAUAAUUUUACAGCCAAGAUAGAGGUUGAUGGUAUGUGAUAAGAAGCCCUUUCCAGAUACGCCUUCCAGGAGAGAAUUGAAGUAAUGGGAACGAAGUUAAAUUGGCAUUGUAUCUACUGAUGGAACUGUUAGAAUCGCGUCACAAUCACUACCAGUAACUCAGCCUAUGAUUUGUUGUUCCUCGAAAAUUGUUAUCCAUAUUAAAGUUCGAAAAACAAUUUAACCAAAUCGUAUGGAGUACUAUUCAUCCAUUUUUUUGGUCUUUACUUUAACAGCACAACUUAGAGACAUUAUUGAGUUUCUGCAAAUUCUUUUGUCAAAAAUGGCCCAAGGAUGAUUUUUAUUUGAAAACUACAAUAUUUUUGGUCUCUUAGCUUUUCAAAUUGUCUAAAAUAAUGCUAGAUUUCUGCUCUAGAAUACUAAUUUAGUCUUUCAAUUGUCAACUAUUGCACUGAAUUUUCACUUAUUUAGGAGGUGGCUGGGGAGAGGGGAGGAGAGCGAAGAGGGAGAAGGAGGAGUGGAGAGGAGAGAGAGUUAGGGAGGAAGGGAGGGAGUAAGAAGGGGAAAAAAAAAAAGAGGACUCCGCCGGCUACCGCGAGCAGUGGGGAGGGAAGGAGGAGGAAAAUCAAUGAGGUGGAGGAUAUGAAGAGGAAAGGAAAGAAAAGAAAAAGAAAAAAGAGGAAAACUUUUACACAUUUAAAUAAGUUUUUUAUUUUAACAAAUUUUACAGUAAGAUACAGUAAAAUUAUAUACAAACAUACAAAAAAUUCAUUCGCUAAAUAGGGCCUACAUAACACACAACCUGGUAGUACCAAUCACUAUUUCAGUACACAAAUAAUCAAGAGUUAAAACACACAUGAGGCAAGCCAAGCUCCCAAGCCAAUUCGCAGCUGGUUCUAGUCAAAGGGAUCUUCCUCUAACCUGCUACCACAUCCCUCGCAGAAGCCAACACAGAGAAAGUAUGUCCAUAGCCGAGACGUGUCUAUGCUGAAACAUAGCCAAAUUCCUUGAUCUCCUUAGCUAGUAUGCCACAAUUUUUGAGAGAGAGAGAAUUAUAUUUGGAAGUGACUGAAUUCCAAGAUUACAUGCAUCUAUCAGAAACUAAUAUUGUUUUGUGGAUACGAAAUUCAAAAAUCUAAAGAAGUAGGUCAUCUUUGAAUAAUAAAAACUAAAGGGCAUCCACACUUUACAUAUGAUUUAGACUAAAUAAUAAUAAUUUGCCAUAAUCAACACGUUGGAUGAUGCAAUUGGACGUUCAAAAAGAAUCAAAGAUCAAGCGCAAACGUGUUGGUACUAUAUUAUGAAUUGGUUUAACAUUAAUUUGCCUGUAACCUCCUAUAGAACUCACCAAACUAAGCAUAAAUGCAUGGGGCCCAAGCACUAAUUAUUUGAGCAAGAUUAUUUCCCACUUUGUGUGACGACAAAAAGAAUGUGGGAAGUUCUGUAGUCAUGUGAUAUAGAUCAAGGUAGCAUCUUCCAAGGAGCACUUCCUGAGUUCCUGUGGCCGAUACAAAUACAACGUUGUUGAACUAAUCCCCAAAGGACCUCUUCGUGUUGUCGGUUUUGCCAAUGUCUCGUCUGUAUCACCUGUUUACCUCCAUUCAUGUAUAGUUGCCAUUGUGUUCGUUCUAUGCAUAUAUCCUGUUGUUUGGUUUAAGAUUCCUCAACUCGAGGUAGGAAUUGGGAAUCCCUUUUUGUUUGGAAGGCAAAUAUUUUCCAGAAAAUGUUUUCCUGAUUUUCCAUUGUUUGAUUGGGUUAUUGCUUGCGAAAAUUUUCCACAUAAAUGAACUGAAAUUAUUUUUCAUGUCCGACUUGUAAGGCUAUUCAUUCAUGCUCCCUUCUUUGCUGUUUUCUCUCUUUUUUUUUUCUCUGUCUCUGUCUUUCUUUCUCUCAGAUACACAGUGUUAGGAAAUUGGCUUAAAUUCUUUUAGGUAGAUUUCUUAUUUGGUGUGGGAAGUGACUAGUUUCCUAAUUGGAUUUAGUUACUUGAAGUAGUAGUCAAGUAAAGCCCUAUUUAGCAGAAAUUAGAUGCUAUUUCUAUAUGAGUUUAGGAAAUAGUAUUGGUUUCCAAAUUGUUAUUUGGUUUUUUGGCAGUAAUGUUCCCUAUAAAUAGGUGGGUUGGCAUACUACACACACAAGAAGACACGCAAAAGAAGACACAAGGGGCCUCAUGUAGCCUUAUACAUGGGGUGUGAGAGAGGGUUCUUGGGAGAUGAGAGAUGGUAUACAAGGGUUGGGUUUGGGUUCAAAUUGUAUUCUUGUAUAGGGUUUUUCUCUCAUAAUAAAGAACAGGUUUCUCUCCUUGGAUGUAGGCUCAAUGGUGGAGCCGAACCACGUUAAAUAUUGUGUGUCGUUUAUCUUUCAUGCUUGUGGCUUGUUUCUCAUUAAAUUGUUGUGCAUUUGAUAUCUCAAUAGUUGUUUAUUCCGCAUCUGGAUCCCAACAAGUGGUAUCAGAGCCAGGUUGCGAGACUUGACUGCUCAAGGUUCAUAGUUGGAUCCUAGUUAACUAUUGAGAUCAAGUGGAUUGAUAGUUGUCACCAAUUGAACAAUUUAAUGGGUGGUAUCCUUGUUUCAAUGGCUUGGGAAAAACCAUUGAUGGUGAAGGAUGGGAAGUCGAAAAGCAUGGAAAUGCUUGACAGUGAAUCUAAGCAGGUGAUUCAAGGGUCAAGGAAAAGGUGGAGUCCAAUGUUGAUUUUGGACGUGAAUCGGUGGAGACUUUCUCACAUAUCCAACGGUUGAUUCUUCAUCCCGGUGAAUUUUAGAUUUUGGUUAUGUUUUUUGGGUGGUGUGGCACGUGUCCCAAAGAAAUAAGGAGAUCUAAUUUCUAUGCGCCAGAAGACUCUGACAAGUACGAGUUUUUCGUUUUAGGUGGAGUCUUGAAAACCACAUGUGGCGAGACAGUCCUGAGAAUGGGAAGAAGUAUGGUGACUUUACCACUUGAUUGUCUCAAUGGUUAGGGUUAGAGCUCACAGAAGGGAAUCCCAGAUUGCAAGUGCUGAUGAGAAGAAAUCCUGCAAAGGGAGACGGUGAAUUGAGGCACCUUCUCACGAGUCAACUGGAGGUUGGACUCGGGGUAACUACACAUGUUCAUUUGCCGAUUGAAUCAAUUUGGUAUCAGGACUGUAUUGAUUCGGAUGUGUAGUUUGGUACCAUAUUAUUUGGUAGUUGAAGGCAAAUGGUUUCUAAAAGAAAUUUUCGCCAAGGUGGAGAUUUGUUAGGAAAUUGGCUUAAAUUCUUUUAGGUAGAUUUCUUAUUUGGUGUGGGAAGUGACUAGUUUCCUAAUUGGAUUUAGUUACUUGAAGUAGUAGUCAAGUAAAGCCCUAUUUAGCAGGAAUUAGAUGCUAUUUCUAUAUGAGUUUAGGAAAUAGUAUUGGUUUCCAAAUUGUUAUUUGAUUUUUUGGCAGUAAUGUUCCCUAUAAAUAGGUGGGUUGGCAUACUACACACACAAGAAGACACACAAAAGAAGACACAAGGGGCCUCAUGUAGCCUUAUACAUGGGGUGUGAGAGAGGGUUCUUGGGAGAUGAGAGAUGGUAUACAAGGGUUGGGUUUGGGUUCAAAUUGUAUUCUUGUAUAGGGUUUUUCUCUCAUAAUAAAGAACAGGUUUCUCUCCGUGGAUGUAGGCUCAAUGGUGGAGCCGAACCACGUUAAAUAUUGUGUGUCGUUUAUCUUUCAUGCUUGUGGCUUGUUUCUCAUUAAAUUGUUGUGCAUUUGAUAUCUCAAUAGUUGUUUAUUCCGCAUCUGGAUCCCAACACACAGAUCAUACGCACUUAGGGGGAGAUCUAGACUUGAAAUUGAAAGGGGCUAUAGGGAGAUCGUGAAGGAUGCUAGAGAAAGUUUUGAUGUAUGAAAAUGAAAUGAAGUUGUUAAUUUUGUGCUAACAUACUGUAAAUUUGAGGUAUGUUCACGUUCAAUGGACAUUAACUGUUACCGUUUGAAUUGCUAUUUUCUGGAACCUUUUUUUUUUAUAAAAAAUAUACUAUAGUGAUUUUGAUAUAUGUAAAAUAAAAAAAUAAUUGAAAAAUAUGAUCACGAAAAACGUAAAAAUUUUUUGAGGAAAAAUGGCUUUUCCAAACAAUUGCUGAAACUUUUUUGAGGUGUUGAUUAUGGUGGAAGAACGGUGGCUUUUAGGUAAGAGCCUGAGAUUUGGUAUGGGCUUGUGAACUAAAGGGUAUCUUAACUGCUUGAAGAAGAGUAAGUUCUGACAGUGGAUCCCUCAAGAAUUUGUCAUCCAUAAGUUAAUAAUUAUCAACCAACGUACAUAGUAGUUAACAAAAUAUACCUGUUCUUGUUCUCAGGUUUUCACUUUUCGGCAUAAGAAACCCACAAAAACACUACAAAUUUGUAGCAAACAGUACUGGGACGGAGAGUGGAUUAAUCCGGAGAAGAGAAGGGGGCGUCGGCAAUCCUGUGUUUUAAAACUCGGACCGGACUGGCCGGUUCGACUGGUCGAACCAGGAAGUCGAACUCGGAACCGGACAAGUGUUCAGUCCGAGUCAUGUUUAAAAACCAGGUAAGUAAAAAAUCGGUCAAAAUCCGGGUUUGACCGGAAAAAACCGGAUUUUCCGGUUCAAACAGUUUUUUUUUUUUAAAAUAAACUUUUUUAAUAUUAUGUUUUGACCCCUAGAUUGUUAAAAAUUAUUAAUAUACCUCAAAUAUUUCAUACUUUAUCAAUAUUUUCUUAAAGUUUGGUAUUGUUUUUCAAUUAAGUCCAUAAUUUUAAUUCUAAACUUGUUAAUGCUCAUUAAAUAAUAUAAAUUGUUAAUUGAUUGUUCUAAUUUCUUUGUAUUUUCUUGUUCAAUAUAUUUAAAUUAUCAAAUAUAUAUGAAUAUACCUUUAUUAAUAUUAACAUGUUAUUAGGUAUUUUAUAUAUAAUAUUUUAAUUUUUAAAUAAUUUUUAUUUAUGACGUCAUCCGAUUCAACCCCUAUUGAACCCGAUUGAAUCCAUUGACCCCUGACCCCUAAGUUUGAUCGAGUCGAUACCUGGUUCGGUUCUGAAAACACAGCGGCAAUCACCUGGACUUGGUUCAUAUUACACGCCCUGCUGUUUUGCUAAAUCAGUGUGUGAUGGAAUAAUCAGGCCCCUCCCUCGACAGUUUCAUCUAUGGUAGAAAGCUGACUCAUGUGUGCAUGGUGGGAAGAGCAAAGGAAAUUUGGCCAAGACAUUAUUGUGGGGCUGGGCAGGAUGCAGCUAUUAAAUGAACUACUGGAUAUCGGGGUUGAUUAUGGGUCCCAUUGUAUUUCUAGGAGAAAUAAAAUGCAAGUCCCUCAACAACUCAUGGGCACUCAUUUGCACCCAAAAAAUUUGGCAUCAACCGGGGAGCAGCUCCCCAGGCCAAAUUGGUCAAAUGCAAUAAUCCUUGGAGAUAUGUGGAAAUGAAGUCAUGUGUACUCCAAUCUUAAACUAUAAAUGCUUACCUGAUGAAAAGUUAUAACUGUUUAAAUUUAAUUAUUAGUUGACUUAGAUGAGUAAUUAUAUGCAUAAAUAAUUAAAAGAAAUUAAUUUUAUAUAAAUUUAAUUUUUACAAAAAUAAAUUUAUUAUAAAUUUAUAGCAAUUUGGCAAUUACAAUACUUAGGGUAGUUAUAUUGGCAAAAUGUGAUUAAGUAAUUAGAGCAAAAAUUAAAAGGUUUUCCCUAAGGAUAAAAUUGAAAGUCUAGAAAAUGACAUUAAAAAGCUUACACUAACUGUGAUCCCUCUAACUUUUUAUAUUGCAUAGAUAGUGGCUUUUUAACUGGAAUCAAAAUUAUAGAUGAAUAAUUAGAAACAUAAUUAACAAAGUGUUACAAAAAAAAAAAAAACCAGAAUCGUGACAUAAUUAACGUGGUAGAUUUUAAUUUAAAUUUAGAAAUUAAAUAAGUAAUCUUAUACGCAACAUGGUGACUUUCAAAUCGAUAUCAAAUUUGUAGAUGAGUAAUUAUAAAUAUAAUUAACAUAGUACACCAAGAAACUAGAAUUGAGAUUAUAGAUAAAAUAAUCACAAACAUAAAUCACAUAAUACAAAAGUUUCAGAGAUUGAACGUUUGAACUAUUGAAAUAACUAGAUAGUUACCAACUUAAGUUCUAACUCCGCAACUAGUUGUAUUGGAUAACCAAUUAUAGUAAAAAUCAAAAUUUACUCUUAAAAGUAAGUGUUGAAUUAAAAGAUUUUGUUGUGAUAAGGAUUAUCUAAUGAGAGCAAAUCCAUUGAAACAAACAAGCAACGAUAUCUAGAUAAAUGUCAAUUACAAUCUCGUAUUCAAAUGAAUAUACAUAUCCAAACAAUGCACUUAACGAUAAAGUAAAGAGGUGAGACCCAACACAUUAUUUAAAACACAAACAUUGUUUAGAGUAGUUACACUAGUUAUAUUGGCAAAAUGUAAUUACGUAGUCAGAGCAAAAAUUGGUUUUUCUUUAAGGAUAAAAUAGAAAGUUUGAAAAAUGACAUAAAAAUGUUUACACUAACUACGAUCUCUCUAACUUUAUAUGUUGAAUAGAUAGUAGCUUUUUAAUUAGAAUCAAAAUUAUAGAUGAUUUAUUAGAAACAUAAUUAACAUAGUACUUCAAGAAACUAGAAUCGUGACAUAAUUGACCUAGUAGAUUUUAAUUUAAAUUUAGAAAUUAGAUAAGUAAUCUUAUAUGUAACAUGGUGACUUUUAAAUUAAUAUCGAAUUUGUAGAUGAGUAAUCAUAAACUUAAUUAACAUAGUACUUCAAGAAACUGGAAUUGAGAUUGUAGAUAAAAUAAUCAUAAAUUUUAGAAGAAAAUACUCUCCUUUUUGAAUAAUAAAAAAUUUAGAGUAGCAAGUAUUAAUCUCUUUUCCUUGGUAAUCUUAUUAAUAUUGAAAAAUAUAUAUAAAGAUUAGGAGGGGGAGUGGGAGUGAGAGAGAGAGAGAGAGAGAGACCUAGAAUGUGUCUUAUGCACUAAUAUAAUAUUAAGUACCAAUCAUUCAUUGACUUUUCUUUUUCUUUACUUACAAUUGAUUAUUAAUUCAUUUUGCAUACUCUCAAAACAUUAAGUUUAAAAAAAUUACUCAUGGUUUGGCGAUUGCAUCGCACAUUUCAUGAAUUUUCACAAAAAAAUGAUCUACACAAAUUAUGGCAUGCAUCUAGGUAAUUAGUGUAUACACUAUCAAUUUAAUUUAGAUUAGUCUUUUUUUAUACCAUCCAUCCAAUAUUUGGGAGCAUCACUAAGUGUUGUUAAUACACAUUUUUCAUCUUUUAAAUUCCUUUUGUAUCUUACUAUUAAGAGUAUUUAAUUUUUCCUCACAUAUAUAAAAAUUAUGGUUUCUUGAGUAGUUUUGUUAAUUAAUUAUUUACUAGUUACUCGCCCUCCUUUCUGUCCCUUUCUUUUUUUUAAGCACUUCAUUUGUAAAAUUUCAAUUAAUGUUAGUAAUUAGCAAAUAAGUAAAUACCGUACAAAAAUCAUCAUAUUAUAAAAAUUCUUUUACAAAUUAAAUUUCAAAUUCAAAAACCAAUUGUCAUGAAAAAAUACAUUUUUAAAUGACCAUAAAAUUAAUUACUUCUACAUACAUAGGGAAACUUAAUGCAACAAUGGUACGAAUUUAAGUGAUUCUUUGACUUUUGUUCUUUUAUUUAUUUAUUGCUUAAGUUUAUCAAUUAUUGAUCCAUUUUUCACUCUCUUAUAAUAUUCUACUUGUUUGGAUUGUAAGUUAUUUGGAAUAUUUUUACUGUAACACUUUUUAUGACGUGAUGUAUGUGAGAUAAAAAGCUAAUUGGGAAGAUAAAAAGAUAUAUUAAAAAUUAUAAUAAUGAUGUAAGCAAAUAAAAUUGAAAAAAUAAUACUUAAUCCAAACAAACCUUAUUAAGUUUAAAAGAGUUAGCAUCUAUACCAACCAAUUUAUAUCGAUAUUGUUGUCCACUACUUCAGGUAAUAUAAACUUUGCCGGUUACCUUUGGCCCUUGUCAUCUUAGCAAUAGUUGAUCUGACUUUCCACCAUAGAAGCAACCCUACCUCAACAAUAAUGGAAUUAGCUGCCACGCACGUACGUACCUAUGCAUGAAAACUGACUUCAUAGCUUUAUAGCUGUCCCCUCCGUGAAUAUGAAUAUGAAUCAGAAUCUGAAUCAGUCACUCAGGACUUUAUUAUCUCUGAACGAACGCCCAUAAACAGCCCCUGAAACACUAAAUUCUGGCAGCUGCUCUUUGUCGUGAUGCCAAAAAUGGUCCUUGGAACAUUAAUUACGUGAAACACUACAUUCUGGCAGCUGCAGCUCUAGCUCUCUGUCGAAGAUGCCAAAAAAAAUUAUCCUGGCCUACUUAAAUCAAUUUUGAACCAAUUAAUUUGCAUCAAAUUCCAUGACUUGCAUUUUUCUCUCGAUUUUUUUAUGAAACUCUUUAGAUUUAUUCCUCUCUUUGAAUAUAAAAUAAAUUUUAUCGUGUUUGAUAAAAAAAAUUUAAAUCAAUUUUGUUUUAACUCUCUGUCUAAUCUUCAAGGAUGCCGUGUCACGACUAUCGCUGUGCUUCCUCUCUCCUCUCCGCCAUGUCUGAACUCUGAAGUCUCAACUCCUCCUUUCCUCACUUUCAGUUUCAACCACAAGUCACAAGGCUUCAACAACCUACCACUCUCAUCUCCUCCUCCUCAUCAUCAGGCCUGAGAAUUCUUCCUUUUUUUUUUUUUUUUCCCUUAUCUUCUUUGUCCUCCAGAAGCCCACUUUAAUAUAUAUUUUUUUGGUAAGUAGCCCACUUUAAUUAGUAUUAUCCUCACGAUAAGUUAGAUGUUUGAACAGACCAUAUUAUUUUGGAAUGCAUUUUUAAAUUAAAGGAAUUAAAAUUAAAUCGAUGAUCUUACAUCAAAGAGAUUUGUCCCAAAAAUAUAUAUAUAUAUAUAUGGGAUGGGGAAGUCGAUUUGGCUUAUAGCAAUAAAAUACUCCUACAAACUUGUCGGUGGUUGGUUGAAAGUUGAAAUAUCUGGCAGAUAUAAUUUGCAGAUAUGUUUGUGUGUCCUCUGAGUGAGAAAGAGCAGGAGAAGGAUGGAGAAACAAUAGGAAGCAAAGUUGGAGGGCUGGGGACUAGCUAAGAUUGGUGGAGAAGGUGAUGAUGGUGUUCGGUAGUUGGCAAGGAUUGAGUUAAAGUGCAUUGUGGAGGAAGUCUCAACCAAUUUAUCGUGCUUCCUCUUUCCUCUCCGCCAUGUCUGAAGUCUCAACUCCUCCUUUCCUCACUUUCAGUUUCAACCACAAGUCACAAGGCUUCAACAACCUACUACUCACAAGGAGGUUGAUGUUUGAACAGACCAUAUUAUUUUGGAAUGCAUUUUUAAAUUAAAGGAAUUAAAAUUAAAUCGAUGAUCUUACAUCAAAGAGAUUUGUCCCAAAAUAUAUAUAUAUAUGGGAUGGCGAAGUCGAUUUGGCUUAUAGCAAUAAAAUACUCCUAAGAUUGGUGGAGAAGGUGAUGAUGGUGUUCGGUAGUUGGCAAGGAUUGAGUUUAAGUGCAUUGUGGAGGAAGGAACGAUCAUCAAAGUUUUCCGACUCCAAAUGGUGUCGUUUAGUUUUAAAGCGAAAACCUUGGGCAGGACGUUCUGUGUCCGUCCGUCCAAAUGGGGUGAAAGUUCUCGCGGGGUAUAAGCCUCACAAAUUUUUAUUUUUAAAUAUUUUAAAAAUAUAAAAAUACACACACAGACACACACAUAUAUAUACAUGUGUGUAUGUAUAAUAUUAAAAAUACCCAAAAAGAUAAAGAAAAAUUAUAACCUUACGUGACUAAAAUAAAACCUGCUUGUGUAACUAAUGUCAUCCCAUGAACAGAAACCCAACAAACCAUUGUAAAGUUCGAUGAUUAUUUGUAUAAAAAACUUGUUGUCAUCCUGCAAACUAAUGAUUACAGUUGCGAAAAUCCUUUUCUAGGUACCUGUGAGUUUUGACUAUCAAAGCAAGUGUCUUUCUCCUAUUUCUUUAGAGUAUCCUCAAUGUGAGGCACAAAGUCUUGCGAAAACUCUUUGUAUCACUAAAUUCCAAACUGAUAUCCAUGUUUGCCAACUUAAAUUUAUAGGCUGAUCUAAGAAAAGUUUUCAGAAAUUGCAAGUUCAGUUUGAGGGUUUCAACUUCUUUUAGGCAAGUGAAGGGAAAAUCCAGUUUGGAUGUUUUUCUGAAACUUUAAAAAAAGGGAAAAAGUACUGGGAUUUUAAAUGUAUAUAUUUUUUACGCCUCAAAAAAAAAAAAACUCCUUAUCAUUACUUCCUUAUCUAUAUCCUACUUUUCCAUUCUUUUUUUCAACAAUUAAUUAUCUUCCUUUUUUCACUUUCUUAGUUAUAGCAACUUUUAAUGAAUUGUAUAUGAGCCAUUCUAUGUAUGUAAAUUGUGUUCAUGAAUCAUCAAUAUCCGUCAAUAUUUCUACAAAUUUAUUGCACAAAAUGUUUACUACAAUUUUUUAGAUCUUCAAACUAAAUUCUUUUGCAUCUUCAAAAACAAAAUCUUUACUUUAAUUUUAUAAUUACCAAAAGUAAUUUUCAAAUUAACAGAAUCUUUCAACAAAUUAUUUGUACUCCCGCUGAAGUAACGGUUAAGAACUAGUACAAUUCAUGUUCUUCUUGUUUAAUUUUCACCACACCUCCACAUAUAAAUUUGAGAAGCAGAUUGGAUGACAAUUUUUGAAGUCAAUUUUUGAAGCUAUGCAUGCAUCCAUCAAAACGGUGUCCAUUUACUCGUAAACUUUUCAAAGUCUUAUAAUUAAUUUCGUUGAAUUAAAUGAAUUGUAUGAUGCAAUUGCAGAGAAUCUCCAUCCAAUUGGAAACAUUUUCCAGACUACGUGUAUACAAUUAAUCCAUCGUUUGGAAUUUUGUACCUCAAUCAUACACGGAAUUUUGAAUUUAACGUCAUUGCCCAAUACAUGGAAUUUUGAUCUAUUCUUUUUUCUUGAAGGCAACACUUUUUGAUGUCACAUUAAUGUCAAAGAACGUCUUCAUUGGAGAGAGAAAUUUGGAUUAGCUGGAAAAAGUCAAAAAAGAAAAAAGAGUUUCAUACAUACAUGAUACAUCUCCUUUGGGAGAAACUAAUAGAGGUCAUCCAAUUAAGGUGUUUGUCACGCUACAUGUAACUCACUUUAUGUAUAAAUGCUUUUGAAUGCUCAAAUAUCUUAUUCUCAUGCUUUAGAAUUUGUUAUUCUCAUGGAAAACUCUUGUUUGGAUUGUAUUUUUUUGGAUUUUUUUAUUAAAAAAUUACUGUAACGAUUUGAUAUAUGUGAAAUAAAAAGAUGAUUGAAAAAUGUGUUUACGGAAUAUGUAGCAAUUUUUUUUUUGAAAUUGCUCUCCAAACAUUGAAAAAAAAAAAAAGAAAUUGCAGUGUAUUCCUCGCUACACAGUGUAUUCCUCGCUUCAUUUUUCUGGUGUUUGUUUAACUUUUGAAAUAUUUUCACUUUUAUCUCUAUCUUUACUUUCUACACAUUAUAACUACAUACUUCUUCUCAUGCAAAAUAAGAAAAUUUAUCUCAUUGUUUAACUUUAAAAAAUCUUGGAGAAAUGUAUAUAUGAAUAAAAAAUAUCUCCUUAAGUAAUAAACAAAUUGCUGGCCAUUUAGUAUCAAAUAUCAAUCACAUGCAAUGCUUAUUGUGACAUAUAUCUUGCACUCUCACUGCUGAAAGUUUUUCUAGAAAAGAAUGUCCAUAUUAUACAUAAUUAAUUACUAGCAUAGGAUGGGCAGGAUGAGGUUUUUUUUUUUAUUUUGAAUAUACUAGGGGAGGGUUGGGUUGGGUUGGGUGGUACGGGGGAGGAAGUGUAAGGAAGAGGUCUUGGGUUCAGUAAGUUUGGAAGGGAAGUUGUUUUCCAUAAGAUGAGUGAACAUAUUUUACAUAAUAAAAUGUUUUCAGUAACUUUUGUGCAACCAAACACGGGAAAUUAGGAAAAUAUUUUCACCCGAAACAAACGGACCCUACAUGUAACUCACUUUAUGUAUAAAUGCUUUUUGAAUGCUCAAAUAUCUUAUUCAACGAUGUAAACUUUUGAAUGAUCAAAUUUUAAUAAGGAACAAGUACAUAAAAAAAGAAAAAUCAAAGUCUGUACAAAUAUUUUUUUUUUUCACAAAGUGUGCACCAUUUUUGGUAACCAUCCAACACGCAUUGCGGACUUUUUUUUUUAAGUAUUAAUUUUGUCCCUCAUGCUUUAGAAUUUGUUAUUCUCAUGGAAAAUUCUUGUUUGGAUUGUAUUUUUCUGGAUUUUUUUUAUAGAAAAAUUACUGUAACGAUUUGAUAUAUGUGAAGUAAAAAGAUGAUUGAAAAAUAUGUUUACGGAAUAUGUAGCAAUUUUCCUUUGAAAUUGCUCUCCAAACAUUGAAAAAAAAAAAAGAAAUUGCUCUCCAAACAAGGCCUUAGAUCUUAACGUUGCUUACUUCUUUAACGUUGACCUAUCAACUUUAAGUUAUGUGACAAAUUUCCAAUCCUUUUAGUGAUUUUAUGCCAAACAAUUUUAAAUUAAUUUAGAUUACAAAAGAGAGGAUCGUAAAUCAAAAGGUCAAUUUCACAACUAAUUGUUCACUGAUUUUACGGCAAACAAUUUUAAAUUAAUUUAGAUUACAAAAGAGAGGAUCGUAAAUUGAAAAAUCAAUUUCACAACUAAUUGAUAGAGAAUCAAAAUUUCCAUGAAUUCAGCACAAAUUUUCCACAUGAUGGAUGGACUAGACCCAACACGUCGGUGAAAUUUCUACCCAACUUGGAGCAUUAUAUGUGGCCGUCGAGAUUUAUUUUGGCUUUCUUUGCUUCUCCUAAUUUUAAAUGUAUAUUUGAAAUUCUUGAUCUGUUUAUUUUUCUUUUAGCCUCAAUCUUUUUAUAGUUUGAAAACCACCCAAACUUUUUUGUUUAUUAAAAAUUUAUCAAGUCAGAAUAAAAAGAGUUUAUCGAGUCUCAUUGAAUGUGUUAAACAAGGUUUUCACGACAUAAAGAAGUACAUAUAUACACAACUAUAAAUUAAUGUUGUAUACAUUAUUACUGUAAAAAAAAAAAAAAUUUUCUAACAGGUGUAACUAUAUGAUAUAUGAGCAAAAAUUGAAUUUAAAAUUUAAACAGUGAUAAUAUGAUAUUUAUCUAAACCUACUUGUAUAAAAAAAAAAUUUAUACGCUCCAUAUAAACAAUGUAAAGAGUUUUCAUGAAACAAAGUCAAAAAAUUUUUUUAAUUGAAGAACAAUCGCAAGCUCAUCUACGUAGCAAAGUGUGUGGAGCCUAUUUUGUAAGUUAUCAAUUUUUGAUUGGUUUAUUCUUGGACAUGGAUUAAUCCAACCAUAAGUGUGUGGAUCCCAUAUUUUGCAUGUCAUCAAUUUUUGGUUGGUUUUAUUCUUGGACAUGGACCAGUCCAACCAGCCAUUAACUAAGCGGUCCAUACCAAUAAUUCUGGGUAAAUCUUUUUUUUUUUUUUUUUAGCAUGUGCUUUUUUUGAUGAAAAAGAUAGACACAUUUUAUUAAUGAUGUUACAGGAAAUCGUUCAUGAGUUGCUUGACAAAAUUUGGAAGGGAAUUUCAAAGAGCUUAAAAAAGAUUAGCACUCUUAGCAUGAUGGGUUAAAGUAUGAGCUGCCUUAAUUCGCUUCUCCUGGAAUCCAUUGAUUCAUUGAAUAUCAAUACAAAGCUGAUCUAAUAAUGCUAAAUGCACGUCCUCAAUAAUUGGACCUGAAUCAGACACGAUGUCUUCUUUGUCCUGUCUUCUUUGCCAUGAAUAAAUCUUAUAAUUGAGGCUGCAUCUCCCUGCAAUUUUGGAUCAUUUGUGGGCCUCAAAAUCAAAUAAUUCCAGGGAACAUCAGAAGUCAAUCGGAACGAAUAUCACAAUGGACUUGAUUGGAACGAAAAUGCCUCACCAAUCCCACAAUCCAUUCCAGUUGAAGUUAAGAUCAGCAAUAUCGUUAAUUAGCCCCUUAAGCUUUGUUUAAUCAUAGCUUACGCCUAUUGUCUUACAUCUGAAGCAGAUACUCUUUUGGUUUUUUCAUCUUAAGCAGAUACCAUUUGCUAUAUCGCAGUCAAUUAAAUAGUUAAACCAUUUGCUUGCUAGACUGACGAGGGAAAUUAACAAUAUAAACCACUGAACAGAAAAUCUUUUUUUUUUUUUUUUUAUAAUAAAAUAGAAUAAUUUUAUUAAUCAUGAGAUUGAAUCUACAACAAGUGCAGAACAAAUAAAAGAUGGAGGAGAGUUUCUCCAUAUACAAGAAUCUGAAAAAUUAAUAGCAUACUUAGCAAAGUUAUGAGCAGGAACAUUAAACAACCUAGAAAUCCACGAAACUUCCCAACACAUGAACUCUUGACAUAAGACAAUGGUAUCAUCAAUCAACAAGCCACAUGAUGAAUCAUCAGAUUCCAAACGGUUCAGCAUUUUGAUGACUUUUUGUGAAUCUCCUUCCAAAACCAUUUUAUUGAAACCCAAAGAUUGUAGUAAUUGAGCCGCAUGUUUGGCCGCAUAUGAUUCAACCACAUUUGGUUCCAAUAUCCCAAGAAUUUUCUUGGAGAGGCCAGCAAUGAAACUUCCUGUAUCAUCUCGAAUAAUAACACCAACUCCUGAUGAUUUAUCAUCCAUAAACACAGUUCCAUCAAAGUUUGCCUUAACAAAACCUGCAUUGGGUCGUAUCCAAUGACCUAUUGAUAACCUUGAUUGAAGAGAGGUAGACGUAUCGCACUUAUCUUUGGAAUUUGUUUCAUGGAAUUGAUUUAGGAAUGCUAUGGACAGGGAGACCAAGCUAAGAGGAUCUCUGUAGGGCCCAUCAAAGAUUGCUCCAUUUCGAUUAUUCCAUAAAUUCCAAAGAAUAACACCUACCAAUUCCAUCUCUUUGCUUGAUAGUUGCCAAAGCUGGUUGGGAAGCCAAGACGUAACCUGAUCAGCCGAUUGCAAUUGAACUUUCUGGCUUAAGAAACUAAGUGCCCACGAUUGCACAGCUACAGGACAAGUUAAGAAGGUAUGAUCAAUAUCAUCAACUGGAGCGAGACAUAAAGGGCAAGAUGUAUCUAAAUGGAGCCCUUUAGUAUUGAGUUUUGUGCUGGUUGGUAGUAUAUCUUUACAAGCCCUCCAUAAGAAAAUUUUAAUUUUCUCAGGAAGAUUCAAGUGCCAAAGCCGAGACCAAACACUGUGCUUUAGAGUACUACUACUUGAUGGCAAAUUCUCCCAAUUAGAAGAUCGCUGCUUGAUCAAGUGAUACGCACUCAUCAUAGUAAAAGAUCCAUUCUUUGAAAAGUGCCAAAUUAGCUUAUCUCUAUUGUGAGUGUCUCCAAUUGGAAUGCUUUGAAUUAACUCAAUCUCCUCGGGCCAAAAAAAUUCUUGCAAUAAGUCAACUCGCCAAAUCUUUCGCUCUUAAUCUAUUAGGCAAUCAACUGUGGAAUUCUCCGGCAAUGCAGUAGACCGCGACACGAUUUUAAAAGUAGAUGGCCGUGGAAGCUACCUAUCUUUCCAGAUUUUGAUAGACUGGCCAGAACCAACUCGCCAUCUGCUUCCUGCUUCAAUAUACUUCCUGACCUCACAUAGUCCGCGCCAAGACUAGGAAGGCCGUGAUCCUUCUUGAACUUGGAAGAAAUCAGUAUUUGGAAAAUAUUUAGUUUUAUAUACCCGAUGAAGAAGGAUAGAUGGUUGUGUAGCAAUACGACCACUGAACAGAAAAUCUAGCAUUUAUAUUAAAUAAAAGAAUUUUACUGAUGCAUAUUAUUUGCUGCAAUCCUUAAACCAUCCAAGCCUAAGAAUUUAAAAUAAAAGGUCUACAUGAAUAAAAUAAAAGAUUGGAGAUUAAAGAUGCUUUAGAAAAAAAAAAGGGGGUUAAUUUAAAGGACUAAAUGAACUACUUGCAAAUUUUUUUUGUCCUUCCAGGUUAAAUGAUUUGUCGUUAAUGGUAUUGAAAUAGUUAAAAAUUAAAAUUAUUGGGACUAAAUGUAUUUUCAUAAAACUUUAAAAGGAGAAAAUGGUGUAACCCCAUAAGUUAGAGGUAUAAAGUGUCAUCUUUUCCAUUUGUAAAAUUUUCAAUUGGUUUGCUGAUUUUCUGUCAAAUAUUUUUACAUUAAUUUGUUUUUCUAUAUGCUGACAAUACAUACUAUCAAAGUCGGAUACAUGACAACUGAUAUGAAUUUGAGUUUGAAAUAUAAAUAUUUUGCAUAUGUAGUAUGCAUCAAACUCCGUUAACGUAUACACUAUUCGGGUACAAAAGAUUAAUCAUAAUUUAAAUUUCAAACGAGAGUGUCGAAGUUGUAGGAUAACGUGAAUCAGCAAAUCAAUUUAACAACUAGCUGCUGCCAAGGAAUCAACAUUUCCAUUAGUUGAAUGCAGAAUAUGUCUCCACAAGAAUAUCUUGAUUUUCCACGGCGGGUCAUUGUCCAGUGCGUAGGACCCAAAAAAAUUCCAAUGGAAAGUUAUAGGUGACAAAUUUCAUAGAACCAAUGUAGAUGGGGAGGCAAAUUUCACACACACAAAUAUGCAUAGGGGAAGAGGAAUAAAUCAGUAAUAUAUUAUUAAUUACACAAAAUAAUAUGGUUCUCAAAUUUCAUUCUUCUCAACUAAUACUAAUAAUAAUAAGACUAGACUAGGUAAUUUGGUAAACAAGUCUUACAAUCACAAGAAAUUUUCUAAUAAAAUACUAAUUUCUAAACAAUAAAACUACUAUAAUUUAAAUCAAACAGAAUUACCAAAACCAUAACAUAAAAUAUUGCUAAAUAAUAAUAUGAAAAUUUCUAUUUUUUAACCUUGAUUUAACAUUGUCGGACACAACACGUUGUCAAGUUAUCUGCAUAACUUAAUCAAGUUUGUUUACUAGUCUUCUUGUCUAAAUGUCGCGUCAUCUUAAUCCAGAUCGGCAGAUUGAAUGACCAGAAUCAAGAUAUUAUCAGUUAAGUCAAGACAUUACUAGGUUGCCUAUCUAACCACCACCACGUUAGAAAAACAAAUUUUAGCAAAGUUAUUCUGUCUUCCAAUAACCCUUUAUCAUUUUUCUCCUAAGCAUAGUGUAUUUUGUUGCACGUUCGAUGACAAAUCGGAAACGAAUAUGCGAAUGCAAACAUAAACCAGAAUUAACUUGUAAAACAAAAGCUACUCACCUCAAAUUAUUGAUUUCAUGCUAGUCUUCGGAAUCCCAUUAUCUAUUUUUUCCAGUUCAUAUCACCAAUCUGUGAGUAUAUUUCCAAUUCAAUCCCUUUUGGAUCGUUUAUGUGUCCCAAUCAAAUAAUGCACCGGAUUUAGCCGUCAGAAUGAGCUUAGAUUAAAAUGCAAAUGCCUCGCCAACUCCAUGAUCCAUAUCCAUUAAAAGAGCUGAAGAUAAGAAAAGUAGAAGAAUAUUGUUAAUUUUGCAUCUUAAGUAGAUUGCUUUUCCUAUAUCGUAGUCAGUUAAAACACUUAAUCUUCACUGGCUCGACUUUUCCAUGAAGACUUUCCGGUCGUCGGCAUUUUAUCACUUUCAUGUAGUUCUUCAAACGCAGAAUGGUGAAAUGAUGCUUUUAAACGUGUUUAAAUGAAACUGCUAAUCUAACCAUACUUUGUCAAAUAAACCAAUAUCAAAAGAAAUCCAAUGGAGCAUCAUCUUCUUUGUACUCCUUCGUCUAUGCUAAUACUGUUGUUAUUCAGUUCUAUUCUUGUGACCAGCCAGUUCUCGUUUGGGAGCAGCAAACAAGCUUAUAAUUAUUCAAAUUUCUCUUGUAUUGAGAGUGAAUGACAAGCUCUUCUUCAAUUCAGAGAUGGGUUAACAGAUGAAUCAAAUCAUCUGUCAUCUUGGAUAGGAGAAAACUGUUGUUCAUGGAAAGGCGUUGGUUACCAUCAAAUCACUGACCGUCUGGUGAAAUUUGAUCUACACAAUGCGAGCCCGUUACGUUCAAAUGAUAUAUUUAUUUACUGAAAAAAUUGCUUGGGAGGCCAAUUAAGUCCAUUUUUGGUCAAUUUAACCAAUUUGCGACACCUAAAUUGAAGCUGGAAUAAUUUUUCAGGAAUCCAAGUUCCCACGUUCCUUGGAUUGUUGAAAAACUUGAGAUACUUAAAUCUCCUGAAUGCAGUGUUCGACGGUGAAAUUCUAGGCCAUCCAGGAAAUCUCUCAUGUUUACAGCAUUUAGAACUUGGAGGUGUAACUCCAUUCUCAAUAAAAAAAAAAUAGAGCUUAGAGAAUCCGUAAAAUAUUCAAUUUAUUUGGUGAUUUCUUGCAGGAAACUCCCAUGUUAAUUUAACUGCAAAAGAGAGGAUCAAAACUUAUUUGUGUAGCAACGUAAAUCAGUAAACAGUUCAUCAAUAUUAUGAUUGCCAAUGCGAUACUUGUCGCCUUCCUGUUACAAGUCUCUUUCCAACGGGGAAAACCUACAGCAUAAAUGUCCAAUUAAUUCAUAAAUCAGAAUUAACUUGUAAUUGCAAUUAUAAGCCGCUCGUCUCAAAUUCUGAUUAGUUUCGUCCUAUUCUUCAGAAUCCCAUUGGAUAAACUCUAUCAUUCCCAUCCAUACAAAGUUGUGUGCUUAGAUUUGCUUUCUCAUCUGAAUUACAGGUCAAUCCGCCGUCACAAUGGGACUUGAUUAGAACGCAAAUGCCUCACCAACCAUAUUCCCAUUGAAGUCACCGUAAUCCAUUCCCGUUGAAGUCAAGAUUAGCAAUAUCGUUAAUUAGCCCCUUCAGCUUUGUUUAAUCAUAGCUUACCAUUGUUGCUUUGUACAUCUUAAGCAGAUGCCUUUUACCAUAUCAUAGUCAAUUAAAUCGUUAAGAGUAAAACUGAUAGUGUAUAUAUCAUCGUCGUUGAAUGCAUGAUAUAUAAUUAAAAUUCAAAUUUUAAAUUCAAAUUUACAUUACUUAUCAUUCAUCCAAGGUUGGUUGACAGGAUAUAUUCCAUCAGUGUAUAAAAGGUUAACCCCAUAGUUAUAUCGUUUCCUUGCUAGACUGUCUGAUGAGGGAAAUUAACAAUAUAAUCCACGAAACAGAAAAGCUAGCACUUAUAUACAUAAAAAAAAUGAAACAGUAGAAGUUGUUUUGGUGGGGAGGGGUGUUGGGUGGGGGGGAGUGAGUGUUUAAGAAAGUUAGAAAAAAAGGGGAAAGAGUAAACAUAUCUAACAAAUAAACAUAAAUUGGAAGAAAGUAAAGGUCAGUUUCUGUUUUAACAAGAACAGUUAAAAUUUUGUUCACGCCCUUUAACGCCACUGAAGGAAGUAAGACAAGAGCAGCUUUGGUAAGAGAAAAAAAUAAAAGGGCUAAAUGGAUGAAAUCAAAGAUUGGAGAUUAAAGAUACUUUGGAUUAAAAAAAAAAGUUAAACUACUAAAUGAACUACUUGCAAAACUUUUUUUUCCCUUCCAAAUUAAUUGAUUUGUCAUUCAUGGUAUUGAAAUAGUUAAAAAUUAAAAAUAUAGUGAAUAACUAUAUUUUUCAAUUGGUUUUGUGAUUUUUUGUCAAGCAUUUUUAUAUUAAAGAAUCUUUUGUACAUUAAUAAUGGAUACUAUCAAGAUUGGAUGCAUGAUAACCGAUAAGAAUUUGAAUUUAAAAUCUAAGUUUUGCAAAUGCAACAAUCAUUAAACUCCAUUAUCCUCUAUAUUAUCAGUUUAUAAAAGAUUAAUCGUAAUUAAUUUAAAUUACAAAUGACAGCGUUGAAAUCGUGUGAUAACGUGAAUCAGCAAAUGAAUUUUACAACCAGCUGCUGAGGAAUGAACAUUUCCAUUAGUUGAGUGCAGAAUAAGUCUCCAAGGAGAUUUUUUUCCAGAAGAAUAUCUUGAUUUUCCACGGCGGAUCGGGACUUCCAUUGGCCAGUGGACUUGCAGUCGUCGGAUGCAACAGACGGUCAAGUUUUCUACGCAAAUUAAUCAUGUUUGUUUACUAGUCUUCUUAUUUAAAUUUCAUUUCAUCUAAAUCUAUAUCAGCAGAUUGAAUGACUAGACUCUUAAAAGAUAGGAAAAUAUUGUAGUAACUAUCGUUAUGGUAACUAAAUAAUUUUUUCCUGAUAUAACGGGUUAUUAUACUUUUAACGAUCAUUUGAUUACCUGUUGGACCUAUCCACCUAAAUAGGAUAAUGCCUAAAACUAAGGAAGUAAGUUUCUCAUCUAAAAUAGUAAGUUAACCAUAAUAAUUAGUAACUUUUGUGUCUCAAAAGGUAAAUUGGAAUAAAUAUAAAACUUACUUUUUAAAGAGAUAAAUUACUAUAUUAUAUCUCAAACAUACUUUUGAGAGAGUAAGUUUAGUUCAAGUAAUAGUAAGUUUUUAUACAUAAAUAGUAAUUCUUACUUAUAACAUAUUAAAUUUGAUUAAUGACCAAAACUUACUAAUUUAUGGCACAAAUGUACUAUUUGGCUUAAAAAACUUAUAACAAACCAAUACUAGGAAGUUUAUUUGAAAUAACAAUAAAAUGUUUUAUUAAUGAUUAAAUCUUAGUACCUUAGUUAGUAAGUACUCGUAAUAUACUUGUAUAAUACAUGAUUAUAUGUAUAAUUUAAAUUUUUUUGUAUUUAUAUAUUUUAAAAUACUAUGAAAAAUAUUUGGACCCUUCACAUAACCUUAUAAAAUAAUAAAAUUUUGUCGUAUUAUAAUUUUGAAUAAUUUUUGAAAAUUUUCAAAGUUUGGAUAAUAAUAACAACACAUCUUCCUAGUUAUAUAUGGAAUAUCACUUAUCUAUGUAAUUUCUAUAAUUUAAAACCUAUUAAUAUAAUAAGAUGACAAAGUUUUAAUAUAUUUAUUGUCUGGGACACAAGAAAUAAUAAGAAUUAAACUUGUAUUAAUAUAGACCUAACAAAAAGAGAGAAAUAGUGUAACAAUUAAUACAACAAUAAAAAUAACAUAAUUAGUAUAACAAAAUUAGUAUAAUCUGGAAUUUUUUUCUCUGGAGAUUACUCACGAAUAUAAGAUCCAACCACUAAACAAAAAUCACAUGCAUAUAUAAUCUAUUGUAUAAUUUAAAUUAAAUUUAGUUCAUGUACAAAAUGAUCCUAAAAUAAUUAGCACACUACAAUACCAUAUUAUUUUAACAAAAAAGUUUUUUUUUUGCCAAAAGUCUCCAAUAUCCAUGACAUAUGUAUGAGAGAUAUUUUACCAUAUUUUUAUCUCUCUUUUUUUCCCAUAUUUGUAUCUCAUGUCUAAUCAUUGAUGUUAAUUUGAGGAAGAAUAUUAUGUAUAAUAAAAUUAUUUUGAAUUUAAUUAACAAGUUGAGAUUUUUUUAAAAAUAAAAGUGAAAUAUUUUGGGAACUUAUUUUUUGUUUUCCCAAAAUUAAAAGAUUGCAAUUUUUUACAAAUUGUUGCCAUAACAUUUCAUUUUCUAGACUAAUUUUUAUCAAUGUAAAAUUAGUUUAGUUAACAAUAAUUGAAGUUUUGUUGGUCCGAGGAUUGGCAUGCUAUUGUUGUUAUUUUACAUGUAAAUAUAUUACCUAAGUAAUAAAAUAAACAAUAGCUACUUAAAAAAAGGAAAUAGGUGCUCAAUUGAUUGCAUUCAAACUACGAAUUCUGUUAAUGAAUAAUUGCUAAAUUAUAAUUUUAUUUACAAGGAAUCAAUAUGCAUCAUAUAUUGACCAGGACUAAAUUACUGAUUACUUAACAAAUUAUAUCUAAACACAUGAUGUGAUGUAUAUUGCAUUUGGUCACCUUUAUACUCAUACCAUUUUCUUUUCUUCCUAUUUAUAUUUUAAAAGUGCAAAAUUCUCUUGAUUAUAUUAGUGAAAAUGCAUAAAAUCUUUUACAAAAUUAUUUCAAUUUAUUUACAAAAUAUUAGUACUUUUAUAGAAACAAUGCAUUGUAGGAAUGGUUUACUAAUUUUUUAGUAAACAUAACUAUUGCAUUAAAAAGUUAAAAAAAACUUGAUUUUAUUAUGCUUUAAUUAGGAGUGCUUUUGAAGAAAAGAAUUUGGGGAUUAAUUUCUCUGAUUCAAGAAUUUUUAGAGAUUGUAAUGAUCAAAAGAAAAAGAAUUUUUAGAAAUUGUAACUCUCUUAUUAUUUGAUAUAAUAAAUUUGAUAUUUGUGCAAGUUUUCAUGUCUUUUUAUUUUCGGCAAUGAAAUUUGUGCUUACAGUUAAAUACAAUUAUGGUAAAAUAUCCCUCAUAUGUAUGUCAUGGAUAUUUGAGACUUUCAGUAAAAAAAUUUUUUGUUGUUCCGUUUGGAUUGGUUAUUUUUUUAAAAACAAGUUUUUCAAAUACAAUGUUAUGGUAAUACACAAUAACUCAAAAAAUAUCUUAUCCAUACAAUAUAUCAAAAAUUUCAAAAAAAAUUUUAUAGUAAAAAUUUUUCAUAUACAUUGUUACAGUAAAAUUUUUCAAAAACACCUCUAAAAACAGUUAAUCGAAACGGAUUAAUAUUAUAGUGCGCUAAUUAUUUUAGAACCGUUUUUUACGUGAACUGAAUUUAAUUUAAAUUAUACAAUAGAUUAUAUGUGCAAGUGAUUUUCAUUUAAUUGUUGGAUCUUUUUUUUUUAUGAACAAUCUCCCAAGGAAAAAAGUCCAGAUCAUACUGAUUUUCUUAUAUUAACUGUUAUACUAAUUUUGUCAUUUUUAUUGUUAUACUAUUUCUCAUUUUGUUUGGGUUUUAACUCUUAUUAAUUCUUGUGUCCCAGAUGUAAAUUUAUUAAAACUUUAUCAUCUUAUUAUAUUCAUAGGUGUUAAAUUAUAAAAAUUGUGAUAUACAAACAAGUGAUAUUCUAUAUUUAACUAGGAAGAUUUGUUGUUAUUGUUAUCCAAACUUUUAAACUUUUCAAAAAUUGAAAAUUGAAAAUGAUUAAAAACUUAUAAUAUGACAAAAUUUUAUUAUAUAUUUUACAAGAUUAUCUAAAAAAUGAAACUACUUUUCAUAGUAUUUUAAAAUAUAUAAAUACAAAAAAAUUUUAAAUUAUACAUAUAAUCAUUUAUUAUACAAGUAUAUUACGAGUACUUAAUAACUAAGGUACUAAGUUUUAAUUAUUAAUAAAACAUCUUAUCAUUAUUUCAAUUAAACUUCCUAAUACUAGUUUGAGAUAAGUUUUUAAUGUAAAAUUGUACAUGUAUUCCAAAAAUUAGUAAGUUUUGAUCAUUAAUCAAAUUUACCAUGUUAUUAGUAAAAAUUACUAUUAUGUAUAAAAACUUAUUGUUAGUUGAACUAAACUUACUCUCUAAAAAGUAAGUUUGGAAUAUAAAGUAGUAAUUUAUUUAUUUAAGAAAUAAGUUUAAUAUUUAUUCCAAUUUACCUUUUGAGGUAUAAAAAUUACUAAUCUAUUAAUGUUAACUUACUAUUUUAGAUGGGAAACUUACUUCCAUAUUUUUAGGUGUUAUCCUAUUUAGGUGGAUAGGUCCAAUAAGUAAUCAAAUGGUCGCCAAAAGUGCAACAACCUGUUAUAUUAGAUAAAAACUAUUUCGUUACCAUAACUAUCGUUACUAAAGCAUUGUCUUAUCAGCUCAAGUCAAGAUUAGCUUGUCUAUCUAGCCUACUCCAUUUUUAAUUUCAUGCUAGUCUUCGGACUCCCAUAAUCUAUCUUUCCAGUUCCUAUCACCCAUCUGUGAUUAUAUUUCCAAUUCAAUCUUUUUUCGAUCAUUUGUGGGUCCCAAUCAAAUAAUGCCUCACCAACUCCAUGGUCCAUACCCAUUAAAAAAGAAUAUCGUUAGCUAGCCUCUUGAGGUUGUUUAAUCACAAGAAAAGUAAAAAGGUUCUUUUGCAUCUUAUUGAGAUAAUUUUGUGUCCGUGACCCUAAACCCUAAGCCCUAAAAGAUCGUUAGCUAGCCUUUUGAGGUUGUUUAAUCACAAGAAAAGUAAAAAGGUUCUUUUGCAUCUUAUUGAGGUAAACUGGUGGAAUUACCUUAGAUUCUAUGUGCGUGUGUUUCUUUGCGCUGUUGAAAGAAAAAGGAAAAUAGGAGAGGAAUGUCAAUGUGAGUAUGGAUUCUUAGUCAAGGCUCUUAAGCUUCCUGCGUUCCCUUUCCCCCAACUCCUUGUUCCUACAUCGAUUAUGAGAGGUGUGUGUGUGUAGGAUUUAAGGUCCGUGAGUUUACCCAGAAGUCAGCAAUUGUAUUUUGGAUAAACUGGUGGAAUUACCUUAGAUUCUGUGUGCGUGUGUUUCUUUGCGCUGUUGAAAGAUAAUUUUGUGGAAAAAGUACUGUAACACUUUUUUGAUAUGAUGUAUGUGAGAUAAAAAGGUGAUUGAAAAAUAUAUUGAUGAUACAAACAAAUCAAUGUGUGUAAAUAAGGUAUAAAUAAAGUGUAAUUUUUUACAAUCCAAACACAUAUUGUAGAUAGUUAAAUACUUGAUUGUUUGCUGGCUCAACUUUUCCACCAAGACUUCCGGUCAUCACAUAGUUUCUUCCAACGCAAAAUGGUGAAAGUGAUGCUUUUAAACUUGUAUAAAUGAACCACUUCUCUGAGCAUACUUUAUCAUAUAGUUCAAUAUCAAAAGCAAUCCAAUGGAGCACUAUCUUCUUGGCACUUCUUUAUCUUUACUACUAGUAAUGUUCUUAUUCAGUUCUAUUCUCGUCACCAGCCAUUUUCCGUUUGGCUGCAGCAAACAAGCUUAUACUCAUUCAAAUGUCUCUUGUAUCGAGAGUGAACGACAAGCUUUUCUUCAAUUCAGAAAUGGGUUGAUAGAUGAAUCGAAUCAUCUGUCAUCUUGGAUAGGAGAAGACUGCUGUUCAUGGGAAGGUAUUGGUUGCCACAAAAACACUGGUCAUGUGGUGAAACUUGAUCUACAAAAUACGAAGCCGUUACACUCAAAUAAUGUAUUUACUUAUUGCAAAAAUUGCUUGGGAGGCCAAUUAAGUCCAUUUUUGGUCAAUUGGACCAAUUUGCAAUACCUGGACUUGAGCAAGAAUAAUUUUUCAGGAAUCCAAGUUCCCACAUUCCUUGGAUUGUUGAAAUACUUGAGAUACUUAAAUCUUGCAAAUGUAGUGUUUGACGGUGAAAUUGUAAUGGUACUAUUAGUUAUGAUCUGAAUAGGCUAAGAAGGUAGAAGGGUGUAGCAGAGAGAACGCAAGGAAGGGGGAAAAUUGUGAGAGAGAAGAGAGGAAAGGAUAGUGUGACAGGAAAGGAAGCUGAAUUUGUUAUAUCUCAUUACAUGCCUUUUCGUCCCCUUUAGGCUUUAUUUAUACAGAAUGCUCCCUCUAGAUCCUUCUGCAACUAGCCAAUCUCAUAACAGAAUGAGCAUACAUACAUGCAUGCCUUUGACAGCUAGCUGACUAACUAAAUAACGGAAAUGCUAACUAACUACCUGAAAAGGAAAGCAUGGCAGAUACAUUUCUGCUCAGAAAUAUCUAGCGAGAAUAUCUAGGGUCAUUACAACACCUCCCCCUUGAGAAUCCUAGUCACUAGGAUUUGAGCUGGAAAUCUGGAAACUGUGAUUGUAUUACCGUGACAUCCUCCCAAGUUGAGUCUUCAGUGCUUAGGUUCACCCAUUUGAUCAACACUUGAGUCACCUUCUGCCUUUUCCUUAUGAUUUCACGAGUAGCAAUCACCCUUUUAGGGGCAAUUUUAAUCUGUCCGUCCGUAGUCGUCAAGGGUAACUCCUGAGUCACAACAUGAUUCUUUGCAGAUGGUUUAAGCAGGGAGACAUGGAAGGUAGGAUGUAUCAAAGAACCAGCAGGUAAUUCCAGUCUGUAGGCCGCAUUCCCCACCUUCUGAAGGACCUUGUAAGGGCCAUAGUAUUUGGAAGAUAACUUCAGAUUUCUUCGGACUGCUACUGAAGUUUGUCUGUAAGGCUGCAAUUUCAAAUAAACCCAGUCUCCUACCUGAAAACUCCUUUCAAUUCUGUUUUUGUCAGCAAAUUGCUUCAUUCGAUUCUGAGCCUUGAUUAGAUUACCCCGCAGCAGUUCAUUCCAUUUCCUUCUAUCUCCUAGCCAUUGUUCCACAGCAGCUACAGGAGUCUCUAAGCCAUUGAGGCCUAAUUGCGAGGGUGGAUAACCAUACAGAGCCUGAAAAGGAGUCAUCUUUAAGGCUGUGUGAUGGUUGGUGUUGUACCACCAUUCAGUAGCUGUUAGUAAGGACUUCCAUUUGUGAGGCUGUUGGAAACAUAAACACCUCAAGUAUGUCUCUACACAUCUGUUCAGCCUUUCUGUCUGCCCGUCUGUCUGGGGGUGGUAGGCAGUGGAGUAAUGCAACUCAGUACUUAGCUUCCCAAACAACUCCUGCCAGAACAUGCUAGUGAACAGCCUGUCUCUGUCUAAUACAAUGCUCAGAGGUAAUCCGUGCAGUUUGUAGAUGUUAUCAAAGUAUAUGUUAGCUAUUGACUGUGCUGUAUACUUAGAGGGUAGUGCUAUUAGAUGACAAUACUUGGUGAACCUGUCGAUGACCACCAGUAUCCCUUCAUAUCCGUGAGAUUUGGGUAAUCCUUCUAUGAAGUCCAUUGAAAUAUGUUGCCAUGCUUGCUCAGGGAUAGGGAGGGGUUGCAGUAGACCUGGUGCCUUACAGUUUUCCACUUUGCUCCUUUUACAGAUAUCACAUUGCUGCACCCAUUCUUCUACCUUCCUUCUCAUUCCAGGCCAGAAGACUGGUCCCUUCAAUCUCUGAUAGGUUCCCAGAUAUCCUGAAUGACCCCCAAGGUGCGAGUCAUGGAAGCAGGCUAUCAACUUCUGUCUCAAGUUCCCCGAAGCUCCAAUGUAUACCCUGCCCUUAUACCUGAGCAAUCCCCCAACAAAAGAGUAAUUUGGGAGAGAAUCUGGUGUAAUAGUCAGGGUUUCCAUUAAUUUAGUCACUGCAUUAUCCCAUUGGUAGCUUUCCACAACUUCAGAUAGCCAUGCAGGUUUCAUGACUGAGAGACUGUGUGUAGAACUGUCCUCUUCAUAGUCUCUUCUGGACAGUGCAUCGGCCACAAGAUUUUCUUUUCCUUUCUUGUACUGUAUUUCAUAAUCCAAUCCUAACAAUUUAGUAAGCCACUUCUGCUGAAGGGGGGUAGUUAUCUUCUGCUCCAAUAGGUAUUUUAAGCUCUGGUGAUCUGUCUUGAUAAUGAAAUGAUUCCCUAACAAAUAAUGCCUCCACUUCGAUACAGCUGUGAUAAGGGAUAACAACUCUUUCUCAUAUAUUGAUAACCCCAAGUUCUUAGGCCCCAAGGCUUGACUGAGAUAAGCAAUAGGCCUUCCUUGCUGCAUGAGUACAGCUCCUAUAGCCUUAUGACUGGCAUCUGUUUCCAGAACAAAUGGUAAGGAAAAAUUAGGAAGUGCGAGGACAGGUGUGCUACGCAUCAGUUGUUUGAGUUUUUGGAAGGCUAGCUCAGUAUGUUCACUCCAGUGGAAAUUUUCUUUCUUCAGCAACUCCGUAAGUGGCUUGGCAAUGAUUCCAUAACCUCUCACGAACCUCCUGUAAUAGCCCGUAAGUCCCAAAAAUCCUCUCAAAGCCUUCACUGAUGUAGGUGCAGGCCAGUCCAUCAUGCUUUUGACUUUUGAGAGGUCUGCCUGUACUCCAUUACCACUGAUAAUGUGUCCCAAAUACUCCACUUGAGACUGUCCAAAGAUGCAUUUGGAAAGCUUGGCAAAUAGGGAGCAAGAUCUGAGUGUUUCUAGGACAGUUUUGAGGUGUGAAAGGUGAGUGUUUAGGUCCGAACUAUACACAAGGAUGUCAUCAAAAAAUACUAGCACAAAUUUUCUCAAGUAAGGUUCGAAUACACGGUUCAUCAGGCUUUGAAAGGUUGCUGGUGCGUUAGUAAGGCCAAAUGGCAUGACUGUGAAUUCAUAAAGUCCAAGGUGAGUUUUGAAGGCUGUUUUUGGAAUGUCAUUUAGGUACAUUUUGAUUUGAUGGUAACCAGCUCUUAGGUCGAUCUUAGUGAAGAGCUUAGCACCAUAUAGCUCAUCGAGUAAAUCAUCAAUGAUUGGUAUUGGAAAUUUAUCUUUGAUAAUCAGGUCAUUUAGUUGUCUGUAAUCAACACAGAAUCGCCAAGUUCCAUCUUGCUUUUUAACUAACAGAACUGGAGAUGCAAACGGACUAUGGCUGAGCUAAAUAAUGCCACUACUAAGCAUGUCUUUUACCUGUUUCUCUAUUUCAUUUUUCUGGUUGUGAGGAUACCUAUAAGGUGCUAACUUGAAUGGUUUGGCAUUUGGUACUAAAGGAAUUUGGUGGUCACAGUUUCUAGAAGGGGGAAGGGAUUUUGGCUCCCCAAAUACAUCCUUGUAGUCCGCAAUUAGAGCAUCUAGGGACUGUUGAAAAGUAAUAUCCAACUGAGUUACAGAGUGUACCUGAGUUCCACUCAUCCUCAGCCCGCAGGCCUGCUUCCAAAUUCUGGUGCUUAGUCCCUCCUUCUCAGCAUUGUCUCUAGGAAACUUAAGGACGGCCUCCUUAGACUCUCCUUGUAGCAAGAUCCUUUCCCCUUCCUUAUCAAAUGUCAUGUUCAACUGCCUGAAGUCAAAGGUGAUGGGGCUGUGUGCAGCCAUCCAAUCCACACCUAUGAUCAUAUCAUAAGGUUCUAAGUUAAUGAUAAACAUGUCAUGAGUGAAUGGUUUACCUUGCAUUUCCCAGUUCAUGUUUGGAAUCAUCCUACUACAGGUCAAAUACUCCCCAUUAGCCACCUUGACCUUGAAGGGCUUGAUAGACUUAACCAUCCCUGGAAAGAGUUGAGCCACAGUAUUUUUGACAAAGCUGUGAAUACUUCCCCCAUCCACCAAGAUUGACAGGGGGUUCCUUUGAACAGCCCCUGCAAUUUGAUGGUAUUGUAAGUCAUCUUCCCCGUCAGUGCAUGUAUUGCCAUUUCCACUCCUUUGGCUGACUGUGCCCCUUGGUACUCAAUUACCUCCCCUUCCUCCAGAUCCUCAGGCCUAUUUUCUACUGCGACAAGCAGAUGAAUCUCCUUCUGCCUACACUGGUGACCUGGACCAAACUUUUCUCCACACUUGUAGCAAAGAUGAUGUUCCCUUCUGUACUGCAGUUCUUCUGGUGUGAUUUUUUUGAAAUGUUGAGGUGUUUUUUUUGACAGCAUUGGCAAUGACAGGUUUGGUAGGUGCCACAGUUUGCUGAGCAGCAGCCUGUGUGGAGUUUCCCCAAGCCAUGGCCCUCUGAUGAGGUUUGUGCUUCCUGUGGUAGGCUUCAAAGGCAUUCUCCUGUAGUCUGGCUAACUCAAAGGCUUUGGAUAAUGUUCGAGGGUCGUGAGCUUUCACCAUGGAUCUCAAUUCAUCUGGCAGCCCACUCAAAAAAUAGGAAAUAUAGUAGUUUUCUGGAAGGUGUGGGGCUCGAAUCGUUACCUCUGAUAACAGCUCCUCAAAAUUUUCUUGAUAUGCUAGCACCGUGGAAGAGAGUUGCAACUUGUUGAAUUCCUCCACUGGAUCCAUCUGUCCUAAGGUUCCAAACCUCUUACACAGCUCUCCAGAAAACUCCAUCCAAUCUUUGUGUUACCCCUAGUAGACCUGAAUCCUUGAUACCACACUGCCGCUUUCUCCUCCAAGUGGAACUCUGCCAACUCCAUCCAUUGCUCCUUGGGAAUGUGCAGAAGCUGGCAAUAUUUCUGCAGUUUCCUGAUCCACUCCCUAGGAUUGUCUCCCCUAAAUGCUGGAAUUUCCAAUUUAGGCGUGCUAGCGAAGAAGGCACUCCUAGCAUUCCUUUCUCCUUGUUCUCUACUCCCCAGGUCUGAACUUCUAGAGUGACUUCCUUCUGGAGAUCCUAAUAUGCCUUUCUCUUGAUUUCCACGGUUCAAGUUGGAGAGCUGCUGCGAGAUGGCUGACAUGAAUGCAUCUAGCUUAUUGCCCAGCUCAACACUCACUGCAUCCAACCUAUCCUCCAUGCUCUGCUUGUCUGCUGCCAAGGAUUCCAGAAUUCCUUGAAUCUUGCUUUCUUGCCUGCGGAGCUGUUCCUCCAUCGUCUUCAUCCUUGUUCCAUCCGCCAUUGUGAUAUGUCGAUCUAAGCUUCCUAGUCCAAGGACCGGAAGCUCUGAUACCACUUGUAAUGGUACUAUUAGUUAUGAUCUGAAUAGGCUAAGAAGGUAGAAGGGUGUAGCAGAGAGAACGCAGGGAAGGGGAAAAAUUGUGAGAGAGAAGAGAGGAAAGGAUAGUGUGACAGGAAAGGAAGCUGAAUUUGUUAUAUCUCAUUACAUGCCUUUUCAUCCCCUUUAGGCUUUAUUUAUACAGAAUGCUCCCUCUAGAUCCUUCUGCAACUAGCCAAUCUCAUAACAGAAUGAGCAUGCAUACAUGCAUGCCUUUGACAGCUAGCUGACUAACUAAAUAACGGAAAUGCUAACUAACUACCUGAAAAGGAAAGCAUGGCAGAUACAUUUCUGCUCAGAAAUAUCUAGCGAGAAUAUCUAGGGUCAUUACAGAAAUUCCCCACCAUCUAGGAAAUCUCUCAUGUUUACGGCAUUUAGAACUUGGAGAUGUAACUCCCUCCUUAACAUGGAAUCGAUUGACAACGAAGGAUCUCGGCUGGAUUGUUGGGCUUUCUUCUUUAGAAGGCCUAAUCCUGUCUGAGGUGAAUCUCAGUGCCGCUAAAGAUGGUUUACAGACAAUUAACAUGCUUCCGUCACUAACAAGCUUCGAAUUGUCUGGUUGUGGACUUUUCAUCAAUCCUCAUCUUUCACAGGUCAAUUUCACAUCUCUUUCUUCCCAUGAACUCGGUGAAAGUAAUUUCAACAACUACACGGUCCCUCCUUGGCUCCAUAAUCUUACUGGUCUCCAUAAUCUUGGUCUUAGCUCUAAUCAUCUUUCCGGUCCAAUUCAUGGCCUAUUCGAACAAAUGACCUCUCUAGUUUAUCUCGAUCUAGGGGAAAACCGCUUUGAUGCAUCAACGUUGAUGUCACUUUGCAAUGUGAGCACUCUUAAUUAUUUGGAUCUGAGUUUUAAUGAUAUGCAAGGGUCGAUACCGAGUGAAAUAAGCCAACUUUCGAAGCUGCAAGUAUUGGAUAUUUCUUCCAACUCAUUAACUGGUGUAUUAUCUGAAGACCAUUUUGCAAAACUCGGAGAGCUAAAGUCGUUGAACCUAUCUGAAAACUUAUUCACUCUGAAUGUGAGCUCCUGGUGGGUUCCUCCUUUUCAACUCCGAGAAAUUAUGAUGUCACCCAUCAAAGUAGGCCCCCUAUUUCCAGUUUGGCUUCAAACGCAAAAGGAGGUUCAAAGUUUAGAGAUGCAGAAUGCAGGCAUUUCGGAUAGCAUACCCAGCUGGUUUGGAGUGCUUUGUUAUGAAAUUUAUAUUGUAGAUUUCUCCAACAACAACCUGACUUGGAAUCCGUUGGAGUUCAAACAAAUGAAGAAGAGUCCUCCUGAUGGUAAUUCUCCAAGCAUAGUUCUAAAGUCCAACAAAUUGGAUGGAUCUCUCAAAUCGUUUCCGUCUUAUAUUUAUGAAUUAGAUCUUUCACAAAAUUUUCUUACCGGACAUAUUCCAUUGCCUGAUGUUGGUCAAACUGUUGCAUCUACUCGUUUUCUCAUACUCUGUGAUAAUCAUUUCACAAGCAGUAUCCCGGAAGACUUGUGCAAAUUGGAAAAUUUAAAAUAUCUGGAUCUAUCCAACAAUUUUCUGUUCGGAAGAGUUCCUCUGUGUUUGGGAAAUUGGCUAGACCUGCGGGUCCUAAACUUGGCAAAUAAUAGUCUAUGCGGUCAAAUUCCGAGUUCACUAGGCAACUUGGGGUAACUUUGGAUUCUGCAUUUGAAUUGAAAUAAAUUCGUUGGGAAGCUCUUAUCCUCAAUGCAGCGCCUGAGAAAUUUACAAAUUCUUGAUCUCGGUGACAAUGGACUUACAGAUAUUAUACCAACAUGGAUUGGGGAAAGGUUAUCAAAUUUAAAGUUUCUAAGAUUUCAGUCAAAUAACUUCCAUGGAAUCAUUUCUGAUGAGCUCUGCCUAGUCUCACGUCUUCGUGCUGAACCUAGCGCAUAAUAAUUUAACAAGAUCUAUUCCUCAUUGUUUUAUCAACUUCUCAAUGAUGGUAUCAAGUGAACCAGGAACUGACCUAUCAAUGCAUGAACUCUUCGGUGCAAUCCCUAAAAGCUUAUCUGCUUUAAACUGGUUGAACUUCCUGAAUUUGUCACACAAUAAGCUAUCAGGGCCAAUACCAUCAGGGAAUCAAAUUUAGACCUUAACCGAUCCAUCUAUCUAUGAAGGAAACAUUGGACUCUGUGGCAAGCCACUCCCAAAUGACUGCCUGGAACAUAAAUUGCCUACGGAAAAUGGGCAUAUUCAUGAUGAUAUAGGCCACGCGAGUCUAAUUGGUCUUGGUUUUAUGCUGUCGGGCUAUUGGGAGUUUUGGGAAUCCUUCCGUUCAAGAAGUCAUGGCGCUAUGCAUACUUCAGGUUUCUGGAAAAUGCCUAUGACAAAAUUUACGUAAUGAUUGCAUUGAAGGCUAAUCAGCUGAGGAGGAAUUUCCAUUGAGUAAUACCCUGUAAAAGCACAUUUAUUCCGUUUUUCAUAUCACACAGUAGCAUACUCUCCUUGAGAAUUUGCAAAACUAUAGUAAUUUGUAGUAAAGAUUUGUUUUAUGCGUCCCAACUUGACCGAUUCUUAUUCAAUAAGAAAAUGAUAGCUUACUAGUUUUCUUUCUUUUUUUUUUUCAAGACAAAGAAGCUCAAUAAGUUAUAUCAACAAAAGAAUAACGCACCAAAAGCAGUAGAUGAUUCUAGCAUCAAAUCAGUAUCUUGCAAAGGAAAUUUUCCCAAUAAACUAUUACGUGAUUGAAGACCAGAAAUUUCCAUUCCUUAACUUUUGGAACUUUUUAUCUUAAAAACUAGGUACCAAAACCUUAGUUGCUUUCUCUAGAUUCUCUCUUUCUAUUGGCAAUUAUUUUUAGUCUCUCAAAAAUUUGAUUUCUAAUAAUUCUGCUCUAUUCUUCAUAUUUACAUUGCAUUUUCCUAUGUUUCUUUACAUUCCAUACUAUGAGAAUCUUAUUGAUUUUUAUUUACAACCGAUUAAAUAAUUAUUUUUCUGUUCGCAUUAGAAUGCAUUAAAUAUUCUAUAUCGAGCAAUUUAUAGGUUGUUUAUCUUGCUUACUGAUCUAAUUUUUGCGUCAACAGAUUUAAACGCUUUAGAAGAAUUCUAUACUUGUUUAUGCUAAUAAUUGAUUUAGUUGUUUAAUUUCUAAUUGAUAUGCAUUUGAUAGGUUGCGAUUUUAUCAUUUAUUUUAUUAUUAAUUUCCCUUAUUGCCUGAUCCGAUGUGGAUUAAUUACUGGAUUUAUUCACUUUUAGUAUUUUGCAUUUAUUUCAGGGAGUAGAAUGAAAAUAUGACAACAGGUGCUAAUUUGGCAGAAAAGGAAUCCAAAUGAUAGAGUUUAUCCUAGGGGUAUUUUUGAAAUAAAAAGAGACGCAAGACCUUUUUGAUAAUUUGGUCGAAGACAGCAGGAAAGAAAAGGGAGGAGCUGGAGUCUUCGGUUUGAAGACUGGGCCGCCGCACAGUAGCAGAGGCUACUUAGAUAGGAAUUAGAAUUAGAAUUGAAUUAGCACUACUGUGGAUAGAUAGCUUUUCUUUCGAGGAGCUAUGCCCCAUGCAUGUCAGGAGCAAAAUUGGGGAAAACUUUGACUUUUCUUCCUUUGAGCUUUUAGUAGUUGUUUUUCCUCCUUCGUACGGCAGACGAAGGGAAAACUACCAAUCACCUUUUGCAGCCUGCUAUCUUUUCAAUAUUCGGACGAAUUGAAUUUUUCCAAUCUCAAAGGACGAUGGCUGCUGCUUUCUCUUCAGUUUUGUAUGGUUUUUUCGCACCAAAUAUGAACUAAUUUCUUCACUUUAAUCAAGGAACAACGGAGGCUUUGGUUCGUCUAAAACUUGUGAGAUCGAUUUAAUUUUAUCUUUUUCUUUUAUUUAUUGGUAUUCGCAUAUCUCUUGAUUGCAUUGUUCAUGAUUAUUUAAUUAAUUGAUUGUCUUGAAUCCGGAUAAUCAGUUAACUUAAUAAUUUAUUGUCAAUUAGGGCAUUAAAUCCGUAAUUGUUUAAGUGCCUUGAAAUAGUGACAACUGGCACGAUUAGAUUCGUGUCAAAGGGAUACGCAAGCUAAUCUGAAAUAACCCCGGUAGUGCAUUAUUUGGUUAGAAUAUGGCUCCUCUAAUACGUAAGACAAUUAGAGAAUUGAAUCUUAUGGGCAUACCUAAGAUUAUUUCUCAAUUAGAGCAGUGAUUAAUGGGCGUACCUUAAUCACCGAUACAGUAAGGAGGGGUUGACUGGCAUCACUUGUUUGGUAGUUAUAACCUAUUUAUUAAUAAAUAAUUGGAAUUGCUUGUGCAUCGAUGAUCAAUUAGGUGAACCAUUGCUGAAGUUAUUUCUUGGCUAGACCUUUAAUUAUUGUUAAUAUAAUUUUAGUGAAUUGUCAUUUAAUUUCUAGCUAGCUAUUUAUUUUUAUUCUUAUUUGAAUUUCUUUGAUUGUCAUCGUUUAUACAAAAACACCCCCUGUGUUACUUUGGAUUUCUUAAGAGACAAAUAUCCCCAAUCCCUGAGGAUACGACCCUACUUGCCCUGUCUACAAAUUCAUAAUUAUUUGUGAAAAAAGCCAUCCCAUUCGAGUAUAUCGGAUCAACCAAACUCUUUGGGAACAGGGUGAAUCAAGUAACCCAUUGCACACCUAGAGUCCUUGCUCCAGUACUUGGAAUCAGAUUUUGGUUACUUUAACUGGCAAUUAGGUUUAAUUUUAUUAUUGUACAGGCUUCGACACCUGUCAACAUUCUAGCUUUUCUGCCAACAACUCUUAUGAAUUACCAACUAAUGAUUUUCAGGUAUUACAUUAAUUCUACCCACCUAAGUUUCACUCUCGAAACUUAAUUUGACCAAAUUAGCAUAAAAACAAACUGCCCUUCCAAUUAUAUCACUUUACAUGAACAAGUAUUAAUUAAACUACUAGUAUUUAAGGCACACACCAAUGUGUGUACACCUAAAACAAAGCAUAUUAUUAAAAUUUUGAGUAAAUUUGUUGAAAUCAUUUUCAAAGGAAUUAGUUUUAUAUUUUUGACAAUGGGUAUUGGAAAAUUCACGAAAAUAAGUGUACAAAUAGAUUGUUAUUUAGCAGUAAUCCAUAACCAUAAUCGAUAGUUGAUUACAUUGGGUAGCUAGCAAGGUAAGUUUAAAAAUAAUAUAAAAUGACAAAAUUUUAUGUAUACCAAAAGCCCUCUCCCCAUUUAUAUAUUUACAACAAAAGCUUACUCCACCUUUACAUAGAGCAUAGAUAUUAUUUAUUCAAGGACAAUUCAUGUCCCUCCUCUCCUUCCCCUCCUCGUUUUUUUGGUCAAUCGUCAACUCCUAUUACUACUCCUACUCUAACCAAUAUUAGGGAAUGAUCCAACUGGACCAAUGGGGCUGGAGAAAGAAGAUCUCACCUGUAUAUCAAAGAGGUUCACUAGACCAAAGAAGGGUUGGUUCAUGUUCAAAUCCGCUAUUCUUUUUACAAGGCCAUAGAAAUUUCAAACACCUGAUGCCCAUUACGUUUCCCUUGCGUCAACAUAAAUCCAAACAUCAAGAAGAAUUCCACUUAAUUAACCUUAUUUUCAUUUGAACUUUAGUUAUUUCUAAAGUGAUAAUCAUGUCUUACUAUUCAUUAAAGUAACCUACUAUCAAUAAAAACUCCACUAGUAAAUUCCGUGCUCUCAUUUUCUGAUUUGCCAGAUUCUUAGUUGCACCCCCAAUUUACUUCAUACUACAUGCCAUCACAGUGGAUCUAGAAAUAUUAUAGCAUAACCACCUAGAAAUAUCUUCAAGAUAUAAUCCUUUUCAAUAACAUCACCCACUCAUGAUUUUCAAUCUAGAAUUACCUGUAGUUUUAAGAUUCAAAUCAAGUGAUCAUAAAGCCAUGUGAGAAAAACUAAUGAACAUAAAUUAAAUUUCUAACUCAUCGAUUGCCAAUGGUCCUAUUAGAAACUAGUUCUUGCAAUCAAUAAUUGGUAGACAUGCAAUAAAAAUGUGUCCUAGGCCUCCUGAUCUUCUAAACAAACAUGUAAGAGCAGAAGGGUUUCAUGAACAUCCUCCCAAUGAGGAAUGUUAUAUGAACGGAUCCCAAUCACAAAUUAAAGAUUCGUGAAAAAAGAGAGAAACUCUAAAAAAUUGGGUAAUUCCAAUAAAGUUUGAUAAAAGUUGUUAAGAGAAUGAGAUAUUACUUAGGCCCUAUUUGGCAAAUAACUCCCAAUAAAUAUCUGGGUAAAACUUAGGCCUCGUUUGGCGAAUGAGUUUUUUGAGUGUUUAUCUAAAAUUUUACUGCAACUUACUGUAAAAAUUGUAGGAAAAAAUUUUAAAAUGAAAAUUUUUUUUCUUUUCUUUUUAUUUCUUUUUCUUUCUUUCUUUCUUUGUUCUUUUCUUUCCUUUCUUCUUCAUCUCCCUUCCCCGUCCCCUGCCACCUCUCGCUUCCAGUUGGAACAAGAAUUUUUUUUGCUCUUUUCUCUCACCCUCUCUUCUCUCUCCCCUCCCCUCUCGCCCCUUUUCCGGGUGCUUUCUAGUCGUGUGACCAGAUCGGGCAAAGGGGUAAGGGAAGGGUGGUGAGGGAGGGAGAAGGGGGGAGAGAAAUGGCGGGGAAGAGAGGAGGAGAGAGGGAGAGGAGAGAGAGAGAAAAAAAAAGAUCGGCCGACUCCGAGGUGGUGGUGGGUUGAGAUGGAAGGAGAAAGGAGGAAGAAAAUUUCUUUUGUGUGUUUUGGAUAUUUUGAAAUAUAUAGUUAAAGUUGUUAAAAAUUUGAUAGGAAACAAACUUAGCCAAAAAUUCGUUUGCCAAAUAGGCCAUUAGUUCUAGGAAUGCUUUGAAAAUCCUUGUUAGAGGGAUAGUGAAAUUCUUGUUAUCCAUUAAUAUCUGAGGUCAUGUUAUUCAAUAAUGGUAAUUGUGAAAAAAUUUUCUCUUUUUUGAUUGAUUUUUAUUCAUAAAUUCAAGCUAUUAUUCAAAUUAUAGUAAUUUAUUGAUGAAUUUGGAUUAUUUAUUGUUGAAUUUGGCUAGGUAUAAAGUUAAUUGAAGAUGCAUAAAAGUUUCAUAAAUAAGGCAGCCUGUUUCGACAUUGCUUUCAAUGAUGUGUGGAUUAUGUUUGUGAACUUUAAUGACACAAAGGGGCAAGCUACUCCUACUACUGCUACUUAUUUUGCAUUUGGGGAUGAGUCCCGCAUCUCGUGCUGGAGUUGAUACCGGUGUAGUAAAAUGGUAAUCCAAUAUGCAAUUAACGAAUUUUGUUCUAAAAGCUAUAUAUAACGGAAAUGUGUGAGAACCUGAGAAAAUUAUGUGUAUGCCCUAAAUUUAUUUCAUUUUAUUUACUUUGAUAUUAGAAAUAUUAUAUAUAACGAAUAAAUGGUUAAAUUAAAUGCCUAAUUGAAUCCUUAUGAAAUUGAGAAUUUAGAAAAUAUCCUAGAAUAGUGUAGAAAAAUUUUAUGAAUUAAAUAAAUAUAUGGCAUUCAUAUCGUAAUUUAUGUCAUUUGCAAAUAUUACUAGACACGAAACAUAUACUAUAUAGUUCAAUAGGUACAUGUCUAAUAAAUCCUUUUUAAAGCUAAAUGUGUGAAAAUCUACUAGAUCAACGUAAGAAAAUUUUUCACGAAAAUAAAAAUUAAGUUAAGAGUGAAUGUAUGAAAUAAUAAACUAAAGGACCAAUUUAACCAUUAAUGGAUGGACAAUUAACCAUGCAACCAAAAGAGGAAUUGAGCUUCUGGACAACCGAGGAACUUAGGCAAUCAAAUGCUUAAUUACUAGAGCGGUGAUUGAGAGAACACUAAGAAGAAAACAGCUCAAGUAGUAAGUAGCACCGACUGGGAAACAUUGACCACCGAGUGGACUGUUCCUUCUGAUUCUAGAGUCUUAUAAGCUGCUAAGUCCAAGCGGUGGCUGAAGGAAAAACCAAGAGAAAUCCACAGCCAAUAAUUUGCUAAGUCAAGCGGUAGAAGUGAGGAAACAAAUAGAAAGUGGCUUGCUAAGUUGGGCGGUGGCCGAGUGGAGAAGCGAGGCUUCAAUUCUUUUCUUACCAACCAAACACCAAGAGCAAAACUGAGAGACUAAGCCAUUUCUUUUCAUCUCAAGGCACAACCGAGAGAGAGGAAAAUAUUUCUGGUUCCUCCUUGUUCCAGUUUUCAACCGAGAGAGUGAGGGAGAGAGUUAGACAUUUGCUAGCUUUAUUUCUCCAGCUUGGAACCUCAAAACUCUGAGCCAAAGUGAGUGAGAGGGAGAAAAAUCCUGGUGGUAUACUUCACCUAACGGCCUCAACCGAAUGAGAGUGAAGUAGAUUGAAGAAAGAGUGAGAGUUGGUGCAAUUUUGAGGAACCGAAGCUCAACUUGGAGCCGUCUGCACUUGCUGAAUUCUAGAGGAAAGGAGUUCUUGUCCUUAGUUUAGCUACCCGAGAGACAUUAGGAGGAAAAGGAGAGAAGGACCAAAAGAAAGAAACAACAACAACAACUAGGAACUCAUUUCUGGCCACCUUCAACCGUGAGAACCAGCCACAAAGAAAGCAGGAAUGCAGUCUAUUGAGCUAAGAAUGGGAGAGAAAAACCAGAAUUUUAUUUUCCUAACUUAGAACCAUAAGAACCAGAGGUAAACUACUAUCUUUCUCUUCCAUUUCUUCUACGUUUAGCUAGUAGUCUUUUAGAAUGAAUUGAAACCAAGUAAAAGAAAAUUUUCUAGAAAACAAAGGUUGUCAAAGCUGGAAAUGUUCGUUUGAAGCUGCAUGUUCUCACUCUAAUGUUUAUAUGAUUGCAAGUUAGAUUUGAGUGUAAAAUGAAGAGAUUAUUAGAGGAAAUUUCAUACUUUUAAACUGCUAGCUGCUGAAACUCCUUCAUCUUGGCCGAGAGAACAAAAGAGAGUAUUCUCCAACUUUUCUCUUCAAACCUUGGCUAUAAAUUCUAUAUUGUGAUUCAAAACACCUCAUAGAAUAAUAAUUAUCACCUGGAUAUUAAGUUUGAAUGAGGAAAAUAAAGAAUUUUAUGGAGAAAACUUGUUUUCCAAACUACCUACUUGCUGGAAUUUUUCAACCUCAGCCGAGAGAGAUGGAAGGGAUAUUUUCUGAUAUUUCUCUAUAGAUUUUGGGCUGUAAACUUUCAUAUUAAGGUUGAUUACACCUUAUAAUAUCAUUAGAUGGUCAUGUAUGUGAAUUUUGGGGUGAAAAUGUGAUUUUUUAUGGCUGGAUUGUUGUUUGAAAGACUGUUAGGCUAAUAAACCAUUUACAGUUUAGUCAACGGAAUUUCUUGGCUUUGAAUGGAUAUUUUAGUAUAAAAUUUGCUGGAAAUGCUUGAUUUGUACUUGUUGCUGUGUUAUGAGUUUGUUGGUGAGUGAUUGGUGGAUGGAAAUAAAAUCUAAAUAGUUAAAAUGGAAGGGAAAGUUUGCUAUACCACCUACAGGAAUCAAAGGAGCCUUGUAACUUAUAUAAGAAGAUAUCCAUUUAUUACUUGGUUUAAUAGGCUCUAUAUAAAUUGUAUACACAUCUUAAGGUAAUAAACUAGUUAUGCAUGUGGUCUUGGUUAAUAACAGAAGGAAUUAUGUGACAAGAAAGUACUUUAAGGUUAGCUACUUCUAAACUUACCUUGUUAAACGUUAAUGUUGAGUUUUAGUACGAUAAAUCUAACAGUAUAAAAGUAGUGAAGUGACAUUACUGGAAUUGCUACUUAAACUUCCUUUCUUUUGGAAAUUAAAAGUUGAAGUAACAAGCGAGUGUGAGAAAAUGCACUAGUCAUCUCAUUUAAACAUAGCAAUGACUUAGAUUUCGGGUGGAAUGGUGACUUAAGGCUAGAAUACAACACGUAUGUUGAUUAUACUUUAGAAUUUCACCAAAUGAGUAGUUAAAUAAUUAUGGCAAUUAUAACUUGUCUCAGGAGACAGCGGUGCGCAAGAAAGCAAUUCUAAGAUCGAAGUGUAACUUUUGAUUAGGGUGAGUGUUUAAGAAUUUAUAUAUUUAACUGUUUAUGUUUAUUUAAGUGAAAUUAUGUGAUAAAUGUGCUUAUUAUGUAUAUUGCCAGUGAUUUAUUGUAAAGUGUAUCUCAAUUGUCCCUCGCCUUCUAAGUCGAGGGUGUACUUUAUCGCACUCGACUUAGUUGAACUUGAAGGUUGAUUAUUGACUAAAUGUUACUGUAAGUAUGUAUGAAUGUAAGCCGUAUGUGUACUUUAUCGCAUCGGCUGAACUGAGCCUCAAAACCCUCUGUUCAACAGAUUAUUCGAGCCAGCAAAGGGCUUGUUGGAUAGGACGGAAGCUUUGGGUAACUGUUUGGUAUACUCGGGUAUUACCCUGAAGUUGGGAGAUUAUUGAACUGAUUGCUGAAUGUAGGGGAUUGAUUAUUGUUUUGGAGGACAUAAGGAGGUGGAUUGGCGGAGUGUGCAAUAAUAUUGAAAUGAAUGUACAAUGACACUGAAAUGAGUGUGCAAUGAUAUUGAAAUGACACUGAAUUACUGAACGGAACUAAGUGCUACGUCUGGAACGAACGGGAACCACCUCUAGAGUCCGUAUCAAUACCGUAUCCUUUGAGGUGAUUGAUUACUUUUAUUAAAUUUGAUAUCCUGAAUUGUUAAGUUUGGUGAAUGUUUUAUACUGCUAAUUGGUUGUUGUAUCCUUUUGAAAGUGACAAUACAGUGAAAUGUGCAUUACUUGCUUAAUUUUACUAGUUAAGUGUUUAUUGAAUGUUACUUGUUCGGCAAACCUCACUAAGUUUUAGCUCAACCUUUUAGUUUUGUUUUCCUUACAAGAAUUGGUGGUCAGGGAAUGAACAAGGGAUCUUAAGGAGUUAACGUGAAGAAUUUUGUGAAUGUAAAUCCUUUAACAUCAAAUUAUGGUUGAGGCUAUUAUAUUGAACUUGGUAUUGUAAAAGAUUUGAGUAUUUGGUUUUGGUUUAUCGAAAUGUUAUCUCUGAAAUUAAUGUAAGUGAGUGAGUCCUGGCGAGAGUCAGGCAGAUGGUCCGCUAACUUCUAGGGUAUGCUCUAGGAGAAGGUGUGACGACCCCACCUCCCCUAAGGCGUACCAAAGGGUUCGGCGGACCGCCUGCCCAACUCUCGCCAGGACUCACUCACUCGUGUCUUACGCAUACAUCCAUAGACAAGAAAUAACAUUGCAAUUCAAACUUGUAAUAUACAUCGAUGCACAAACCCAGAUACAAGACAUCUAUACAUCCAAAAUACUUAAAAGUGUAUACAAUACAAGUACAACGCAUUCUAAGCGAAUGAUAGCGUGAGUACAACUCGAAAGUCAAAACAAUUAGUCUAAACUAGUCUGUACACGUCUCACGCCUCGCUCGUACCCCUGUAAGGAAAACAAAACUAAAGGAGGUUCCAAAUAUCAAAUUGUCCAGCAAAUAAAGUAACAGUGGCAUAAUGGUGAAAUAGCGAGCAAAACAAGUCAAGAAAUGAGUAAUAACACUUCAUAUAGCUAGACACGUAAUUUUUCCGCAUUUCACAUAUAAGAAUACAGUUGCUCAUAUAUCGACUCCACCAUAGCUUGAUCAAUUGGUAGUUGGCACUCCGUCAACUUUCAAGUGAGAAACUAGUCCAGUAGGUCACCACUUCACUCCAAUCUCCGUCCACCGAUCAAACCUCUUACUGGGCUCGAACUCCACAAUAAACACUGGUGGUAAUACUCGAGUAUACCGAUUAGUCGAGGAGAUAACACUCCACUCGACAACACUAGAUACCCAUGGUUCGUUAUCUAAUCGACCAAACCCUUGCCGGCUCGACUCGAUUAACUAGCCAAUGGGGUUUGGAUCCCCAAAAAAUCGAUGAGAUAACACUCCAAUCGAUUGAAUCAAGAUAAAAGUAUGGAGACGGGAAUGAGAGGUACCUCCCACUCGGAUCGAGUGUGGUACAUACUGCCGCUCAGUACUUACAAGUCACACACAAAUAUCUCAAAUCAAUUGCAACAAUAAACAAGUACAUAUCACGUUAGGGCAAGUGCGAUAAAGUACACCCUUGCCCGAUCAUACCAAUCACAUAUCAUUCGAUCACAUUGGUCAAGUAUUAAAAACAAGUAUCCAGUUCAAUCAGGUAUUUGGAAGUACUCACCAAAGAUGUAGUGCCUUUACGGAUCACGGUCAGGUAUUACUCCUUGUGUGGAGUUCAACUCUGCGAUAAAAUGUCAUUUAAGAACUUGAAAUCAAUUAGGGUUCAAGUUUUUUUUAAAGAAAAUCAAGUAAUUGAAACUCAUUUGGGGAAUAUUCGUAAAACUCAUGCUCGCUCUUAAAACUUUGAAAAUUUGAAGCGAUUAAACUUUGAAAUUCCCAUUUGAGUCGAAGAGAGGAGAAAAACGUAUUUCUAUUAGUCGUUACUUUUAUUUUUUCAAGGUUACAAGGUUCGGUCGAAUUCUAACUUAUAUACCACUAUGAGCGAAGACUUGAAUACCCUAGAUGAUUCGAGUUCAAUUCGACCUCAAAUCUUCGCUCAAACUGCGAGUAUACACGUCUCACUUUCGAGUGAAAAUUUGGGCAGCAUACCCCUUUGUAUUUAGCUAUUUUCCAGUCAUUUAUGGCUUCAUUAUUGUUCUCAAUUCAGCCCUAAAAUCACACGCAAAUAAUCUUACCACAAUAGCCUUUCACUAGGCUCAAUGUCAUCCACACACAAGACAAUUUUAGCAUGUAAGCUUCACUUGGAAAUUCGGAAAUGGUGGCCAAAAGCUAAGUACAAGUCUUGACCGCUUUAAUUAAGGUAACUUGUUAAAAGAGUAAAACUUUGAGGAAAUGAGAGAUACAUUAGCGAGAGAAGUUCAAUAGGGAUAUAUUUGAUGUCAAGGAAGUGGAAAAAUCAAGGUGAGGGGUUGGAAGUAGGCCGUCUGAGGUUUUAAAGUCAAGAAGCCCGUUUCUAUACUUCAGGAAUCUACUGAGAUGAAUAGUAACAGUAAACUUUAAAAAUUCGCAACUCGAGUUCCACAAAUCAAACAAUUAUCAAAGUUAUACUGUUGUAAAAUAGAUUUUUAGUACUAUCACAUCCCAGAAGACACUUUUCAGAGAUUCAAAUCACAAAUAGGCCAAAUAUUCGAUCCAAGUCAAAAAUUCAUUUUCCUGAAGAAACAGGACAUUCAAGCAGGACAGCCUACUUUGAGGAGUCACGGACAGCAGUACACAUGGAGGAAAAAUAUGAAAUUUUUACAAAACAAAGGCCCAUGAUUCUAGUUGCAAAUGCCACUGAUGACACCUCAAUCGGAUUUUUCUACACCAAGAUAUAAGCAUUUUACUGAGACUGGUCAGUGAAAUCCGAAAAUCUGGAAACUCAUUUUUCACUUGUGAAAAACUCCUUUUUCUCUUUUAAAACCACAAGACUUUUAUUCAAACCACCCAUACAUUUAAGUAUGACAUUCAUACCAGCAGUUUUAACAUAAUUUAAGCAUCAAAUUUCAACAGAAACCAAAGAAAUAUACAUAUAUUCCAAGUUUAAAGUCUUGUAAGAUGUUUAUACUAAGAUUAAAUCAUUUUCUAUCCAAUAUUCAAGGAUUAAGGCAAAUGAACUCUUCAUUUGUUCCAUUUAAGCUAAACCAGAUUCUAAGUUGUUUGUAGUUUGGGUUUUGUUCCACUACACCAGCCCCUCACAUUAAUAGUCUUUAAAAUAUUAAUGAACACAAUAUUAAAUCAUUAGAAGCCACUUUACGUAUAUAACUAUCAUAACUUUCCACUCAAUCGUGUUGGUUUAACCCUACUCGUGGAACUAGGUAUAUCCAUUAAAUCUGAGAACAAUCGUAGCUAUCAUUUAUGAAAGCUUGCAAGAUUGGAAAUUAGAAGAAAUGUUAGUUAAAAGUUGGUUUCCUCAGGGCCAUCAUCAAAACUGCAUGCAUGUGAAACAAAAGGAAAGGCAACGAGGAAGUCAGCUUUGCCAUCCUCUGGUAUUUCAAUCAUAACUAGAGCUAUGCUUAUCAGAUUGAGGCAAGCUUUAUAGCGUUUCGAAGCUAAGAUAUAUACCUACAUUUCUUAUGACGACACCAACACCCAAUUCUCAUAUUUUCAGGGUCAAAAAUGGCCGGACAGAAACACAUCCUGCUUCACUCUGUCGGACAGCAACCACAAAAUUAAUCCAGUACCGUUACUUCAACUUUUGUCAAAAACUCUAUUCUUUCACUUGCUUAAAGCUCUAAAUACUUAAGGUAUAUUCAGUCCAGCAUAUACAAGGUGAGUAACUCAUAAUUUCAGCAUGUUGUUCGGCCAAAAUCACACACAAAAUCUGUCAUCAGCUGUUGCAUCAUUCAACGAAGUUUUCCAGCAGUAUAACAGUUCAACUUUGAUGUUUUCUCAAAUAUUUCCUUUCAGGUUCAUGCUCCAACUAGAAGUAUAAAACAUAUCUUAUCAAGCUACAAAGUAGCCUUAAACAGAACAUAUGAGGUUUACAACUAAAAUUCGAAGGAAGAUUGAUUAAAAGUCCUUUUCUCUCUCUCUCUCUCUCGGCCUUCCUAGCCAGUUCCAUCAGCUUUAAUCAAAAUUUCACCAUUAGUUUUUCCAUUAUGCUCUCAAAUCUAACUUGCAAUCAUAUUAAACAUUAGACAGAUCAUAAUACGUGAGUUCCAGUCACAAUUUAGCAAACGUUUUAGAGAAAUAACCAAAAUUGCAGCUUUUCCCUCUCGAUUUGCUGUGCAGAAAAUUCCAGCUUUUGAGAUUGCUUUAAAGUCAAUCUUUUCUUGCUUUUAGCUCCUCAAAUAACACACGGAUGACUGGAUUAGGAAGAUGGCAGUUAUAUGAAGUGAGUUUUUAACUAAACUAACAAAAUUUUCUAGAGAUAAAGCUGGAAAUUUCCAGCUUCAUCUUAUUGAUCCUUCAUGUAGUGUCCAAACAGAAAUUCAGCAAAGUUUCUUCAUAUUUUACACUCAUUCCACUUGAGUUCAGGUCAAGUACUGCACCCAUGUCAAGAUAUGUAUACUAUGGAAUAUAUAUAAUGCAUGAAGACAUAAUCUAACACAUUUUGAAGGAGAAUUGACUAAAAAAUUGCAGCUUUUUAUCAUCGGGUAGCAUGCAAUAACUUUGAACAGAAUUUUCCAGCUUUGAAGAACUUUUAUCGGUGAAUUCCUUCCUUUCUCAGUUCUAGUUCAUCCCAAGGAAUUAUUAACCAGGCAUAGCAGGAAAAUGAAGAAGAGCUUAAUUAAUUACCUAUUGUCUCUUCACGGUUUAGACUGGAACAAGAUUUCUGGUUUUCUUUUGUUUCCCUCUCUCGAUUCCUUGGUUAAAUGAGCUGGAGUUUCUCUUGUUUCUUGGCUGGUGUUCAUGGUUGGAGAAGGUAAGAGAGGUCUCCGUUUUUCCUUCUUGUUGUUUCUCGAUUUUAGGCAACAGGGGAAGUGAAUGGAACCCUCUCGGUCACCGCCCAACUAGUGCACAAAUGAAUUUCUUAGCUCCUCUCAUUCGGUCAUCACCUCACGUAGCAAAUAAAUGGGCAGCUGUCUUAACAGGUACCGCACAAUCUAGAAGCCAAUUCCUACUGGUUUUCUCCCUUCCACCGCUUGGACUCAGCAGAUAAUUUCUCUUUAUUGUCUCUCUUUCGGUCACUACUUAUUCAGCAAAUUUGGUGAUGCAUUCCUUCCUGGCAGCUGUCUCAACUCACCGCCCCAGUCUCAGUUAAUUUCUACACUUCACCGCUUAGACAAGUAGAUGGUUGCUGGCUUCUAUUCGGUUCCUAUCAAUUAAAUUUUUAUUCCUCUCUCGGUUUUGGUCUUCUGAAUUCUGAUAGCUUAUGCCUUGGCCACCUGGUAGUUAGUCUAAAAUUUAAGGUUAGUUUGGUCUUUUAACUGUAGCUUAUUUGCUCACAACGGCCUGAUUUGUUUAUUUAUUUUUUUAUGAGUUCAUGCAUGGACUCGUACCUUCAUUUGUAUUUUCGUGGAAAAAUUUUGACACCUUUAGCUUUAAGAAAAAUUAUUAGACAUGUACCGAUUGAACUUCUAGUAUAGUUUACGUGACUAGUUGUAUUUGUUUGCAAAUAACAUACAUUACAAUAUGCAUGCCAUAUAUGUAUUUAAUUCAUAAAAUUUUUCUAUACUAUUCUAGAAUCUUUUCUAAAUUCUCAAUUCUAUAGAGAUUCAAUUAGGCCGUUAAUUUAAUCAUUUAUUCGUUAUACAUAAUAUUCCCAAUAUCAAAGUAAAUAAAUGAAAUAAAUUCAGGGCAUACGUAAUUUUUUUUUCCUGGGUCUUCACAGAAGGUGGGGCCGUCACAAAAUGAUUAUUCGUAAAGAAACUUAUUUAAAAGUUGAAAUUACCCUUGUUUUGAAACUCAAAUGGCUGAAGCGAACAAAAUGCAUAAACAUAAUAUGUAUGACACUCUAACCCCAUAUGAUUUUAUAUUUUACCAUGAAACCCCUUAUGAUUUAAUGUUUUAUCAUAUAAAUCCCUUAUGGCUUUCACUAUAUAUACAUAACCCCCUUAUAGUUAAUAAAUAAUUUUCAACUUUAUAUAGGGUAUUUUUUAUAUUUUAAUUGAUUCCAUUAUGGAUUGUAAAUUUCGUUAAUUUGACACUUUAAUUCAGACAAUAAGAGAGUUAUGUAUAACUUUUGAAAUCAUAAGAAGAUUAUGUAAAAAAAAAUAUUAAAUCAUAGGGGAGUAAAAUGUAAUUUAACUGUGUGCAGCAUCCAGCCCCUCUGGCUGCUGUCACUGGAUUGGGAGGAAUAUAGUAUGAAAGGCUGCAUGCACCGUCCAGCGUCUCUACCACUGUGGGUCAUGACUUUAAUUUCUUCACGGGUAGACUUGUAGUUGCCAGACUCAACACGAAACAAAGUUUGUACCCAAUUUCGAACGCUAUAUGGGCACGUCGAGAUAUUGAAUGCUGUUCAUUUACGAUUGUUUUGGUUACUCCAAAAUUUAAACGUGCAUUUGAAAUUCAUUAAAUAUCUGUUUACUCUUCUUUUAGCUUCAACCUUUUUAUAUAUUCAAAACCACCAAAAUGUUUUGCUUAUAUUUAAAAAAAAAAAAAAAAAAAAAAGAGAAGAGUUUAUCAAGUCUCAUUGAACGUAUUAAACAAGGUUUUUACCACAAAAAAAAAAAAAGAAAUAUAGCUGGAUCCAUGCAAAUAUCUGUAAAGGCUUUGUAAAGUAUGUGGAUCCUAUUCUAUAAGUAAUUAAAUUUUUUUUUUUUGGGUUAUUCUUGGAAAUAGACUACUGCAACCAGUUACUAUUUAAGUGGUCCAUGGCAGUAACUCUGAUACAAAUUGACAAAUGAAUACAUAUUUUUCAGGAACUUCAAGUCAUUGUCAUUUUAUCAGCAAUUUUCUACAAGCAUUUAGAACCAUAGAUGAUGCUUUAUCAGACGACCAAUACCAAAGGAAUUGAAUACGCAUCUCCUUAAUACUACUUCAUCAUUAUUAGCUGAUUGAUUUGGUAGUAGUAUUCCUGUCACUUUUGAUGCAUUAAAUAAGCUUAUUAAUCAAUUGUCGCUUGCGAGAAAGCUUGAUAAAAAAAAAAAAAAAAAAAUCAUCUCCAAAAACAAGUUGGCUAUGACAGGAAUGGGAGAGGGGCAAUGACAAUCGUCAGUUGAAUCGUUUCGAAACGAUGUAAAAGGGAAUCAACAGGCAAGUUAUCAAAUAUUUGUGAUAAACUCUUAAAACACACAUGUUAUAUACUUAAACUCUGUUCACGACGACCCUACAAGUUAGUUGAGUUAGAGUUACAUAUAUCGUUAUCUAUCUCACCUUUACAACAUGAAUUUUUAUGUUAUUGGCAAAAUCUGAGUCAUGAACCUUCCGAAACGUUCGUCAGUUUCGUGACAACCAUUUAGUCCGACAAAGACACUUGUCUUGUUGUAAAGUGAACUAGAAAAAUUACCUCGCAGUAUAUUUCUUAGAAGAAUAGACUAAGUACCAUCCGUUAGCCAACCACAAGUAUAGCAAUUGAAUCAAUUAUCCUGACUGAUUCUUAGACUGUUUAUUCCAACAAAUUGCCGAAUAAUGAUAUUAUGAAGUAUGUAACUGCUUUAUGCUGCUGAUACAUGUUUUCAUCGAGUGAUAAAAUUUGUUAUGUAUUCUGUAGUUAUUGUUGUAAUGAUUUCCACGAAGACUUCAAGUCAUUGUGCCUGUUUCAAGUCAUCGUGAGCCAUUGUUCCGAACCAUAGAGGUUCUUGCGUGAAUAUGUUUGUACUGGAGAACGAAUGUGUAUCUAAUGAUGAAACAUAGGACAACUGAAAGAAAAAAUACUUAUAAACAACGCAUUGUUUAUUUAUUUAUCAUUUUCGUCUCCGGCAUUAACAAGCAGGAGUACAUUUGAUUUCACCCCUCCUUCAGCAGAUAGCGAUCGAGAGGAACUGAUCAGGCAGCACGAGCAUAGGACCGUAGCAUGGACUGGAAAUUUACCUCGUGAUGAAGGUAGGGGAAAACCAUGAUGCCUCCAUAAACAGGAGAGUUCUUCAGAUAGGGAAGAACCUCAUAAACUAGCUCAUUAGGUGAGAUGAAACCGCCCUCAGGUGCGAUAGAAGAGUUUAUUGGUAUUCCCAGGAACAAUAGAUUAACGCCUGGAUAAUCAGACCAAUUGUCCCAGCUCCGGAAGAGGAGACUGGUAUCGUUUGGAGGCUUAAACUGACAAGAUGGGUUGUCGAAAAAUUCCACCCGCACCUGAUCAACGACACCAGUUCUGAUAGUUGUGUCAAGAGCAGGGUCAGGAAUAGGACAUUCCGCAGCUACGGCUAAGAUGACAUUUGGGUAUCCCUUAAGUGCCCGAGCAAGAUCAUCCAAGUAAGUCGUGUUUCCGCUGUGGAUGUGAAGCUCUACGCCAUCUAAAACAGCUGUGCCGAAUGGACGGUCGCUUGAUUCACCGCCUAAGUAAGUGUUCCAGACAAAGGCUGCCACUUCUUGCGCAUCUUCGACGGAAGAAAGCCUCGGUUGUCCUGCGAGAGAAAUAAACACUUUGGUCUGAUGUUUCUGGCAAGAUUCUAUGUCUGAUGAGCUCGGCAAAGGAUGAAUUAUGUUCAAUUCAGGCAUCUGGCCGCUGCCAAAAUCUUCCAGAAAGGCAAUAUUCACGUCGGUAGCGAAUUCUCGCCUGCAGAACUCAGCCAAACUUGAUGGUUCUUUAUGGCCUCGGCCCCAGUAUUGGACAAUUCCGGCAGCUUCGGAGGACCCAAUCAGAGAAGCAAUCAACAGGAAUGUUAUUGCUGAGAACAGUGGUUGCAAAGAGGCAGCCAUUUUUUUUCUCUUUCUUUUCAGUGAUUUUUGCAGCUUUGCUUUGGUGAGUUCACUUGCACAAUGACUGACCAUUUUAUAGAUGAGUUUAUCUCAAGUGGAUGUUCAGCAUCUAGAAUAUCCAAACAUCCGUACAACAAAACGUGAAUGGCACGAUUUCUCAUUUCUGCUCUCAAAAAGGUGAAUGGUAUUAUUUUUGUGUUUCAAUAUUGCUAGAGACUACCGUUGUGCUCGCCUAACCUCAUCCACAACUGGACGAAGAAAGAUCUUUUUCUUUCUUUUUUUUUUCUUUUGGGACAUUACAUGGCAGCUAGGGGGGGGGGGAGUGGAUCCUUGAGAUUAAUGGGAAUUGAAUCAUCAUUGAAUUAGACGAGUGGUCCAAACAUCCUCUAAAUUUUAGAAGAAAUUGCAUAUCAAAUGAUAAUUGAUGAAAGAUAAAAUUCGAACCUCGAUAAGAGAAAACUAGGAGUCUUGUUUGAAAUGUAAAAUUUUCAUGAACAUUCUUGAAGUAAAAAGAGUGCUCAAGUAGCCUACGAAAUCCUUCAACUAUGGUACAAUAAAGUGAAAUGGGUGCCUUUCAAUGUGCAAUAAUGGUAGGGGCAACUAUUCUUCUAACUGCUGCUUCAAAUGCAAUUUUUAAUUUACACUUUUUACCAUCUCUCUAUAUCUUUAAAAAUUAAAGUAACCUGCACAACAUGCCCUUACUAUGUGCACAAAUAUUCAUACCGAUGUGCAAAACUUUGGAAUGGUCCUAGUUGUAUAUAUUAGUAAUAGUAGAAAUGUAAAGUUCAAUACUUCCACCUCAAAAGUAACUGCAAAAUAUGUCAGUUGGAAUGAUCCCAUUUAAAGUUCAGAUCACCCCUUAUUUAAUUAUGUUAAGUUCUUAAUAUUUUCCCAUUCAAUCCUUCAUUCAACAGCGGUGAUGGUGCUGUGACGUUUGGUCUUAAGCAAGAAAAUUUUUUUCCUCGCCCUCAGUGUGAAUGUGACUCUCAUAUAUAAAUAAUCUCAUAGCAAAACAUGUUCUUACUGAUCGCAGAAGUGAAGCUUGUACACAGGAAUGUAUAGAUUCCAGUUACAUCCAACUAAUCACUGUUUAAGCAUACGAAUUAGCCAUCACGGGCUAAGACACAGAGGCAAUUCCAGUUGGUUCUAGAUAAAGGGAUCUUCCUCUAACCUGCUGUCACAUCCUUUACAGGAGCCAAGACAGCAGGAACUAUGUCCACAGCCGAGAUAUGUCUCUGCUGAAACAUAGCCAAAUUCCUUGCUGUCCAUAGCUAGUAUAGGCUCAAAACCCUCUUCUCUUUCUUUGCUUCUUAAAUUCCACCCUUCAAUCCUAUGCUACUCAUCCUAUUUUUUAAGAAUUUUAAUUUAUUUAUUUUUUAAAAAAAUUGAUUCAUGUCUUCUGUUUGGAUCCAUGUCUUUGCUGCUUUUAAUUCCUUAAUUUAACGUAGCCCCAAACACGGCAUAUAAUAGUCACUCUCUUAAUAAAUGCAAUUAAUUAAUCAUACCAAAUAUAACGUUUGGAUUAGGUAUUGUAGCACACCUUAGUUUUAUUCUGUUCCCUAUUUUACUUAGUUUCAAACAUGCCCUAUAAUAAUCAACCCUCUAAUGAUGCAAUUAAAUAAAUAUACCAAAAAUAUCUAUACAUAUUUGAAACUAAACAUAAUUGUAUCCAUAACAAUCAAUAUAAAAAAUUAACUAAAAAACAAUCUUUGACUAACAUAAACUAAUAAUCUAAGUUCUUGUCCUCCAAAGAAAUAACAAUAUUCCAAAUCAUAUAAGUUGAACAGCUUAGCAAAUUAGCAAAAUUGACUAACAAACACAACACAAGGUUACAAAAUAUUCAACAUUUCUGUAUUCUUUUUCUAACUAAAAUUUACAAAUCAUACCCAAAAAAAGAACUAAUCUAAGUUCCUAUCCUCUAAAGAUAUAACAAGAUUCCAAAUCAUAUAGUUGAACAAUUUACCGAAUUAGCAAAAUUGACUAAAAAAAUACAAAAAGAGAACAACAAAAUUUUCAAUAUAUUUUGUAGUGCUUUCCUAAAUAAAAUUUAAAAAUCAUACCCAAAACAUAAAAAAAAAUGAAAUAUACUUAUCAGAUACUUCAAUUAUUAGAAUCAUCAUGCACAGAAAAUAAAAAAAAAUAGCUCUAAAUUUCAGCCCAGACCUAGAUCUAAAAUUGGACCUGAAUUAUAUAUAAUCGGACAUUAUUCAUGCUAUUAGAAUUGAUAGAUUUUGUUCGAGCAUAAAAAUGAAAUAUAAUAUUUUUACCUAUUCUUUUGUUACACAAUCAAAAUUAAAAUUAUGUUAUAGUUAUGACUAAAAGAAAUGGAGAAGUAUAUUUUGCAACUACUUAAACUUUUUAUUUAAACUAAAGACAUAUUGAAACUAGGAAAAUUAGUUUAGAAAAGAUAAUAUGAAAAUAAUGCACAAAAUUUGGCUCUAUAGAUGUAGCAUCUACAGAAAGGACGAUUUGCAUUUAGGGGUUGCGGGGAUAUGGAAAAGUAGCAUGGAAUGGGGUUGAUGCAAGGUAGAGUAUGAGGACAAGGGAAGAAGGAAGUAGGAAAGUGGUGAUGUGGGGGGUCGUAGGAAAAGUUAAAGGAAGCUAAAUUUACGCAAUGAUACUAAACUACUUAAAGUUUGAAAUUCCAAUUGAAAAUAUUAAUAUUAUGAAAAUUAGUUUAGGAACGACAAUUCACAAAAAUUACACAAAGUAUGGCUCCAUUUUGAUGGGUUACUUUUAGAAAACUUUCAUAAUGGGAAUAUUCUUUUAAAAUCUUUAUAUGCAGUAUUUUUUGGGUCUUUUUUGAAAAUUUUUGGUAUGUUUUCAUUGAUGGCAUUGAGUAUACUUAAAAAUGGUAGGUAAGUAAUAAAAUGAGUCUCGGGAAUAGAAAAAGAUAGUUGGCAAUGGGAGUGUAGGUAGCAAUUGGUAAAGAUUUAAGUUGACUAAGUUUACUUAACAAUAUUAAAUUUACUAUGAAUUAAUCCUAUAUACACUGAUAGUGUAUACGCUAUCAUUAUUAGAUAAAUGAUAUAUGUGCAAAAUUUGAAUUUAAAAUUCAAAAUUUACUCAUAUGUCAUCCAUUCAAUCGUGAUAGUGUAUAUAAAAUUUACUCAUUUACUUUAUAGAAAUAUUAGAUUUACAUUUUAUUAUCAUUUUAUGAGAUUAAAUUUACUUAACAAUAAAAUUUACUUAACGAUAUUAGUUUCAUAUUUCUAUUUUACCUAUUAAAUUUACUUACUAAUAUUGCUGUAACAAUAGUAUUUUACUAUCACAAAUACCAGAUAUUAUUGUUUAUGGACAUAGAUAGACAUGAAAUUGUCCACAAUAAUAAUAAAAAACAAGAUUCAUCUUAUUCUCUCAUGAUAUUUUUUUGUUUUUGUUUUUUAUGUUCCUAACAUUAGGCCUUACAUAUAAAAUCUUUUUAUCGACUUCUUUUUUUAUCUUUUACUUAUCAUAUAAAAUCUUAUUACUUCUUUAAAGAUAUAAUCCCUUACAUAUAUAUAGCACUAGUCCAAUCAUACGUUGUCGAAGAUGAUCAAGCUCUUGCUGGCUUGCAUAUAUAAAGGCCAACGUCUUGAUUGAUCAAUUUUGAUAUCACUCGUCAAAAUGGGUGCCCAUCAAAGACUCGUCAAAGUCUCGUGAUUAAUUUCCACAAAUUAAAGGAGUUGCGUGAUACAGAGAACCUCUGCCUUACUGUAGACUUUUCACAAUACCACGUGUCUGCCAUUAGUACAUCAUUUGGAAUUUUUUAGACAGCGACCGUACAGACGUGGAUUCGUUUGAUAGAGUCUGGGAUUUUGAAGGUCAAUUGUCCAAUAGGGAUCUCGACAUUUUACAGCCACCUCAGCUGCUAAGGAAUGAACGGCUCCUGUAGCUGAUAGGCGGAUAUGCCUCCCAAAGGAGAUUUUCUCAAAAGGAAUAUCUUUAAUUUUCCAUGGCGGAUUGAGACUUCCAUCGUCCACUUGUCCCCACCUAGCCCGUCGCCAAGUUUUUCCACACAAACAUUCUAUUGAAACUAGCUGUUUUUAGGGGUAUUUUUGAAAAAAUUUGCUGUAAUAGAGUUUUUAGAUUAUAUUUUACGAUAUUUUUAGAAAAUAUUUUGAAAUAUUUAAAAGUAGAAGAGUUUUUAGAAUAUAUUUUAAAUUAUUUUUAAAAAUUUUAAAAAAAGUUAAACUAAUUUUUAGCGUACUUUUUAAAAAUUUUUAUUAUUUUUAAAAAACAUUCCCGUCCAAAUAGAGUAAUUAUCAUUCCGAUAUCUUUAAUGAAUGGCGAUGUUUUUUGCAUUUGUCUUUUUUGCUGUUACAAAUAAUAUGGUAUAAAAUAGUCGAGUCGAGUUACUCAAUUCUUUUUUUUUUAGCAUGAAAGUUUUAAUUGUGCUGCGUAUUUCUAGAUUUUAGUGCAUGUUUUUAUCUGUCAUUAAAGCAAUGAUGUAUAUCAAUCGUGUUGGAUGAUUUUCAAUAAUUCGUUAAUGAAAUAUAUUUUGUUAUGAAAAAAAAAAAAAAGAGAAUAGAUACGUCAAAUAGUCUACUGACUUAUAUUGUCGAAGAUCUGCACUCUUGAUUGGCCUAUCUGUGUUGCAUUUUCCUGUAAUUGAUGGAAUUUAGAUCCGAUAAGGGAGUACACCUAAUGGACAAUAAUUGCAAGAUCAUUUGCUCAGCAAAGUAUGUGGAUCCCACUCCGUACGUUUUGUCGGCUAUUCUUGGAAAUGGACUAUUCCAUCCAACCGGUUUUUACCCGAGAGGUAAUUCUGACAUCAUUUGACAUAUUUUCUGGGAAAACUUUUUAAGUGGUUGCCUUCUUUUUUUUUUUUUUUGGGGUCGAAAGGAUAGAAUUAAGUGGUUGUCAUUUUAUCAUCAAUUUUCUCUAGACAUAGAUAAAUGGUGCUUUAUCUGAAAUUGCUUUUGCGAAUAUUAUUCUUGUCACGUGACUGCAUUGGAUAAGCUUAUUAUCAACUGCCACUUGUACUAACUGACAAGCUCUUAUGUAGUUGAGAGAAAGCCUGAUAAAUAAAUUAAGCCGACGGUCAUGGUAAAUUUCUUCUCGUGAUUCGUAUUGCUACCGAAAUAGGAAAAAGGGGCAUGCUUCAUAUUGAGUCAUUACGAAUAAAAGCCCUAAUGUUUCAAUGUCUGGACUAAGUACAGAAAGUGAUAAACUAAGAACUAAAAUCCAUCAAGCGUAUUAUCAUUCUACCAACAAGAACUGGACUUCACUAAUGAUAAUUUUAAUGCCAUAGCUUUCAACUCGUUCCAAGUGAGAACUUACAAAAAGUAGUUCAACUCAAUGACAGCUCCUGUACUAAUCCUUGUCACCAAUCCAUAAGCCCUGACGUUACAAAGAGGAAAAGUAAAAGGCAAAUAAGUAGCAACUCGAAUCUGAACUCGAGUUGAGCUCGGUCAAUAUCAAGUUCGAACUGACCAAAUCGAAUUCGAAUUUGAAAAUAUUUAACUUGUUAGCUCGCGAGCCAACUCGAUUAUAUAAAUAUAUAUAUUAUUUUUUAUUUUAUUAGUAAAAUAUUAUAUAUAUAUCACUAAUAUUUUAUUAUUUAUUAAGAAAAAUUAUUAUUUUAUUUAUUUUUAAAAAUAAAAUAAUUAUUUUUUAUUUUUUUAAGCUCGACCUUGAGUUGAAACUCGACUCGAACUUUACAUUUUGAAUUCGUUGAACUCAAAUUCGAGUUUGAGUUUCAUAAAAUUAAAUUGUGAUUCAAUUCGAUUAGGUCAAAACUCGACUCGACUUGACUUGUCCCGUUUCGUUUGCACCCGGAAGGAAGGACCUUAGUAGUGAUUCCUAUCAAUUUCUUUGAUUUAAGGUUUCAGUUCUGCCUGGGAAAAGGUGAAGAGGCACCACUAGCAUGGCUGUAGACCUAGUAGCUACAAUAAAGGCAUCAAGUUGCCCCGCCAAAAUCCGGCCAACCUCCAUCGCCAAUUAACCAAAAGAUAUUUUUAUCAUAGCUAAUAUUUGAGAAUAGGCAAUAAGGGAUAACCUAAGAUUAGUAAGUAGAUUUUUGACUAAAGGAGGAGAAGGCAUUUGGAGAGGUAGGCAUGCUUUUUUUUUUUGUCGGUAACGGUAGAUGUCUUAUAACCUAAUCUAGACUAAUCUAGGGAAGAGGGGUAAGAGGAGAUGGUCAAUUAAAACUAGCCACAUAUUGUGGUAAAAUUUGAAAGAGAUAGGGAUAGAAUCCCUAACCUCCAAUAUCACCAAAGAGGGUGAUGAUCACUGGACCAAAUGGCCCGUGACAUUUGGAGAGGUAGCAUGCAGCUGAGCAACUUUAAGAAAAUGCUCGAGAUGAGGAAGACGAAGAGAGGCGAAAUUUCCUAGCUAGGGGAGAAUCGAUCGGGUGGCUUCAACCUUAUUGGUCCAUGAAUUUCUUUGACACAUGGCCCUUCACGCGGUGUCUUCGUACGUCUCGCACUGGAACUAGACUACUAGGUUGUUUAUCGGCCGAUAAUUUGAUUAAAAAUUCAAUUUUUUUUUUCAAUUUUUUCAACAAUGUCAACAUCCAAUUACCGUUCAAACUUUUAUUUAGUAAUUGAAUAUUGCAAAUUGGAUUACGACCAAAUAAUUAGUAUUUCAGUAAAAUAUCCAAAGUUUUAGAUUGAUUUUCUAAUAUAUAUUAGUUAAGUAUAUUUAAUAUGUAAUUAGUAAUGUAAAAGGUUAUUAAUAUGUUCAUUAAUAUGCUUUUAAGGUCAUAUAUUUGUCUAUAAACAUAUAUUAUAACUUAUAACACUAUGGAUUGAUACAUCAAUAUGCAAUAUGAUAUAUUAAUAGGCAUGAAAUAUAUAAAAUAUUUAAUUAAAAUAUGAAAUUCGGUAACUCAGUCGGUGGUAAUCGAAAAUUCGAGAAUCGAAAUUCAAUAUCAAAUCACAAACUGUUUUGCCAAAAUUUAAAAUUGGAUCUUAAUCGGUUUUUCCAAAUUUCAUUUCACCGACAUCCGAUUUUCAAUUUAAAUUGGAUCAAUCGAUUAUUCGAUUUUUUUUUCCUUUUUUUUGGAAGUGUGAGGACCCCUAGCUGGCUGGUACCAGGGUAGCCAGCCAAAUUACAAUUGACCAGCUGAAUUGGCAAAUCUCUUUCUCGUCUAUCUAGCAGUCUAUCGGAUAAGAUUUCUCGUGUUUAUUGUUCCGUGCUUCAACCGGUAAAUUUAGACAGCGAUGGAUAUCUGCUUGGGCAGGCAAACACCAUGCCCUUAGGUGUCAGUGCAUGGACUUGCAGGAAAAGUCACUGUCCAUUUUCUACGCCGCGGUUGCGGGUCAUGACUUGAACUCAUCGUGCUGUUGGCUACUAUAUCAAACAAGAGAAAAAGGGAAUCCAAUGCAGCGUUUCUUUCUGUUAGUGUUACUACGCCAAUGUUUCUAGCCAAUCACUUUUCUUUUCAUCAGCCAAAAUCAAUCAGGUGAGAUGCUUCCUCGAAGUUUAAUACCACAUAAGCGAAGUAUGAACUUGCUUGUUUAAUACCACAUAACACGAAGUAUGAACUGUUAGAAUUGAGUCACAAUGAGUACCAGUAACUCAGCCUAUGAUUUAUUGUUCCUCGAAAAUUGUUAUCCAUAUUAAAGUUCGAAAAACAAUUUAACCAAAUCGUAUGGAGUACUAUUCAUCCAUUUUUUUGGUCUUUACUUUAACAGCACAACUUAGAGACAUUAUUCAGUUUCUGCAAAUUCUUUUGUCAAAAAUGGCCCAAGGAUGAUUUUUAUUUGAAAACUGCAAUAUUUUUGGUCUCUUAGCUUUUCAAAUUGUCUAAAAUAAUGCUAGAUUUCUGCUCUAGAAUACUAAUUUAGUCUUUCAAUUGUCAACUAUUGCACUGAAUUUUCACUUAUUUAGGAGGUGGCUGGGGAGGGGGGAGGAGAGGGAAGAGGGAGAAGGAGGAGUGGAGAGGAGAGAGAGUUAGGGAGGGAGUAAGAAGGGGAAAAAAAAAAGAGGGCUCCGCCGGCUACCGUGAGCAGUGGGGAGGGAGGGAGGAGGAAAAUCAAUGAGGUGGAGGAUAUGAAGAGGAAAGGAAAGAAAAGAAAAAGAAAAAAGAGGAAAACUUUUACACAUCUAAAAAAGUUUUUUUUUUAACAAAUUUUACAGUAAGAUACAGUAAAAUUUUAUAGAUUAAUCUUUCCUACACCGACAGUGUAUAUACUACACUUGGGAUUCUCGGUGACAUGUUUUCUAUGCCAACCCAAUGCCACCAAUAGUGUUGCGUCAAGUGUCAUGUUAUUAUUUACACUUUAAUUUUCUAAUAAUUCAACUUGACUUGGUUUAACACAAGUGUAAAUAAUAACAUGACACUUGGCGCAACACUAUUGGUGGCAUUGGAUUGGCAUAGAAAACAUGUCACCGAGAAUCCCAAGUGGUAUAUACUAUCAGCGUUGGAAGAAUGACAACUAUGCAAAAUUUUAAUUUGAAAUUCAACUUUUGCACACAUGUUAUAAAUCCAACGAUGAUAGUGUAUACACCGUCAGUGUAAGAAAGAUUUACUCAAAUUUUAUACAAACACACAAAAAAUUCACUCACUAAAUAGGGCUUUCAUAACACAAAACCUGGUAGCACUACUCACUAUUUCAGUACACAAAUAAUCAAGAGUUAAAACACACAUGAGGAAAGCCAAGUUCCAAAGCCAAUUCGCAGCUGGUUCUAGUUAAAGGGAUCUUCCUCUGACCUGCUACCACAUCCCUUGCAGAAGCCAACACAGAGAAACUAUUUCCACAGCCGAGACGUGUCUAUGCUGAAACAUAGCCAAAUUCCCUUGCUCUCCUUAUCUAGUAUGCCACAAUUUUUUAAAGAGAGAGAAAUAGAGAAUUAUAUUUGGAAAUGACUGAAUUCCAAGAUUACAUGCAUCUAUCAGAAACUAAUAUUAUUUUGUGGAUAUGAAAUUCAAAAAUCUAAAGAAGUGGGUCGUCUUUGAAUAAUAAAAACUAAAGGGCACCCACACUUUACAUAUGAUUUAGACAAAAUAAUAGUAAUUUGCCAUAAUCAACGCUUUGGAUGAUGCUAUUGGACGUUCAAAAAGAAUUAAAGAUCAAGCGCAAACGUGUUGGUACUAUAUUAUGAAUUGGUUUAACAUUAAUUUGCCUGUAACCUCCUAUACAACUUGCAAAACUAAGCAUAAAUGCAUGGGGCCCAAGCACUAAUUAUUUGAGCCAAGAUUAUUUUCCACUUUGUGUGAAGACAAAAGCAUGUGGGAUGUUCCAAGGAGCCCUUCCUGUGGCCGAUACAAAUACAGCGUUCAUGAACUAAUCCCCAAAGGACCUCUUCGUGUUGUCUGUAUCACCUGUUUACCUCCAUUCAUAGUUGCCAUUGUGUUCGUUCUAUGCAUCCUUUUGUUUGGUUUAAGAUUCCUCAACUCGAGGUGGGAAUUGGGAUCUUUUUGUUUCGAAAGAAAAUAUUUUCCAGAAAAUAUUUUCCUGAUUUUCCAUUGUUUGAUUGGGUUAUUGCUUGCGAAAAUUUUUCAUAUAAAUGAAUUGAAGUUAUUUUUCAUGUCCGACUCGUAAGGCUAUCCAUUCUAGCUCCCUUCUUUGCUGUUUUCUCUCUCCAUUUUUCUUUGUCCCUGUCUUUCUUUCUCUCAGAUACACAGACCAUACGCACUUAUGGAGAGAUCUAGACUUGAAAUUGAAAGGGGCUAUAGGGAGAUCGUGAAGGAUGCCAGAGAAAGUUUUGAUGUAUGAAAAUGAAAUGAAGUUGUUAAUCUUGUGCUAAUAUACUGUAAAUUUGAGGUAUGUUUGUUCAACGGACAUUAACGGUUACCGUUUGGAUUGCUAUUUUCUAGAGCUUUUGUAAAAAGAAAAUGUACCGUAAUGAUUUGACAGAUAUAAAAUAAAAAGAUGAUCACGAAAAACGUAAAAAUUUUUUGAGGGAAAAUGGCUUUCCAAACAAUUGCUGAAAUGUUGAUUAUGGCGGAAGAACGGUGGUUUUUAGGUAAGAGCCUGAAAUUUGGUACGGACUUGUGAACUAGAGGAUAUCUUAACUGCCUGAACAAGAGUAAGUUCUGACAGUGGAUCCCUCAAGAAUUUGUCAUCCAUAAGUUAAUAAUUAUCAACCAACGUACAUAGUAGUUAACAAAAUGUACCUGUUUUCAAAAAUUAGUUUUUUUAAAUAUUAUUAAAAUUUUUAAAAAUAUUUUAAAAAUUAUUCUAAAAAGUAAUCUAAAUUUUUUUUAAUAUUUAAAAAAUAUCUUAAAAUAUAUUCUAAAACUCUUCUACUCUUAAAUAUUUUAAAAUAUAUUAUAAAAAUUCUGAUAUAAUAAAAUUUUUUAAAUUAUUUUAAAAAAUAGCUAAUCCAAACGAAAAGAAACCGGACGUUCUUGUUCUCAGGUUUUCGCUUUUCGGCACGAGAAACCCACAAAACACUACAAAGUGGUGGCAAACAGCACUGAGACGGAGAGUGGAUUAAUCCGGAGAAGAGAAGGGGGUGUCGAUUGUCGAAAAUCACCUGGUUCAUAUUUCGCGCCCUGUCGUUUUGCUGAAUCAGCGUGUGCUGGAAUAGUCAGGCCCCUCCCUCGACAAUAAUGGAAUUAGCUGCCGCGCACGUACGUACCUAUGCAUGAAAACUGACUUCACAAGCUUUAUAGCUGUCCCCUCCAUGGAUAUGAAUAUGAAUCAGAAUCUGAAUCAGUCACUCAAAACUUUAUUAUCUCUGAACGAACGCCCAUAAACAGCCCCUGAAACAGUAAAUUCUGGCAGCUGCUCUUUGUCGUAGAUGCCAAAAAUGGUCCUUGGAACAUUAAUUCCGUGAAACAGUAAAUUCUGCCAGCUGCUGCUCUCUGUUGAUGAUGCCAAAAAAAUGUCCUUGCCUACUUAAAUCAAUUUUGAACCGACUCAAUUGAAUCAAAUUCAAUGACUUGCAUUUUUUCUGUGAACCUCCUUAGAUUCAUCCCUCUUUAGAAUUUAUCGUGUCUGAUAAAAAAAAAUUUAAAUCAAUUUUGUUUUAACUCUCUGUCUAAUCUUCAAGGAUGCCGUGUCACGACUAUCGCUGUGCUUCCUCUCUCCUCUCCGCCAUGUCUGAAGUCUCAACUCUCCUUUCCUCACUUUCAGUUUCAACCACAAGUCACAAGGCUUCAACUCUCCUUUCCUCACUCUCAUCUCCUCCUCCUCAUCAUCAGGCCUAAGAAUUCUUCCUUUUUUUUUUUUUUUCCUUAUCUUCUUUGUCCUCCAGAAGCCCACUUUAAUAUAUUUUUUUUGGGGUAAGUAGCCCACUUUAAUUAGUAUUAUCCUCACGAUAAGUUAGAUGUUUGAACAGACCCUAUUAUUUUGGAAUGCAUUUUUAAAUUAAAGGAAUUAAAAUUAAAUCGAUGAUCUUACAUCAAAGAGAUUUGUCCCAAAAUAUAUAUAUAUAUAUGGGAUGGGGAAGUCGAUUUGGCUUAUAGCAAUAAAAUACUCCUACAAACUUGUCGGUGGUUGGUUGAAAGUUGAAAUAUCUGGCAGAUAUAAUUUGCAGAUGUGUUUGUGUGUCCUCUGACUGAGAAAGAGCAGGAGGUGGAUGGAGAAACAAGGAGGAAGCAAAGUCGAUAUAAAGAAUCAAGGACUCGGCAUAACUAAAGAAAGAAAGGGUGGUGACAACCGGGUCGGCGAGGUUCGGGGUGGGAUUUGUUGGAGGGAUGGGGACUAGCUAAGAUUGGUGGAGAAGGUGAUGAUGGUGUUCAGUAGUUCGGCAAGGAUUGAGUUAAAGUGCAUUGUGGAGGAAGGAACGAUUGCUAUGCCUUUGUGCAAAGUUACGUCAUCAAAGUUUUCCGACUCCAAAUGGGGUGAAAGUUCUCAUGAGCUAAUGCCUCAUGAAUUUUUAUUUUUAAAUAUUUAAAAAAUAUAAAAAUACACACACACACACCUACAUAUAUAUACACGUGUGCAUGUAUAAUAUUAAAAAUACCCAAAAAAUAAAGAAAAAUUAUAACCAAUGCCAUCCCAUGAACAGAAACCAGCAAAUCACUGUAAACUUCGAUGAUUAUUUGCACAAAAAAACUCGUUGUUAUCCCGCAAACUAACGAUCACAGUUGCGAAAACUCUUUUCUUGUGGUGUGAGUUUUGACUAUCAAAGCAAGUGUCUUUCUCCUAUUUCUUUAGAAUAUCCUCAAUGUGAGGAACAAAGUUUUGAAAUUUCACCUCCUUUGCCAACUUAAAUUUGUAGGCUAAUAUAAGAAAAGUUUUCAGAAAUUGCAAGUUCAAUUUGAGGGUCUCAACUUUCUUUAGGCAAGUGAAGGGAAAAUCCAGUUUGGAUGUUUUUCUGGAACUUAAAAAAAGGGGAAAAAGUGCUUGGAUUUUAAAUGUAUAGAUUUUUUACGUCUAAAAAAAAAAAAAAAAAAAAAAACUCACCCAAACGUCCAGGCGUUUGCCUCGAUUCUUGGGGCAAAAUGUCCCAUGAUAUUAACGCCCCAUUUAACUGUCCAGGAGUAAUUCGAGAAUGUCUUGCCCUGAAACUUACCCCAAAUAAACACUGAUCUUAAACAGAGAGAGUUAGAAAGACAACUUUCUUGGAUAGAGGACAUGAACCACUUUCUUUCUGCCACUAGCAUGUGCCACUAGCAACUUUCUUGAAUCCUAUUUUGCAAGUUAUCAAUUUUUGGUUACUUUUAUUCUUGGACAUGGACCAGUCCAACCAGGCAUUAACUAAGCGGUCCAUACCAAUAAUUCUGAUGUAAAUCUUUCUUCUUUUUUUUUACCAUGUGCCUUUUUUGAUGAAAAAGAUAGACACAUUUUAUUAAUGAUGCUACAGGAAAUCGUCCAUGAGUUGCUUGACAAAAUUUAGAAGGGAAUUUCAAAGAGAUUAAAAAAGAUUAGCACUCUUAGCAUGAUGGGUUAAAGUAUGCGCUACCUUAAUUUGCUUCUCUUGGAAUCCAUUGAUUCACUGAAUAUCAAUACAAAGCUGAUCUAAUAAAGCUAAAUGUACAUCCUCAAUAAUUGGACCUAAAUCAGAUAGGAUGUCUUCUUUGUCCUGUCUUCUUUAUCAUGAAUAAAUCUUAUGAUUGAGGCUGCGUCUCCCCGCAAUUUUGGAUCAUUUGUGGGCCUGAAUCAAAUAACUCCCGGGAACGAAUAUCACAAUGGACUUGAUUGGAACGAAAAUGCCUUACCAAUCCCACAAUCCAUUCCAGUUCAAGUUAAGAUCAGCAAUAUCGUUAAUUAGCCGCUUAAGCUUUGUUUAAUCAUAACUUACCCCUAUUGUCUUACAUCUUAAGCAGAUACUCUUUUGGUUUUUUCAUCUUAAGCAGUUACCAUUUGCUACAUCGCAGUCAAUUAAAUAGUUAAACAGAAAAUCUAGCAUUUAUACUAAAUAAAAGAAUUUUAAUGAUGCAUAUUAUUUGCUGCAAUCCUUAAACCAUCCAAGCCUAAGAAUUAAAAAUAAAAGGUCUACAUGAAUAAAAUAAAAGAUUGGAGAUUAAAGAUGCUUUAGAAAAAAAAAAAAAGGUUAAUUCAAAGGACUAAAUGAACUACUUGCGAGAUCUUUUUGUCCUUCCAGAUUAAAUGAUUUGUCGUUAAUAGUAUUGAAAUAGUUAAAAAUUAAAAUUAUUGGGACUAAAUGUAUUUUCAUAAAACUUUGAAGGCGAAAAUGGUGUAACCCCAUAAGUUAGAGGUAUAAAGUGUCAUCUUUUCCAUUUGUGAAAUUUGCAAUUGGUUUGCUGACUUUCUGUCAAAUAUUUGUACAUUAAUUAAUUUUUCUAUAUACUGACAAUACAUACCAUCAAAGUCGGAAGCAUAACAACUGGUAUGAAUUUCAGUUCGAAAUAUAAAUAUUUUGCAUACGUAGUGUCCAUCAAAUUCAGACCUUAAUCGAUCCAUCUAUCUAUGAAGGAAACAGUGGACUCUGUGGCGAGCCACUCCCAAAUGACUGCCUGGAACAUAAAUUGCCUACGAAAAAUGGGCAUAUUCAUGAUGAUAUAGGUCACGGCGAGUCUCAUUGGUCUUGGUUUUAUGCUGGUAUAGGACCGGAUUAUGCUGUCGGGCUAUUGGGAGUUUUGGGAAUCCUUCAGUUCAAGAAGUCAUGGCGCUAUGCAUACUUCAGGUUUCUGGAAAAUGCCUAUGACAAAAUCUGCGUAAUGAUUGCAUUGAAGGCCAAUCAGCUGAGGAGGAAUUUCCAUUGAGUAAUGCCCUGUAAAAGCACAUUUAUUUUGUUUUUCAUAUCACGCAGCAGCAGCAUACUCUCCUUGAGAAUUUACAGAACUAUGGUAAUUUGUAAUUUGUUCUCCAAACGUUUCUAAAGAUUUGUUUUAUGCGUCCCAACUUGACCGAUUCUUAUUCAAUAAGAAAAUGAUAGCUUAAUAGUUUUCUGUUCUUUUUUUUUUUCCCCAAGACUAAGAAGCUCAAUAAGUUAUAAUUAUUUUUCUGUUCACAUUGGAAUGCAUUAAAUAUUCUAUAUCGAGCAAUUUAUAGGUUGUUUAUCUUGCUUACUGAUCGAAUUUUUGUGUCAACAGAUUUAAACACUUUAGAAGAAUUCUAUACUUGUUUAUGCUAAUAAUUGAUUUAGUUGUUUAAUUUCUAAUUGAUAUACAUUCUAGCUUUUCUGCCAACAACUCUUAUGAAUUACCAACUACUGAUUUUCAGGUGUUACAUUAAUUCUACCCACCUAAGUUUCACUCUCGAAACUUAAUUUGACCAGAUUAGCAUAAAAACAAACUGCACUUUCAAUUAUAUCACUUUACAUGAACAAAUAUUAAUUAAACUACUAGUAUUUAGGGCACACACCAAUGUGUGUACACCUAAUAAAAAACAUAUUAUUAAAAUUUUGAGUAAAUUUUUUGAAAUCAUUUCAAAGGAAUUGGUUUUAUAUUUUUGACAAUGGGUAUUGGAAAAUUCACGAAAAUAAGUGUACAAAUAGAUAGUUGUUUAGCAGUAAUCCAUAACCAUAAUCGAUAGUUGAUUACAUUGGGUAGCUAGCAAGGUAAGUUAAAAAAUAAUAUAAAAUGACAAAAUUUUAUUUAUACCAAAAGCCCUCUCCCCCUUUAUAUAUUUACAACAAAAGCUUUCUCCACCUUUACAUAGAGCAUGGAUAUUAUUUACUCAAGGACAAUUCAUGUCCCCCCCACCCCUCCUUCCCCUCCUCGCCUUUUUGGUCAAUCGUUAACUCCUAUUACUACUCCUACUCUAACCAAUAUUAGGGAAUGAUCCAACUGGACCAAUGGGGCCGGAGAAAGAAGAUCUCACCUGUAUAUCAAAGAGGUUCACUAGACCAAAGAAGGGUUGCUUCAUGUUCAAAUCUGCUAUGCUUUUUACGAGGCCAUAGAAAUUUCAAACACCUGAUGCCCAUUACGUUUCCCUUGCGUCAACAUUAAUCCAAACAUCAAGAAGUAAUUCCACUUAAUUAACCUUAUUUUCAUUUGAACUUUGGUUAUAUCUAAAGUGAUAAUCAUGUCUUCCUAUUCAUUAAAGUAAUCUACUAUCAAUUAAAACUCCACUAGUAAAUUCCGUGCUCUCAUUUUCUGAUUUGCCAGAUUCUCGGUUGCACCCCGAAUUUACUUCAUAGUAUAUGCCAUCACAGUGGAUCUAGAAAUAUUAUAACAUAACCGCCUAGAAAUUUCUUCAAGAUAUAACCCCUUUCAAUAACUUCACCUACUCAUGAUUUUCAAUCUUGAAUUACCUGUAGUUUUAAGAUUCAAAUCAAGUGAUCAUAAGCCAUGUGAGAAAAACUAAUGAACAUAAAUUAAAUUUCUAACUCAUUGAUCGCCAUAAAUGGUCCUAUUAGAAACUAAUUCUUGCAAUCAAUAAUUGGUAGACAUGAAAUAAAAAUGUGUCCUAGGCCUCCUGAUCUUCUAAACAAACAUAUAAGGGCAGAAGGGGUUUCAUGAACAUCCUCCCAAUGAGGAAUGUUAUAUGAACAGAUCCCAAUCACAAAUUAAAGAUUUGUGAAAAAAGUGAGAAACUCUAAACAACUGGGCAAUUCCAAUAAAGUUUGGUAAAAUUUGAUAAGAGAAUGAGAUAUUACUUAGGCCCUGUUUAACAAAUAAUUCCCAAUAAAUAUUUGAGUGAAACUUAGGCAUCAUUUGGCGAAUGAAUUUUUUGCGUGUUUGUCUAAAAUUUUACUGUAACUUACUGUAAAAAUUGUAGGAAAAAUUUUUAAAAUGAAAAACUUUUUCUUUUCUUUUUAUUUCUUUUUCUUUCUUUCUUUCUUUUUUCUUUUCUUUCCUUUCUUCUUCCUCUCCCUUCCCCGUCCCUUGCCACCUCUCCCUUCCAGUUGGAACAAGAAUUUUUUUUUUUGCUCUCUUCUCUCUCCCGUCCCCUUUCUCCCCUUUUCCGGGUGCUUUCUAGUCGUGCGACCAAAUCGGGCAAAGGGGUAUGGGAAGGAUGGUGGGGGAGGGAGAAGGGGGGAGAGAGGUGGCGUGGAAGAGGGUAGGAGAGAGGGAGAGGAGAGAGAGAGGAAGAAGAGAGAGAGAGAAAAAAACAAAAGAGGUGGCCUGCGGCUCCGAUUGCGGUGGAAGGAGAAAUGAGGAAGAAAUUUUUUUUUUGUGUUUUGGAUAUUUUGAAGUAUAUAGUUUAAAUAUUUUAAGGAGUUUUUGAAAUUACUAUAGUUAAAGUUGUUAAAAAUUUGGUAGGAAACAAACUUAGACAAAAUUGGUUUGCCAAACAGGCCAUUAGUUCUAGGAAUGCUUUGAAAAUCCUUGUUAGAGGGAUAGUGAAAUUCUUGUUAUCCAUUGAUAGGGUACUUUUAGUUGGUACAAUUGCUUAUAUUUUUCUUUUUAUUUAUACCAGAUAUCACCCUAUUUGACUGGUUUUACCCACAAUUGGUUUUUUUGCAUUGAUUUCAGAAAUUUGAGCGAAAAACGCUUAAAUGGAGGAUUCCUAACAGUUUGCACAUGGGCACGCCUAAGUUCAAGGUUCAAAGCCAGAAAAUUGAGCAGGGAUGUCAGACAGUUUCCCAAUCCAAGUCAAAUUAAAAAAAUUGGCAGCUGCUGAAGUUUCCUAUUUCUUUGCAGUCCACGUCAAUCUCGAGCAAUUGGAAAGCUCCUAGGACAUUGAUUUGUAAUAGGAACCCUUUUUAGGAGUUUUAUUGGUAUGAGGAGACCAAUCAAUUAAGAAGUCGACUAGGGAUAAUUCGGAGGGGGAAUGCUUUUUGCUUGAGAAAAACAUAGUUGUUCUUCUUUUUUCUUUUUGGCCAAAUUGGAGAAAAAAAACAAUUGUAAGCUUCGAACAGAUUAUCUUUUGGCAUGGCUUGUUCUCCCUUAAUGGAGAACUAAUCUCGUAUCUCUAGUCAAGGAACACUGAGGAUUUGGUUCAACUAUCACUGUGAGAUAUAAUUGAUUUUAUUUAUCUCCUCUAUUCAUUGGUAUUUGUAAGUUUUCUGCUUUAUAAAGUAUGAUUAUUGUGUGUGAUUAAAUAGGUGCGCAAUAUUUAAUUAUACACGUUCUCUAUUUGCUAAUUGGAAUAGUCAAAUCCGUAAUUGUUUGACUACUCUAGUCUUGAUAGCAACUGGAAUAAUUGGGUUUGUGUUGGAAAAAAUAUACAGUCUAAUUUAAAUAAACUCUCGUAGCGUGUUUAUUGAUUAGAGUAGGAUUUCUCUAGUUUCUAAUACAAUUGAGGAAUUAAAUCCUACGGUGGCACUUAGGGUUAUUCCUAAAUUAGAGAAAUAGUCAAUGAUCGUACCUUGACUAUCGAAACAGAAAGGAGAAACUGAUUGUCAGAUCGUAUCAGCAGUUAAAAACCUGUUUACUAAUGAAUGUUGGGAUUAUAAUUGCAUCAAUGAUUAGUACCUGAACCACCUCUGAAGUAAAACCUUGGCUAGAGCUUUUUCCCAUUAAUUGUCUCCCCCAAUCUCUUUUGCGUACUUUAUUACCUUAGUGAUAUUCCACUAGUUUUUAAUUCUUGACAAUAAAAACCCCCUCCUCUUUGACUUGAAAAAAGAGCAAAUAAUCCCCAAUCCCUAUGGAUUCGAUCCUGCUCACCGUUGUAUACAAAAUUCAUACUUUUAUUAAGUAAGUUUUUAUUGCACAGGCUCGACACCUGUCAUCCAUUAAUAUCUAAGGUCGUGUUAUUCAAUAAUGGUAAUUGCGAAAAUUUUUUUGCUCUUUUUUAAUUGAUUUUUAUUCAUAAAUUCAAGCUAUUAUUCAAAUUAUAGUAAUUUAUUGUUGAAUUUGGCUAGGUAUAAAGUUAAUUGAAGAUGCAUAAAAGUUUCAUAAAUAAGGCGGCCUGUUUAGACUUUGUUUUCGAUGAUGAUGUGUCGAUUAUGUUUGUGAACUUUAAUGACACAAAGGGAAUAUUUUGCAUCUGGGGACGAGUCCGGCAUCUCGCGCUGGAGUUGAUACCCGCGUAGUAAAAUAGUAAUCCAAUAUGCAAUUAACGAAUUUCUUAUGUUUAGUUAAGAAGAAAGCGGAAGAAAACAAGAAUAUGAGAACAGAUGGAAAUUAAUGUAAAACAAAGGAAUAAAAGGCAAAUUACAAUUUAUCUCCUAUGAUUUAGUAUUUUUAUACAUAACUCUCCUAUAGUUUUAAAAAUUAUAUAUAACCCUCUCAUAAUUUGAAUUAAAGCGUCAAAAUGAUGAAAAUGAUCAUUUGUAAAAGAACCUAUGAAAAUGUCGAAAUUACCCUUGUUUAAAAACUCAAAUGGUUGAAGUGAUCAACAUAUAUAAACAUAACAUGCAUGACACUCUAACCCGUAUAAUUUUACAUGUUACCAUAUAACCCUUUUAUGAUUUAAUGUUUUAAUAUAUAACUCCCUUAUUGUUUUCACUAUAUAUACAUAACUUGCUUGUAGUCAAUAAAUAAUUUUCAACUUUAUAGAGGGGCAUUUUUUAUAUUUUAAUUGACUCCGUCAUAGAUUGCAAAUUUCGUUACUUUGAUACUUUAAUUCAAAUCAUGAGCAGAUUAUAUAUAAUUUUUAAAAUUAUGAGAAGGUUAUGUAUAAAAAAUAUUAAACUAUAGGGGGAUAAAGUAUAAUUUACCUGUAUAUAUGCAGCGUCCCGCCCCUCUCCUGUCACUGGAUUGGGAGGACUGUAGUAUGAAAGGCUGCAUGCAUGCAACGUCCAGCCUCUCUACAAGCAUUUAGAACCAUAUAGAGAUGAUGCUUUAUCUGAGCUUACUUUAUCAGACGACCAAUGCCAAAGAAAUUGGAUACGCAUCUCCUUAAUACUACUACUCCAUCAUUAUUAGCUAGUGUUAUUAUUGAUUUGGUAGUAGUAUUCCUGUCACUUGGCUGCAUUAAAUAAGCUCAUUAAUCAAUUACCCUGAUUGUUUAUUCCAACAAAUUGCCGAAUAAUGAUAUUAAUUAAUACUUACUCCAUGAAGUAUGUAACUACUGCUGCUGCAGCUUAAGGGAUUCAGAUUUUCUGUAAUCACAGCAGUGUCAACAGCGUACACUUAGUUGUGGCUUGAAAUUAAAAAGAUAGAUUGAAUAGAUGACACAUGUUUGUUUUUCAUCGAGUGAUAAAAUUUAUUAUGUAUUCUGUAGUUAUUGUUGCAGUAUCUAUAUAUCUACAUAUUUGGUCUUUAACAUUUAAUAUUUACGUCCAUUAUAUUCUGUAGUUAUAUUGUUGUAAUGAUUUCCACGAUGACUUCCAAGUCAUCGUGCCUGUUUCAAGCCACCGUGAGCCAUCGUUCCGAUCAAUGGAGGUUCUUGCGUGAAUAUGUUUGUAUGGGAGAACGAAUAUGUAUCUAAUGAUACACAGAACAACUGAAAGAAAAAUGCUUAUAACAUUUGUUUUGCUGAACAACAGACAGAAAUUCAAAAUCAAACAAGUACGAUUGAACUUCAUGCGACAAUUUUAUUUAAUUUGGGCAUGGAUGACCAGCCCGUUGUUUAUUUAUUUAUCAUUUUCCUCUCCGGGAUUAACAACCAGGAGUACAUUUGAUUUCAUCCCUCCUUCGGUAGAUAGCGAUCGAGAGGAACUGAUCAGACAGCACCAGCAUAGGACCGUAGCAUGGACUUGAAAGUUACCUCGUGAUGAAGGUAGGGGAAGACCAUGAUGCCUCCAUAAACAGAAGAGUUCUUCAGAUAGGGAAGAACGUCAUCAACUAGCACAUUAGGUGGGAUGUAACCGCCCUCAGGUGCGAUAUCCUUGGAUAUAGGUAUUCCCAGGAACAAUAGAUUAACGCCUCUAUAAUUAGACCACCUGUCCCAACUCCGGAAGAGGAGACUGGUAUCCUUUGGAGGCCUAAUCUGACAAGAUGGGUUGUCGAAAAAUUCCACCCGCACCUGAUCAACGAGUCCAGUUUUGAUAGUUGCGUCAAGAGCAGGGUCAGGAAUAGGACAUUCCGCCGCUACAGCUAAGAUCACAUUUGGGUAUCCCUUAAGUGCCCGAGCAAGAUCAUCCAAGUAAUUCGUGUUUCCGCUGUGGAUGUGAAGCUCUACGCCAUCUAAAACAGCUUUGCCGAAUGGACGGUCGCUUGACUGACCGCCUAAGUAAGUGUUCCAGAUAUAGGCUGCCACUUCUUCUGCAUCUUCGACGGAAGAAAGCCUCGGAGGUCCUGCGAGAGAAAUAAAGACUUUGGUCUGAUGUUUCUGGCAAGAUUCUAUGUCUGCUGCGCUCGGUCGAGGAUGAAUUAUGCUCAAUUGAGGCAUCUGGCCACUGCCGAAAUCUUCCAGAAAGGCAAUAUUAACGUCGGUAGCGAAUUCUCGCCUGCAGAACUCACUCACACUUUUUGGUUCUGUAUGGCCUCGGCCCCAGUAUCGGACAAUUCCGGCAGCUUCGGAGGACCCAAUCAGAGAAGCAAUCAACAACAGGAAUGUUAUUGCUGAGAACAGUGGUUGCAAAGAGGCAGCCAUUUUCUUUUCUUUCUUUUCAGUGAUUUUUGCAGCUUUGCUUUGGUGAGUUCACUUGCACAAUGACUGACCAUUUUAUAGAUGAGUUUAUCUCAAGUGGAUGUUCAGCAUCUAGAAAAUCCAAACAUCCGUACAUGAAAACGUGAAUGGCAUGGUAUUAUUUUUCUGUUUUUAAUUUUGCGGGAGACUACCGUUGUACUCGCCUAACCUCAUCCGCAACUGGAUGAAGAAAGAUUUUUUUUUUGGACGUUACAUGGCAGCUAUAGGGGGAAGGGGAACAGGUCCAAAGCCAAGCUCAAAAGCCAAUUCCCAGUUGGUUGUAGUUAAAGGGAUCUUCCUCUAACCUGCCGUCACAUCCUUUCCAGAAGCUAAGACAGCAGAAACUAUGUCCACAGCCGAGAUAUGUCUCUGCUGAAACAUAGCCAAAUUCCCUGCUAUCCAUAGCUAGUAUACCACAACAUUAUUGAAAGCCAAUCCCCGGACCUGACCAACAAAUGAGUUUUGAGUGGCAGUCCAGGUGCAAAUGCAACCUCGUUGUGAUACAACACGGAGAAAAAGGUCUAAUGGUUAAGGCCGAGAUUUCAAUAAUUAGAGAUGUUUUAGGCUCAAAACCCUCUUUGCUUCUUAAAUUCCACCCUUCAAUCCUACGUUAUUGAAGGCUCAAAACAUAUUGAGCCUUCAACUACUCAUCCUAUUUUUCUAGAAUUUUAAUUAUUUUUUCAAAAAUUGAUUCAUGCCUUCCGUUUGGAUUCACCAUAAUGUCAUGCAAUGCUUUGUUGCUUUUAAUUCCUUAAUUUUAACGUAGCCCCAAACAUGGCAUACAAUAGUCACUCUCAAAAUAAAUGCAAGUAAUUAAUCAUACCAAACAUAACGUUUGGAUUAGGUAUUGUAGCAUACCUUAGUUUUAUUCUGUUCCCUGUUUUACUUAGUUUCAAGCAUGCCCUACAAUGUUCAAUAAUGCAAUUAAAUAAACAUACCAAAAAUAUCUAUACAUAUUUGAAACUAAAAAUAAUUAUAUCCAUAAUAAUCAAUAUAAAAAAUUGACUAAAAUACAAUCUUUUACUAACAUAAACUAAUAAUUUAAGUUCUUGUCCUCCAAAGAAAUAACAAUAGUCCAAAUCAUACAAGUUGAACAGCUUAGCAAAAUUAGCACAAUUGACUAACAAACACAACACAGAAUUACAAAAUAUUCAACAUUUUUGUAUUCUUUUUCUAUCUAAAAUUUACAAAUCAUACCCCAAAAACAAAAAAAGAACUAAUCUAAGUUCCUAUCCUCCAGAGAUAUAACACGAUUCCAAAUCAUAUAGUUGAACAAUUUAGCGAAUUAGCAAAAUUGACUGAAAAAAUACAAAAAGAGAACAACAAAAAUUUCAAUAUUUUUUGUGUUGCUUUCCUAACAAAAAUUUACAAAUCAUACCCAAAACAAAAAAAAAUGAAAUAUACUUACCAGAUACUUCAAUUUUUAGAAUCAUCAUGCACAAAAAAUAAAAAAUAGCUCUAAAUUUCGGCCUAAACCUAGAUCUAAAAGUGGACCUGAAUUAUAUAUAAUCGGACGUUAUUCAUGCUAUUAGAAUUGUUAGAUUUUGUUAGAGAAUAAAAAAGAAAUAUAAUAUUUUUACCUAUUCUUUUGUUGAGCAAUUAGAAUCAAAAUUAUGUCAUAGUUAUGACUAAAGAAAUGGAGAAGGAUAUUUUGCAACUACUUAAAGUUCUUAUUUAAACUAAAGACAUUGAAACUAUGAAAAUUAGUUUAGAAAGGAUAAUAUGAAAAUAAUGCACAAAAUUUGGCUCCAUAGAUGCAGCAUCUACAGAAGGGACGAUUUGCAUUCAGGGGUUGCGGAUAGGGGUGGGCAAAAUUAUCCGCUAACCCGAAAACCCGUCAUACCUGAUCCGAUCCGAAAAUUAGGAUAUUCGAUUUUUAUUAUUUGAUCGGGUUAAAAGAGAGUCGGGUAUCCGCUAAGAUGCGGGGCGGGUUAGGAUCACAUAAUUAAAAAUGCGCGGGUGCCCGAUCCGCCCCGCAUAUAUAUAUAUUUUAUUUUAUUUUUAUUUUUAUACACACACUAUAAAAUAAUAAGUUAGAACUAAAUAAGUAAUUUUAUUGAACAAAUUGCAUUACAAAUAUGAGAGACUAUAGUUUAUUUAUAAGAUUCAUUUGUAAAGGCCAAUGAUCUUAUAUUUUAUAGAAAAAAGUUUAAUUAAUGUGGAACAUAUAUAUUAAAAAUUGUGCUACUUAUUUCAAACUUUUAUUGAUUUUGAAUUCUUUUAAUUUUUUUUCCUUUAUCUUAUAUUCUCUUCAUAUGCUUGUUUCUUGGUGGGAAACCUUUUUUUAGAAAAAAAAAUUAUUAAAUCUUAGAUGAAUGUGUAAAAUAUAAAAUUAAAUUGGUAUAAAUCAUUUUUUUAAAAAAAUUAAAUGAUAAAUGGGGCGAGACGGGUAUCCGCUGAUCCGACCCUAUCUAACGGGUACCCGCUGAUAUGCAGGACAGGUAAAAGUCAGAAAAUGGCUGACCCGCAAGAUGCAGGUCAGGUCAGCCAAAUGGUGAAUGGGGCGGGUACCCGACCCGCGCCCAUUCCUAGUUGCGGAGAUAUGGAAAAGUAGCAUGGAAUGGGGUUAUUGCAAGGUAGAGCAUGAGGACAAGGGAAGAAGGAAGUAGGAAGGUGAUGAGGUGGGGGUUGUCAGAAAAGUUAAAGGAGGCUUGUUUGGACAGUAGAAAAAUUACUACGUUUUUCGUGAACACAUUUUCUUAUUAUCUUUUUAUUUAAUAUAUAUCAAAUCGUUGCAAUAAUUUUUCUAUAAAAAAUUCAGAAAAACAAAAUUAAGAAUAAGGAUGUUUGUUAAACAAAAAUUAUAUUAGUCAACUGUUUGGAUGGGAGUGUUUUUCAAACACUAGUUUUUCAAAUAUAAUAAAAAUUUUUAAAAAGUACUUUAAAAGAUAAUCUAAAAAUAAGUUUAAUUUUUAAAAAAUUUUCAAAAUAUAUUUUACAAACUCUUUUACUCUUACGUAUCCCAAAAUGUUCUCUAAAAAUAUCCCAAAAUAUGCUCUAAAAAUUUUGCUACAGUAAAAUUUUUUCAAAAAUAUCUCCAAAAAUAGUUAAUCCAAACAAUUUAGGAACGAUAAUUCACAAAUGUUACACAAAGUGUGGCUCCAUUUUGAUGGGUUACUUUUAGAAUGGUUUUAGAAAACUUUCAUAAUGGGAAUAUUCUUUUAAAAUCUUUAAGUGUAGUAUUUUUGGGUCCUUUGAAAAUUUUUGGUACGUUUUCAUUGUGGGCAUUGAAUAUAUUUAAAAAUGGUUGGUAAGCAAUAAAAUGAGUCUCCGCAAUAGCAAAAGAUAGUUGGUAAUGGGUCCACCGCAAGGUUGUGGGCUUAGGCUAGUGCGAAGGCGGUGGAGUGUAGGUGGCAAUUGGCAAAGAUUUAAGAUGAGUAAAUUUACUUUGGAUUAAUCUUACAUAUACAAUGUCACCGGUAAAUAAUCUUACAUAUAUACUGUCACCGAUAAAUAAAAAUUUUGGAAAUUUUUUUUUACUCAUAUGUUAUAUGUCUAAUAGCGAUAAUAUAAACGCUGACUGAUAGUGUAUAUAAAAUUUAUUCAUUUACGUUAUAGAAAUAUUAGAUUUACAUGUUAUUAUCAUUUUAUGAGAUUAAAUUUACUUAACAAUAAAAUUUACUUAACCAUAUUAGUUUCAUAUUUCUAUUUUUACCUGUUAAAUUUACUUAAUAAUAUUGCUAUAACAAUAUUGGAUUUGUUUGGAUAAAGUAUUAUUUGAAAUAAUUACUAUAGCACUUUGUACAGUGUAAUAUAUACGAGAUAAAAAGAUUAUUGAAAAUAUAAAAAGACAAAUUAAAAAUGUGUUUCUAAGGUAAAAAAAAAUAUUAUUUAAAAGUACUACGAUAUCCUAUCACAAACGCAAGAUUUUAUUGUUAAUGGACAUAGAUAGACAUGAAAUUGUCCACAAUAAAAAAAAAUAUAUAUUUAGUACAAUUAUACGUUGUUGAAGAUGUUCCAGCUCUUUCUGGCUUUACAUAUAAAGGGCAGCUUUUGACUGUUCAAAAAUCACGUGACUAAUUUCCACAAAUUAUGCGAAUUGCGUGAUGCAGAGCACCUCUGCCUAACCGUUGACUUUUAACAUACCACGUGAUACAGACGUGGAUUGGUUUGAUAGAGUCUGAGAUUUAAAUGUCAAUUAUCCAACAGGGAUCUCAGCAUUUUACUGCUAGCUCAGCUGCUAAGGAAUGAACGGUUCCAGUAGCCGAGAGCAGGAUACGCCUCCCACCAAUGUUUUAAAAACCGGACCGUUAAUCGAAUCGAUGAAGUGAAAGGGUCGAGAUUCAACCGGUCGGACCGGUUCAACCUCGGUUCAAUGAAUUUUUUAAAAAAUAAUUUAUAUAAAUAUAUAUGUGCACAAAAUAAGACAUGUAAUGGAUAAUUUAAUACUUUAUAUGAUGAAAAGUUUACUAUUUUUGAAUAACUUGGAUUUUUAAAAAUAAAUUUUUUAAAUUAUAAGUUAAAACAAAUAAAUUUCAUUUCAAUUUCAAUUAAUAUCUACCAAAAAAAUCUUAAAUAUAAUCCAAAAAUAUCACAAUAUUUGAAAUUAUACAAAAUUCACGUCUAUGAAAUUUAGACAUUGUGAACUUAAAUUUUAAUUUACAUUUUGGAAUUUAAAUUUACAAUUUAAAAAAGGAAGUUUGGAGUUCGAAGAAAAUCAAGAGAAUUGAAAAUAGAAAUGCAAAUUUGAUAAGAAACAAAAAAUGAGAUAAAAGUGAGUGGUUGUGGUAUUAAAUAAAUUGGGUUAAAGAAAAAUAAUUCUUUUUUAACUUUUUUAAAUUUAAUGGACAAAAACAAAAUUAAAAUAUGGAAGAAAACAUCAAUAAAUUAAAAAUAAAGAGAUUUGAUUAAAAAAUGAGUGGCAAAAGAAAAGAUGAUAGAGAGAGAGAGUGUUUGUGUGUGUGUGUUGAAGAUUAAAAAGAAAGAGUCAUGAAAGGAUGAUAUUUUGUAAAAAAAAUGGAACAAAAGAAAUAUGAGUGUUUGUUUUAUAUAAAUAAGUUAUCAAAAAAAACUAAUAAGAUGUGAUAGUGCAAUGGUUACUACAUUGGUCUUCUAUUACAAAGGUCUUGAGUUCGAAUCUUGAUAAUUACAUUUUGCAAAAAAAAAAAAAAAAAAAAAGGAAAACUCAAAAACCGGAAAUAACCGGUUCAAAUCCGGUUCAGAAGGGUUUCGCGGUCCGACCGGUUUUUGACCGGUUUCUUGACAAAGUCAAACCUGGCAGUGAAUCGGACCGGAGCCAUGGCCGGUUCGCGGUUCAACCGGUCGAACCGGCCGGUCCGGUCCGGUUUUCAAAACACUGCCUCCCACCGAGAUUUUCUCAAAAGGAAAUAUCUCUUAAUUUUUCAUGACAGAUUAAAAAAUUUCACUGUAGCAGAGUUUUUAGAGUAUAUUUGGAGAUAUUUUUAGAAAAUAUUUUGAAAUAUUUAAGAGUAGAAGAGUUUCUAAAAUAUAUUUUGAAAAUUUUUUUUAAAAUUUUUAAAACAUUUAAACUAAUUUUUAGAUUAUUUUUUAGAGUACUUUUUAAAAAUUUUUAUUGUAUUUGAAAAACUAGUUUUUGAAAAAGACUCCCAUCCAAACAGAGCUAAGAGCUGGAUAUUGCUGGCCAAAAUAAAUAAAUAAAUAAAAAUAAGAAAUUGGAUAUUAAUUUUUUUAUUAUUUGUUGAUGUUUUAUGAAACAUUCUCUUAUAUCCAGGAGGGGGAGCUGCGGUGUUAAAAUUUUGCGUCAUCUUUUAUAUUACCUUUUUUGUUCUCACACUAGGGUAAAAUGGCCUAACCAUAUUCAAAAAUUACUUUUUCUAGUUUUAUGUGGAAUUUUUAGCUUUGUUGCUAAUCAUUAUAAUUAAAGGUAACUAAUGAAAAAUAACUACUCGUAUAUGUCGUAUUUUCACAAAAGAUUAUAAAAACAUAAAUUUUUUUCAACAUGUAAAACUAAUUUCUAGAAAACUUAUUUUAAUAACUAGGUUAGGACUGAUUUUUUUUUUUUAUCGUAAUGUAGGUAUCAAUAUCAAACUAAAUCCAAAUAAAAAUGAAUCAAUGUUUCCAUUUUAAUUUGUAUGUCACCAAGGAUUUCUCCCACAAGCACGCAAUGAUUUUCCACCAUGAUUUCAAAAUUUUUUCCAUGAAGACUUUUAAGUCGUCAUUGUGAAAUUGCACAAAACCUGUAGAUUAUUAUUAGAAAAUUUAAAAGAAAUAAAAUAAACUAACUUAAAGCUAACAUAGAUGUGCAACAAAAAUUAUUUUACACCUUUCAGGAGAGAGGUCAUUGGAACGAAGUUAAAUCGGCAUUGCAUCUACUGAUGGAAGUGUUAGAAUCGAGUCACAAUGAGGACCGGUCACUCAGCACAUGCUUUGUUGUUCCUCGAAAAUCGUUAUCCAUAUUAAAGCUCGAAAAACAAUUUAAUCAAAUCGUACGCAGUACCAUUCAUCCAUUUUUUUGGUCUUUACUUUAACAGCACAACUUAGGGACAUUGAGUUUCGGCAAAUUCUUUUGUCAAAAAUGGCCCAAGUAUGAUUUUUAUUUGAAAACUACAAUAUUGUUGGUCUCUUAGCUUUUUAAAUUGUCUAAAAUAAUGUCAUAUUUCUACUCUAGAAUAUUAAUUUAGUCUUUCAGUUGUCAACUUUUGCACUGAAUUUUCACUUAUGGAGGAGGUGGCAGGGGAGAGAGGAGGAGGGGAGGAGAGGGAAGGGGAAGGAGAGGUAGGUCAUCUUUAUCUUUAAAUAACCUAAAGGAGCAGGUGAUCUUUAAAUAAUAAAAACUACCCUUUACACAUGGUUUAGACAAAAUAAUAAUAAUUUAAGAAGGGAGAAAAAAUAUAAAAUUUAAGAAGAAGAGAAAAGGCACACGUGAGAUGCACAAGUUGGUCACAAGUUGGAUGAUGCUGUUGGACGUUCAAAAAGAAUUAAAGAUCAAGCGCAAACGUGUUAGUACUGUCUUAUGAAUUGGUUUAACAUUAAUUUGCCUGUAACCUCCUAUAUAACUCGCCAAACUAAGCAUAAAUGCAUGGGGCCGAAGCACUAAUUAAUUGAGCCAAGAUUAUUUUCCACUUUGUGUGACGACAAAGGACAUCUUGGUGUCGUCGGUUUUGCCAAUGUCUCGUCUGUAUCACCUGUUUACCUCCAUUCAUAUAUAGUUGCCAUUGUGUUCGUUCUAUGUAUCCUGUUGUUUGGUUUAAGAUUUCUCCACUCGAGGAGGGAUUUGGGAUCUUUUUGUUUGGAAGGAAAAUAUUUUCCAAAAAAUGUUUCCCUGAUUUUCUAUUGUUUGAUUGGGUUAUUGCUUGCGAAAAUUUUUCAUAUAAAUGAAUUGAAAUUAUUUUUCAUGUCCGACUCGGAUGGCUAUCCAUUCAAGCUCCCUUCCUUGCUGUUUUUUAUCUCUAUUUUUCUUUGUCCCGGUCUUUCUUUCUCUUAGAUACAAGGACCAUGCGCACGUAUGGGGAGAUCUAGACUUGAAAUUGAAAGGGGCUAUAGGAAGAUCGUGAAGGAUGCUAGAGAAAGUUUUGAUGUAUGAAAAUGAAAUGAACUUGCUAAUCUUGUGCUAAUACGCAGUAAAUUUGAGGCAUGUUUGUACGAUGGUCAUUAACUAUUACCGUUUGGAUUGCUAUUUCCUAAAGUUUUUAUCCAAAACUUGUUGGACUUGUGUGGGCCAGCCCAUUUGUGGGCCAACCUAAAACACCAGUGGCUAAGACUCGAGGGCUUCAUGUGACGGAAAAUUCUGGCAGCCGCAAGAAAGUACUUUCAUUUUUUGUGUGAAGAAUUCCAGCCGCACAAGAGAGGAGAGAAACGAAGAGAGAGAAAGCGUGAGAGCUAGAGAGAGAAAAUUCUUUGCAACUUUGAAGCCUCAGUUGGAAGGUGGUUUGAAAUCCGAUUGAGACGAAAUUUUAAACACACGAUCCUCUCGUCAAUCUCUACUCAUCUACAGGUUCAAAUUUCAUAUUUCCUGUUCGUUUGGUAACACCCUUCCAAACUCACUUCUUUGAUAGUGAUAAUUUUUGGGUGUAAUUUUGUAGCAGAUUGGCUUUGUUGGUAUUGGUGAUAUUGUUGUCAUUCGAAUAUUUCGGGUAGACCUGUAUAUUUUCAUUAUUGUGAUAGUGGAGAUUUUGACUGGACUAGAUCCCAUAAUUUUUUUCAAUUUGGGUUUUCCACAUAAAAGUCCGGAUGUCCUGUGCCUUUUAUUUUUCUUGCAUGUUAUUAUCACUACUGGUAUUAUUAUUUGGUGAUUUGGUUUGUUCCUUUUUUAACUGAUAUUUGAGAAAAGAAAAAUUUGUCCUGGACUAACUCUGAUAUUGUGUGACUGUACCGAUACCCUUUUCCCAACAAGUGGUAUCAGAGCAGUCAGGUUAGGCUGCUCAUUUGUACUGGUUAAAAAUGAAUUAUUUGGAUAGUGGUUGCAUGAUAAAAUUGAAUGCUACUAAUUAUUCGAUUUGGAAACCUGGAAUGGAAGACUACCUGUAUUGUAGAGAUUUGUUUGAACCUGUUCUAGGGGAUAAAGGUAGACCAAGUGAUAUGAGUGAUGAAAAUUGGGCUGUUAUGCACAGGAAAACUGUUGGUAACAUUAGAAAAUGGAUUGGUCUGAGUAUUUUUCAACAUUUUACUAAUGACACCAGAGCUGAUAUAUUAUGGAAAAACCUUGAGAGCAUAUAUGAACGGAAGACUGGUUUGAACAAGGCUAGUUGUCUGAAGCAGAUUACUCAGAUGAGAUAUAAAGAUGGGGAAGAUAUAUGAUUGAACACCUCAGUAAUUUUCAGAGAUUGAUAAAACCAGACAACUACAUUAAAUUUGAAUUUGGAUGAUGAAGUGCAGGCUCUAUUAUUAUUUAGUUUACUACUGGAUAGUUGGGAAACCAUGGUGAUCUCCGUCAGCAAUUCAGCCCCGAAUGGUGUGUUGACUAUGGCUAUUGCAAAAGAGGCCGUGAUGAAUAAAGAGUUCAGGAGAAAGGAACAAGGAAUUGUCUAUGAGUCCCAGGCCCUGGUGACAGAAAGGAAAGAAAGAAAAGAGAAAAGCAAAAGUAGAAGACCCCAUAACAAAAAUGACAAAAUUCAGAGGUAGGUCUGAAUCUCGAAAAAAUAUUGUAUGCUAUUAUUGUAAAAAGAAUGGACAUUAUAUAAAGGAGUGCAGAAUCUUAAAAUGGGAACAAGCUGAGAAAAAGGUGAUGAAAAGACUACAGUAGUUGUGGCAGUUCAUGAUGAUAUGUUUGUAUUCUGUGAUGAUGGUCAGGUAAAUAUUAUUCAUUAUGGCAGUGAUUGGGUAGUUGAUUCGGGUGCAUUCUACCAUGUUACUCCUCACAGGCAUUUCUUCUCAACCUACACCGAGGAGAUUUUGAAUAUGUUAGGAUGAAAAAUGAGGUCUCAUGCAAAGUUGUUGGCAUGGGAGACAUAUAUUUGGAUACAGAUACCGGGUGCCAGUUGAUAUUCAUCUUAAUCUUAUUUCUACAGGAAAACUUGACGAUGAGGGUUACCGUAGUUUGCAAGGUGGAGGCAAAUGGAAACUCAGCAAAAAAAAUCUCGUUGUUGCUAGAGGAAAGAAGCAGAGUACCCUCUACUUGAUGCAAACCAAGUUAGGGAAGGGAGAAGUGAAUGCAGUUCAUGAUUCAUCAAUUGACCUUUGGUAUAGGCGACUUGGGCACAUGGGUGAAAAAGGAAUUCAGACACUUGUUCGCAAAUACCUCCUAUCUGAAGUUAGAGGUAAUGAACUUAAAUCUUGUAUUGACUGCAUUUAUGGAAAACAAUACAGAGUUGCAUUUCAAAAUUUUUCUCCAUCUAGAAAAUUGAAUCCGUUAGAAUUGGUGCACACUGAUGUUUGCUAUAUGAAAGAUAAGUCUUUUGAUGGUACUGUUUAUUUUAUAACUUUUAUUGAUGACUUUGGUAGAAAGGUUUGGUGUUUUGUUUUGAAAUCCAGAUAUUAGGUUUUGGAUGUAUUUAAAGAUUUUCAUAGCAAAGUUGAAAGAGAAACUGAUAAGUAGUUAAAGUGUGUAUGUGCUGAUAAUGGUGGUGAGUACAGAGGACCAUUUGAAAUCUAUUGCAAGUCCCGCAGAAUUAGAAAUUUCCCGAUAAACUAUUACGUGAUUGAAGAGCAGAAAUUUCCAUUCCUUAACUUUUGGAACUUUUGAUCUUAAAAACUAGGUACCAAAACCUUUGUUACUUUCUCUAGAUUCUCUCUUUCUAUUGGCAAUUAUUUUUACUCUCUCAAAAGUUUGAUUUCUAAUAAUUCUCCUCUAUUCUUCAUAUUACAUUGCAUUUUCCUAUGUUUCUUUACAUUCCAUACUAUGAGAAUCUUAUUGAUUUUUAUUUACAAUCGAUUAUAAGAAUGAUACGAUGUGAAAUAAUAAUUUUUCUGUUCGCAUUAGAAUGAAUUAAAUAUUCUAUAUCGAGCAAUUUAUAGGUUGUUUAUCUUGCUUACUGAUCUAAUUUUUGCGUCAACAGAUUUAAACACUUUAGAAGAAUUCUAUACUUAUUUUUGCUAAUAAUUGAUUUAGUUGUUUAAUUUCUAAUUGAUAUACAUUCUAGCUUUUCUGCCAACAACUCUUAUGAAAUACCAACUAAUGAUUUUCAGGUAUUACAUUAAUUCUACUCACCUAAGUUUCACUCUCGAAACUCAAUUUGACCAGAUUAGCAUAAAAACAAACUGCAUAAAAACAAACUGCCCUUCCAAUUAUACCACUUUACAUGAACAAGUAUUAAUUAAACUACUGGGUACGUUUGGAUUGGUGUUUUUGAGCCUGUUUUUGAAAAACUGUUUUUCACAUUCCAAAUGCUACAGUAAAUGUGUAUUUCAAAAACAACUUCAAAAACACCAAUCCAAACAAUAUAUCAAAAACAACUCCAAAUAUAUUUCAAUUAUGCAUAUUUAAUUUGUAUAUUUUAAUAAGUAUAUUUCAAUUUGUAUAUUUUAAUUAUGUAUUUUAUAUGUAUAUUUCAAUUAUAUUUUAAUAUAUUUUAAUUAUAUAUUUUAAUAUGUAUAUUUCAAUUAUGUAUUUUAAUAUGUAUAUUCAAUUAUGUAUAUUAUAUAUAUAUUAUAUUAAUAUAAAUAUAUUUAUUUCAAUUAUGUAUAAUAUUAUAUAUAUUAUGUCAAUUGAAAUAAAUAUUAUAUAUUUAUAUAAAUACAUUUAUUUAUAUAUAAAUUUAUAAAUAUAUUUAUGCAAUUUUGUUUUAUAAUAUAUAUUAAUAUGUAUAUUUCAAUUAUGUAUAUUAUAUAUAAAUUAUAUUAAUAUUAAUGUAUAUUAUAUAUAUUAUACAUUUCUAAUAUUAUAUAUUUACAUAUACAUAUCAUAAAUAUUUUAUUUUAUUUAAAAUAUAUUUUUAUAUAUUUAUAAUAUAUUUACAUAAAUAUUAUAUGUUAUAUAAAUUAUAUAUAAUAUAAUAUAUAAUUUAUUAUACAUUUAUAUAAAUGCACAUUUAUACAUAAUAUAUAAAUAUUUAUGUAUAUUUAUAAUAUACAUUUAUAUUAUAUAUUAUAUAUAAUAUAAUACAUUUAUAAUAAAUUUAUACAUUUAUAUUAAUAUACAUAAUAUUAAUUUUACAUUUAUACAUAAUAUUAAUACAUGCAUACAUUUAUAUUAAUUAUAUUAAUACAUUUCAACAUAAUAUUAAAACAUAUUUAUAAUAUAUUAAUUUAUACAUUUAUAUAAUAUUCAUUUAUAAUUUAUACAUUUUUAAUAACAUACACUUAUACAUUUAUAUUAUGUUAUAUUAUAUAUAAUAUAACACAUUUAUACAUUUAUAUUAAUAUACAUAAUAUUAAUUUUACAUUUAUACAUAAUAUUAAUGCAUAUAUACAUUUAUAUUAAUUAUAUAAAUACAUUUUUACAUAAUAUUAAUAUAUAUUUAUAAUAUAUUAAUUUAUACAUUUAUAAUAAUAUACACUUAUAAUUUAUAAUAUAUUUAUAAUAUUAAUUUAUAAUUUAUACAUUUAUAAUAAUAUACACUUAUACAUUUAUAAAUAUAUUUAUAUUAUGUAUUAUAUAGAAUAUAAUACAUUUAUAUAUUUUUAUAUGAAUAUAUAAAUAUAUUUAUUUAUAAAUGUAUUAUAAAUGCAUAAAUGUAUAUUUAUAUAAAAAUUAUCAUUUAUAAUUUAUACAUUUAUAUAAUACCAAUCUCCCCCUUUUUGAUGAUGACAAACAAAAUGAAGAUUUCUUUUAUCAAAUAAGUUCAAAUAAAGCUCCCCCUUAGAAAGUGCCAACAUACAAAGAAAUUUCAAUAAAUCCUACUCCCCUUUUUGGCAUCAAUCAAAAACAAACUCCCCCUUUAUUUUUCAAAUCAAGACCAUAUUGCCCAAACAAUCCAGAAGCCUGUGACCACCAGAAAAUAAAUAGCCAUUGUAUACAUAUACUCAGCAAUUUUUUCCUCAGAGCAACUAUUAUCUUAUCAAAAUAUUCAUCCCCAAAGAUACUAAGAGUAAAUGGGGAAAGAGUUAUUUUAACACCACAAUUUCUCAUGGAUACCGGAUUUCUAGAAAAAAUCAUUGUUACAAAUCCAGAGGAUACUCAUUGUCUUGGAACUCAUCUUGGAUAUUUCAUCAGAAAAAUGUUAGACUAUGGACAGUGGGCAACUGUACAUAUCAAAACAGCACCAGCAGAAUGGACAGGACUUUUUGACAUAGAACCAGCAAUACAUAGAAUGAUGAUUACAGUCAGCAAUAUACCACCAGCAAGGAGAACGACAGAAGAAUUAGAGAAAAUCAGCAGCAGUCUUGUGGAAUGUCCAUUAGCAUUAAAAGAACAAUUGAUAAAUGCUAAAAUGAUCCAAUUAGCCUACAGACAUUUCAUAGAUCAAUGGGAAAAUGGAAUUAGGAAAAUAAAAUACAAAAGAUAUAUGUCCCAUACAGGUUUAAAUUAGAAAAAGAUUUCACUAUAAGUACCAAUUAUCCAGAAGUCUUUGAAAAAUAUUUAGAAGGAUAUUAUAUGAGCACUGGAGCAAGACAUUUGGAUAUCGAAGCAGAUGAAGAAUACAAUGAUGAUCAUUAUUGGGAAACAAUGGGACCAGAAGAAAUAAGCAACAUCGAAAAUAUGAUGGAAGGAUAAUUCUUCGGCCAUCUUGUCUAAAGCUAAAAUGUAUAGGUUGGUCAUAAAGCUUUUAUUAGUUACCAGGCCACAUUGUAUAGUUUGGCCAAAUUUAUUUAGAACCUAUGUAUAGGCCGGUCAUAAAGUUAGAAUCUAUGUAUAGGCCGGUCAUAAAGUUUUCAUUAGUUGUCAGCUACAUUGUAUAGUUAGGCAGUAUUGAUUUGAUGUUUUUACGGAUUUCAGUAGGUUUUAAGUCCGUAAAGUUAGCAUGUCAUAUCCACGGACUUCGAGUCAAAAAUUUUUUAAGUCCGCACAGUUUAUACAAGAAGUCUAUAAAGGCAUACGUCCCAAACCAAUGUUGGGUACGAUGCACUUACAUCCUGUAAAUUAAAGCAUCCAAUAAAAACUCCAAUUUCAUACGUUCCUUAGCAGUUUUUUUUCCAAGUUCUUAGCUCUCUCAUAUUGCUAGCAUAAGACGAAAGAGAAAUAAGAAAGUAGAGAUUUAGGCAGCCAACCCUAGAUUAGAUCCAAACAACCGGAAACUUUGAAAAAGAUACCUUGUUUUUAGGAUCCUAAAAGACCAAAAGACGGUGUAGUACCCAUCAAAGCCUUUCAGUUACAAAGCAGGCGCCAGGGGAAGAUCCGGUGAGGCAAAACUCCUAAUCACAAGAUUCCCAUUUUCAUAGCAUCAGAAGGAAAAUUUGGAUUUAAAGCAAGGAAGGUAAAAUCUCAGUUAUCUUUCUUAAAGUAUCUAGUAGUCAUUUAUUUCUUAAAUUCCAGUUAAUCAUCCUGAUAUUUUAUAUGAAUUUUGAACCGCCUUUUCAAUUUACAUCCACUCCAGAAAACGCAUACAGAUUAGCAUUACGAACCCUCAGACAACCAGAUACCUAUUAUUAUUUUGAUAAAAUUUUAGAAGACAUAGAAACUUCAGACCAGUGUCUAGCAAAUAUACAAAUAGAAGAAUCUAGAUUAGUAAAAGUAGCACACCACCAUCCCGCAUCCUUUCUUAGAAAUAUUAGACAAGCAAAGGUAGAUUUACUUUGGCACAGAUACUCUGAAUUAAAAUCUAUUGAAAGACAAAAAUUAGAAGAAAAAGAAGAAUAUAAAAACAGAAGGAAUUCCUGUAAUAAAAUUUGUGGAAUAUCUGAAACAUAGGUCUUUAAUUGGAGCCGUAAAAGUCCAACAUAGUUGUAGCUUGGUUAAUUGGAGCCGUAAAAGUCCAACAUAGUUAUAGAUUUUUAUAGAUUUUGGUAUCAGAGCUUGCCGUCCUGGUGAGCCUGAUCCCUAAAAGUCAAAGAUAGAUAAAAGAUUAGAAUAUUUAGAUCUAGAAAUAAAAAAUAAAUCUAGGAAUAUAAUAACUUUAGAUAAUCAUAAGCAUAUUUGUUAUUUUCAAAACACCUAUAAACACACUUUACAUAGUAAAGAAGAUAAAAAUUAUAAUAGUCUUAUUGAUCUAGUAAUAUCUUUAGGGGAGUCUUUAGAAAAACAUAAAGAGAAUAAUUCUCGAAUAAUAGAAAAUUUAUUAGAAUCAAUAAAAAAUAAAAAUAAAGUAAUAAAGACGCUAGUAGAAAAUCAGGAUUACUUAAAAGAACAAAAUAAUAAAAAGAAUAAAAUAUUUAGAAGAACUAAAACAAUUAAAAAUAGAACGUAAAAAUAAUACAGAAAAAAUAACUAAAGAAGUGCUAGAAGAGAUAAGACAAAAAUCAAUAGAUCUAAAACAAUCUUAUAAUCAAGUAGAAGCACUAUUACAUAAAAUAGAGAAAAUAGUAUUAAGUUAAUAUAUGAGUAAUAGUAAUAAGCCACUUCCCUCACAUUAUGUCUUUUAUCCAGAAUAUUUAAAAACAUUAGAAGAAUUAAAAUAUUAUCAUCAAGACUCGUUGGGAUUAACAGAUUAUUCAGGAGCUAGUGCAUCAGAUAAAAUAUAUCCUAAACAAAAUAACUCUAUAAUCGCAUUAUUAAUAUCCCUACAUAAAAAAGUAGACACAAUAACAGAAAAGGUCAGAGUCCUACAAAUAGAUAAGUUUGAAAAAGACUUAGAAGAAAUAACGGACCAAUUUAAAAGAUUACCUGUAACAAAGAAAGAGAGUAAACCACAUCUUAGUAAUAUAUUUUCAGUAAAUCCUAAACCACAAAAAUUCUAAAAGAUGGCUAGUAGAACAUCAUUUUCAGGACCUAGUAGAACAGUCAACGAAAACACACAAGUAGGAACUAGUAUAUUAAAUAUAGGAAGACAAUUAAGAAGGAGUAGGAGCAUGCAUUUAGAAGAGGCAAUAGACGUAGAUAGAGACUUGGAAAUAUACAGGAAUAAUGAAAUAAGUUUAUUAAACCCAAGAACCUUGUUCUCAGUAGGAUUUCUUAGAAGUAAUACAGGAUUAUUUAGACAAAGUAGAGAAGAACCAGUAAGCGCAUUAAGUAACCCCGUAAAUCUUAGAAUGAUAACACAACAAAGCAUAAACCAAAUUAGAAGACAGUAUACAUAUAUGCAUAUAGGAUUGAUAGUUAUAGGAAUUAAAGGACUAACAAGAAAAGGAUUGGGGAAAAAAGUACUAUUAGCAGUAUUAGACAAAAGACAUAAAAAAAUAGAAGAUGCAUUAAUAGCCAGUAUAGAAGUAGAUAUGAAUCAAAAUGGAGGAAUAUUUUAUUGCAGCCCAGACUUUAUGAUAACCUUAGAAGAUAUAAAAAAUCUAGAAAUAGGAAUACAAACUAAAGGAUAUGAAAAUUUUCAAGGAGAUAAUUUGACAAUAAGUAUCGGAUUUAUAGGAAGAUUAACAAAUAGUAGUAAAACCAGAUAUAAGGUAGAAAUAAAGCCAAUAGUAGAGGCUAUGGCAAGUAAAGGAAUAAAAUUAAUCAAACCAAUAGAAGUAAGUUCAGAAAACUUGGCAGGAGAAGAAUGGGAGAUAAGUAAAUUUAUAGAAGAAAAUAAUCCAAUGAUACCAAAAGAUAGUAUAAUAUAUAAAAAUAGUCAAGGAAGAACAAGCCUUAGAUUUUACAAUUAUGAACCAACAGCUUUAGGAACAGAUAAUGAAGAAAUGGACAAAUCUGACAUAGAAUCAGACCUUAUCGAAAUAAAUUUAUUAGAAGAAGAAUUAAUAGAAAUAAAUCAUAGAAUCCUUUAUCCAAAAGAAUUAAAAAUGGACUUAACAGAAAAAGAACUAUUUGAUUUAGAAAGAAAAUUAGAAGCAAAUGGACAAAUAGCAUUAAACGAAGUAUUAUACUAUGAUAAUAUAGGAAAUAUUAGAGUUAAAAUAGAAGAAGAAAAUUCUGAAGAUAAUUUAGAAGUAGCCAGCAUAAUAUCAUAUAGAGAAUUAAUGGACCAACAACAACAAAGUGGUGAAAGCAGUAACAGACCAACAGGUAUGCAGACUGAUCCUAGUCACACAGGAAAUGUUAGAACAUAUGAACCAGGACAACCACCCAAAAUAGUCUAUAAUGAAUAUAGAGAACCAGAGGAAAAAUAUAGUUCUAGGGGAAAAAGAAGACCAUUAGAAUUAGAAAUAAAAGAGCAUUCAGUAGAUGAAGGAAAAACUUUAAUGUUAACAUCUUACGAUCCACAAAUGAUAGAAGAUGUAAUAGGAAGCUGGAAAGCUAGAGUAGUAAGAAACUAUAUACAAAAAGGAUUUGAUCAUAACGUAAUAGAAAUGUAUACAUAUUUAGAAACAUUUUUAGGAGGAGUAGCAAGAGCAGCAUGGGAAGCAUUUAAACUGAAAUUUCCAGAUAGGUUACAACAAGAUCAGGCACAUGGGGUCAAUCCAAUGAAUUUUGUUAAUCGAGUAGAAGAAAUUCUAUUAGCAACAAGUCCAAAUAGAGGAGGAGUGAUGACACAGAUAGAAUCGGUAAGAAAAUUAGAACAAUUAUCAAUCAGAAACUGGAAAUAUAUUAAACCUUUUUUACAAGACUUUUUAUAUUAUAGUUGUUUAGCAGGAUGUUUUUAUGAUGAAGGAAUUAUAGAAAAAUUAUUUGCAAAAUUACCAGACGACUUAGGAAAGAAAAUAUAUACCUUAUACAAAGCAACGCCCAUGGAACCAACAUUAAAAAAUGUGAGUACGGCAGUAAGAUUUAUAAUCAAUAGACUAGUAGAAGAAUGUACUUUUAUAAAAAUACAAAGACAAUUAAAAGGAGAAUACAGUUUUUGCUCAGAAAUAUACACACCACAAAAAUAUGGAGAAAAAGAUAAAGAAAAAAGAAAAUAUAGAAAGCCUUAUAAAAAUUAUAAAAGAUACCCUAGAAAACAAUAUUAUCUUAGGAAAAGCAAAGCUAGAAAACCAUUUCUCAAAAAAGAACAUCAUGUUAGAAGAUAUAGACCAGAAAGAACUUAUGGAAAUAGAUUAUCUUGCUUUAUUUGUAAACAACCAAAUCAUUUAGCAACAAAUUGUCCACAAAAACAUAACUCUUUUAAUAGGGAAGCUCACUUAAUAGAAUU
rnacentral:lncRNA from 1 species